GAAGAUGCUUGAAGAGGAAAAUUUAAUAUAAAUUUCAAAGUGCAAUUGGUUCAAUAAGCAAUGAAGUGAUUCCACCCUUAGCCGCUUUUCCAACAUAUGUAUAUCCAUCUCCUUCCCUGUAAAGUACAUCCAUCACCCUUGCAAGGUUUAGGCUACGAUUUAAAACUUCUGUUGGCAUUUCUGUUGGUUUCUGAAACUCUUGAUUCACAUUCUUCCAGGCACUCUCAACAUGCUUGUUGAAUACAUCGUAUGCCUCUUGUGCUGAUACGCCAUAUUCUUCCAUGUAACACUCUAUUGCUGAGCAAUCGUCUUCUCUCCUAUGCUUAAACUGCAGCCAUAAUAAAAUCAAAAUUAUUCUAUCACUAUAUACCCUAAAAUCUAUCAGUUUAUUAAACUACCUUUGUUUGUGACGAUAAAAUACAUUUAUUGACAAUACUUCCUCACUAAAAGCCCUAAAAUGAAACUAGAUUUCUUUUUUUAUUCUUCAAUUUGAGGCUAAACAUUUUAUAUAUAAACAUUAAACUUUAAUUUUUUUUAGAUCAUGACAAAAACCAUCGUUUGAUUUUGUUACAAAGACAUUGAAUUAUUUAGUUAAGAGUUUGGUUUCUUGUGGUUAUCUAAAUAUAUUAUUAUACCUUGUGUUCCGCAACAUCAUCCAUAAACCUACAAAUAAUUGUGGAAGCUUGAAUGAUCUUAGGGUCAUUGGCUGCCCAUUUAAAGGUCUCUGGUGUUACGAUAUCUCCCAUGCCGACGAAAGAUGUAAUAGCAAGCAUGGCAUAACCACAAGUUGGCAAUGCAUUAGCCUUAAACUCUUCGAAUGAUGGUUUGUAGUUUUGAAGAGUCCAUCUGGCCUCCACAAGAUAAGAUUGAGCAAGUCGUAUCAUCUGAGGCGACAAAAUCCCAACAAUUAUCACUAAUAUCAAUUCAAAUUCGAUAAUAAUAUUUAAAUGAUUAUAUAUUGUUAUUCGAGUUAGUUGUUUAUUCAAAUCUAGAAUUUAGCUAAGAUCUUAUCUCUUUUGUACAAAAUAAAUGUUUGUUGAUGUACAUACCGCAUUUUUCGCAUAUUCGACACGAUAUUGUCUCCCAUGCUCAGCCACCAGUUGUUCCAUUUCUUCAUAAACAUCUAAUAGUGCCUUGUAGCUCGGCUUCAUGUAUUCAGGAAGUUCAUCUAUGCAUUUGAUAUCCCACCUGAAUCCAACUUCAACGUUAUAUUUAAUCAUUCCUCGUAAUAUAUUAUUGAAUGUUAACUUCAACUAAAGAAACCUAACCUAUUACCAACAAAAUUAAAGAAAUCUAACCUCUCAAUUGCAUUUGUAUAUGGAAUGAGCUCUUCAUAUGUUGCAUAUGAGUCAUAUGUAUCAUCUACAAUAGAUGCCAUUGCUAUCACUUUUGUCAACAUCUUUCUACCAAGUGAAUAUUGGGGCUCAAAGUACACUCCUGAGAUCCAAAAGUAGCCUUCAACCACUCUAUCUCUUGCAUAUGGCAACUUUCUUUGAAAGUCUAAAUCUUUCCACCACCUAAAAAAUGAUAUCAUAAAAAACCCCAUUAGCACAAUGAAUAUUCAAUGUUUCAAUUAGUUUCACAUUCAUGUUGUUAGAUUUAAGUCAAUUGGCAACCUCAAAUAUUAAAAUAUAUAUAAGUAAAAUGAUAUAGGUGAAAAAGAUGAAUCCAAGGUUCAUGCCAUCACUUUUAACUUGUACUAUUUAAUAAGAUUCAAAUAUUAGCAUUUGCAACUUGUCUCCUAUACUGAGAAUGAUGUCUCCAAUAAAUUCAACCCUCCUUCCACUAAUAAAUAAAUAAAUAAAUAAGAUGAAAAAGAAAAAAUGGGUGAAAGAGAUUAAAAAACAUACCUACAAAUCUCGCUUAGCUCUUUCCUAUGCAAAAAUUGUAACAUGUUGAAGUCGAUCUUAGCAAACUCCAACAAAGCCUUAUUAUGGGACUCAAUAUCUUGGUAUACUGAAAGAUAGUGCCUUGCCUCAACCCUUGGCAAGCCUCUUCGAAUUGAUUGUUUCAAAGCAUGAGAAACCUCUUCGGACAAAGGAUGGUCCAAAGAUGAUACUGCAAGGCUUAAAUGGUUGGUGGUGAAAGAAAUUGCUUCAUCCAAUAUAUCUUCCCCAUGAACCCUCAAAUAGGAAGCUUGGUAAAGUUCCAACAAUCCUUGAACAUCGCUUGUCACGGAUGACUUGAAAUUCCCUUGCUCGUCUUUAAACUUGUUGAAUACGUCUGACAUGAAAUUACCCAAAAUGAAACAUCGUUAUCAAACAUUCCAUGCUAUUAUAUUCUCAAGAAACUUAAAAACACUAUGUUUCUGUUCCAAUAAUUACCGCAUGAAACAUUGUAUCCAUGCUCUCGGAGUAGUCGGAAUCGAAGAGAUGUAGUGUAGAGGUCGUUCUCGGCAUCAUUGUUGUUAUGGUAGAUAUUCUCUAGUUCAUCUUCGAUCUCCUUGGUGAAAUGGUAACUCACACCCAGUCUUUGGACUGAAUCAAUGAAGGCUAACUUUUGGGUCGAAUUAGCCAUUGGUGCCACAAUCAUCUUCCUCACUUCUUCUUUCAAUUGUUGGUGGCGUUUUUCAGUUCCAGCAUCAAUAUUCUGCUCAAAACAAUGAAAAUUUUCUUCAUAUUGAAUCACUAAAUAAUUAAACAAAUAAUAUGUUAAGAUUAUAUCAAUAUGGUGAUAUGUAUGUAUACCUUGUCGGGACAAUUGAGGAAGAAAUCUCCCCAAAUGCUAGGCUGAAAAUCGGCUUUGGGACGGAUUUCAUCCUUAUUGGAAGAAAGGGGUGAUGAAGAAGGCAUUUGAGAAACUUGAGAAGCCAUUUCGAUUGAUCAAAAGCAGAUAUUGAAAAGCUGAAUUUGCAGCCUUUUCUUGGUUUGCUCUUGAAAUUUGGCACAGAAUUUGUGUGAGCAUAAGAGUGCAAUUGUUGCAUGUAUUUAUAGGUAAGAAAAAUAGUGGUGAUAUUUGAAGUCAAAAAAGGAGAACUUAAAUUCAAGAAAACAAAGUGCAUGAGAAAUACAAAUAGAUUAAAAGAAAUGUUGAUUUGUCUUUUGUUUGAUUCUUUUGAUUCAAAGUUGAUGUCUGUAAAAAAUGUUUAAAUAUCCUCUAUUUACUUUAAACUUUUGCAGUUCGAUCAAAAUGUUUGAGGGCAUGAAUGAUAUUUAUUCUUUUCUCUGCUUUUGACAUACUCUUCACAAAACUUUUGUCCAGUAAUCUUAUAUUAAUUUCUUAGGAAAUAUGAUUGGAAAGAAAGAACAAUACGACUCUAUAGUAUUCAAAAUACUGACUUAUUUUGAUAUAAAGUUUUAAAAUUUUACUUUAAAAAAAUGUUUGUCAUGUUUCUUUUAAUCCUUAGUGAUCAAAUGUAUUUGUUUACUUGUUAUCAUUUUAAAAUAAAUAAAUUUGUUACUUAUUUGACCCACUCUCUUUAGGAUAUCAGAAUUGUUUUUAAAUGGAUGAAUUUAAAAACUAAGAAAAGAAAUUGUUUAUAUGUAUCAUUCUUAAAAUUCUAAACAUCAAAUAUUUUAUAAUUAUUUUUUUAAAAAUUAAUAAAAAUAAUAACGAAGAGAUUAAAAAUUAAUAAAAAUUAAAGUAGUUUUAUACACUUUUAUAAUUAUUUAUAUAAUUAAUAUUUUAACGAUAAAACCGUUAUGUUUUAUGGUUUAUUCCUUUAAAUCAUGCAUAAUAAAUUUUAUAUAAAUUUAAUUUAUUUUAUGUAAAAAAUUCAACCAUCAAAUAUAUAUUAAAUAUAUUAAGUAUUUUUUAUAUGAAAAUAAAAAUUGAAUGAAGUCGGUUAAGCAUCUGAAAGUAUUUGCCUUUCUUUUCUGCCUUUUUACAACUGAUUUUUCAUGGAUUUUUAUAGAGCAUGUCAGGUUUGACCAAGGAUUUGUUUACAAUUCACCAUAAACACAUUAGACGCAAUGUUCUCAAGCAUAAUACAAGUUAAGCUGAUGUAAGGAACAUGUAGUGAUUCAAUGCAUAUAUAGUUUAUUCAUGAUGCAAAUGCAAUUAUAAAUUUAAUUUCCAACCUGUCCAUCUUAAUCGCCAUCAAGCAUCGCUCGACACACCAAAACACAUAAAAAAAACUAACCAUCUCGGAUUUGAUUUCCGAUGACGAUGGUCGUUCACUUGUCAUAUGUGACGAUGACUUUUACAACAAUAACUUACCAUCUCAGUUACCCGAUUUUUUAUGGCUUUUUAAACUAUCAUCCUGAUUUAUCCAGUUUUGAUGACAUAGCCACCUACUCUGUGCAAUACUGACUUUUGGUGUGGACUUGAAUUGCCACUAUCUCCUAUGGAACUCCUUCGACCUUCUUACCUAAAUUCAUGUAAUUAUGCACAUACAAUUAGCAUAUUAUGCUAUUUAUCAUCUUUCAAUGCUUCAUUUGAUAUUUCAUACUAUCAUUUAAUGGCAUGUGAUCAUUCAUUCAUUCCCAUCAAUUUCACAUAUACAAUUAAUUUAAGUGAUCUAAAACAAUUUCACAUAUACAAUAUCUUCAUGCGUAUUAACAUUCUUAGUUCGGCUAACACAUACAUAAGCAGGGUUUGCACAUACAGGGUUCUCACAUAUAGGAUUGCACAUAUGGGUUAGCGCAUGUAGGGUUUGCACCUAGGGGUUCGUACAUGUAGGGUUUGCACAUAUGCUACAGUUCACCUAACAGAGUUCGCACAUACAGGGGGGUUCGCAUAGUACCUAGGAUUUUCAUGAUAUGCAAGCUUUGCAUAUUACCUAAGGUUCACAUGAUAUAUAUAGCUCGUAUAGGACCUAGGGUUUGCAUGAUAUACUCGAUUCACAUAUUACCUAGGGUUUGCAUGUUAUAAAAAGCUCGCAAAGUAUGUUUAGGGUGCGCAUGAUAUAUAUGCCUCGCGUAAUAUAUAUAGGGUUUGCAACUUAAAUCCUAUACUAAAAAUCAUGAGGGUUUGCAUAUGUAUAUACAAGCUACAGUUCAUCUAUAGGGGUUCGCGUAUAGAGGUUCGCUCACAAGCUCACACACAGGGGGUUUUGCACACGGGGAUCACACACAGGGCCCGCACAUGCAAGGGGGUUCGCAUAACAUGGGGGUUGCAUAGCAGACUUAUUACUUCCUAACACUACAGUUAAUCAUAUAUAAUGAUUUAUGUUUAGAUCCUACACCUGAUUCGAAGACACAAAAACCUUAAUUUGGAUGAGGAGAAUGAUGUUCUACUUGGGAGGAGAGGGACGAUUUUGGAAACCUUGGAUUUCUUUGCUUGAAAAUUGAUUUGGUAAUGAUGGAGAAAAUGAAGAACUUGAGAGUUUUCCUUGAAAAAUUGACUAGAUAAAAUUUCUAGAGUUUUGAAAAGAUUUCCUAAUUAUAAAACUCUUUUUCCCUAAUUGAAAUAGGUUUUAGGAUUCCAUGGAGAAGCAAGACUAUUUUAAAUUAAGGACUAAAUUAGAAAAUAAAAUUUUUUGGUUUGGGCUAGUUUGAAAAUUCGGCACUUUUAUGGGGUAAAAAUAAGAAAAUAAAAUAUUUUGCUUGAAAGGUGAACAAUAGAUUUCAAACUUGAGACCCAAGAGAAAGCUAAGGCCUUACCAAUGAACUAGUAGACUAAUUCUUGUUAAUUUCUUAUCAAAAAUAAUUUUUAAGGCGUUCUAAAUUCUUUUACCCUAUGCUUAAAAAAAUAAAAUCUAAAUUUUAUCCCUAUUUCUUUUAGCCUUAUUUUUGGGAAGUGACAAUACUCAAAUUUACAAUUUAAUUCAUGUUUUAAGUAUGCUCCACAUUAUAUCCUAAUUGACAUUUAACACUUAAAUUAACUACUAUGCUAAUGGAAAACCUAUUUGAUACCAUGUAAAUAACAUAUUUUGAAGUUUAAAACUAAUUAAGAAUUGGCAUAAUGUCAAAUUUAUCCCUUAAUGUUUACAUUUUUUUAUCAAUUUGGCUCACGACCUUUAAAAAAAAUCAUAUUUGACCAUCAACCUUUCAAAAAAAUUUAAAUUGUUAUUUUUUUAACGGAAAUAUUAGCUAGACAUUAGGUUUUUAGACAUGACAGCUCGCAUAACAAUCCGCAUGUACUUCAUGCUCUCGUUUUUUUUGGAAUUUUUUAUAAUUUAAAUUAUUUCUUGGUGUGACAUAUAAGAUAAAGUGUCAUGUUAGCAUGAAGUACACGUGGAUUACCACACGGGUUGACAUACCAACAUCGUUAAAAAUUAAGGUUUUAAUCAAUAUUUUCAUUAAAAAGUGAUUUGACAAUUUUUUUAAAAAAAAUUGAGGGCCAAAUUUAUAACUCAAAAAAGAAUAAGAACCAAACUGAAAAAAGAUAUAAACAAUUUGACAUUAUACCUUAAACAUAUUGACAAUAAUUUAGAGACAAUUGAUUGAAUUAGCUCAAAAUAAUAUAAGAUAAUGUAAAUGAUAAAACAAGGAUUUCAAUUUAAAAUGGAUUUAUAUGUGAUGCAUUACCGUAAAAUGAAUAUAAAGAAUACAAAAGAAAAAAUUCAUUUAAAUUUUAGAAAUAUGUCCUCAAUUCACUAGCAACAUAUAAAAAGAUUAUAUGAUGAUUGUUGGGAAUCGAUCCGAUUAAGCAACAAACAAGUAAAAAAUAGCGGAAGCAAUUGAGAAAUUGAACACACAAAUUUAACGUGAAAAAACCCCUCCAAAGAGGAUAAAAAACCACGGACAAAGAUAAUUUUACUAUAAUGGCAAAAAAAUAAAAAUUACAAAAGAUGGAGAUAAAAACUAAACCCCGAAACCUAAAAAAAAGAACCCUCAAAAUGUAAAUACAAAAUUCUCCAAAAGUGUAUGAGUUCUAAUAUUUUAAUGGGUGUUUUUUAUAAUGUUGUAAAAGAUCCUAUUUAUAGGCUAAAUUCGUAGGUCAAAUAAUAAUAAAAUAAUCUAGACUAAUCAAAAUUUAACUGAAACAAAUAAACAGGGUUUAACUAAGAGAUUAUCUCUUAAAUUUAACUAUAAGUCAUACUCAACAAUAAUAUUAACCAUUUCAAAAUUACUAUAGAAAUGCUGAAAAUUCUAAGGAUUAACAAGUUUUUCUCUCAUGUAACUUCCUUUUCCAAGAUAACUUAAUUUCCAUAUUCAAAAUUAAGACAAACCAACCUAUUAAACAAAAUACUUUUCAAGUGUAAAUAUUCAUAUUUUAUCAUUUCCAAACAAAAGAAUUUAAAUAAUUAUAUUCAUAUUUUAUAUUUAAUGCGAAUUAAGUGUAAAUAUUCUAAAGGAGACGUACUAAGACCAAUGUUUCUUAAUAAUAAAUAUACAGCAAAUAGAUUUUAUUAAACUUAAUCUUGGACCGGUCAAAAAGAAAUUACGUAUUAUAUUCGGAUUUGAUUUAAUUUCAAUGCACGAAUAAAAUAAUAAUAUAAUAAUAACAGCUUAAAAAGACUGCUAAGGAUACUUAAUGAUAGAAGUCAUGCAUGAUUUAUGAUUCUCACCCAUGCUUCGUGUUGAUUAUUUAUUCUUUUAAUUAAAUUAUUAUAUUUCAAGUUUUUGAAAUAAAAUAUUUAAAUUAACUAAUGAUAUUAAAAAGGAUGAGAAAUCAAAUUAUAAAAAAUUAAAGUAUAUAGAUUAAAUUUAAAAUUUGAGCGAAGUAUACGAAUCAAAACUAAAAUUUAACGACUCUCAUAUAAAGAAAGCUAGUAGGAUUAGAAAAACUUUUAGCCAUUGGUUUAUAAUAUAUAUAAUGCGUAUUUUGUACAUUAGUAGUGUAUUUUUUUAAAAUUUCACAAACAAUCUUAAAAAUUAUAAUGUGUAUUUUUUUAAAAAAAUUACUAUAUUCUUAUAAGAUACUUGUCAAUCUUUAACCGAUUUUACAAAAAGUAUAAUAUUAUAUAUUUUUCCAAAACAUUAUAUUCAUGAAUAACAUGCUUAAAUCAUUGCAAUCUCUUUAGCCUUAAUUAUUCUUUUUAAGUCAAAAGAAUACAACCUUUAAUUAAUAUAUAUAUAUAUAUAUAUAUAUAUAUAUAUAGGUUUUUAAGUUGUUUGUUCUUUUCUUUUUAUUUUUUAUGGUACGUCAUUUAAUGUCCACUAUAGUCUAUCUAGUUGAUAUAACCUUUCUUAUAGCAAAUAUAGUUUCUUUUUUAUAAUUUUGGGACACCAAUCACAAAUUAUCCAUUGUUUUAUUUUAGGGUAAAUUACAUUUCAAGUCAUCCAACUAUUAGUAAUUUUCUUUUUUUAGCCACCCAAUUAUGAAAAGUUACGAAGUGGUCACUCAACUAUUUGGUUUUUUCGUUUUUGGUCACUAGUCGUUGAAUGAUUGGAUAAAAGGUGGCGUAUAACUUUUAAAAUUGGCAUAAUAGAAACUUUAGCACUCAACAUUUAUACAUUGUGACCCUCAGUGUUUACACAUUAUGUAAUUUGGUAUUUUUUUCUUUGUUUUCUUUGUGACCCUUUCACCUAAUAAGCUAAGAAAAACAAUCUAUCAACUAAAUUUAAUUGGAAAUAUAUCAAAAACGAAAACACCCAAAAUCCAAGAUAAUAAUUUUCAUAUUUUCUCAUUCUUUUAAAAUUAACCCUCAAUGUCACAAAUAAAAGUAAAACUGCAAAAAAAAAAUUACACAAUGUGUAAAUGUUGAGGGUUAAUUUUUUUUUGAAUUAAGACUAAAUUGACACAAUGUAUAAAUUAAUGGCCGGUAGUUGGUUGACCAAAUAGAAAAAAGUUGAAUAAUUAUUGACCAUUUUUGUAACAUUUCAUAGUUGCAUGACAAAAAAAAAAAAUACUAAUAGUUGAGUGACUACCAAUGUAGUUCUUCAUUUAAUUAUCAAAUAAUUAUUUUCUAUUAUUUGAACUUAUUGAAAGAAAUUAAUUUUAAUUACUAAAAGGGUAAACUACAACAAUAGUCACCAAUUAUGCCUUCGGUUCUAUUUGGUCACCUGACUAUUGAUUUUUUUUCCAUUUUGCCACUCAAUUUUUUAAAAUUAAAUAUUUUAGUCACUCUCUAGUUAGUUGUUGUUAGAUGAGUGGUGAAAAGCUCGGUAAGCCCUUUUUAUUGAUCUAAUAACAAAUUUAGCUUCCAAUAUUUACAUAUUCUAUCAAUUUGAUCCUAAAUCUAAAACAAAAUCAACAAAAUUAGCCCUAAAUGUUUACAAAAUUUGUCAUUUUAGUUUGAAUUCUAAAAAAAUUAAUAAAUUUAGCCAUCCCAGAAUUUGUCAGUUCUAAUUCUAAAAAUUUCAAUAGAAAAUUGGAAAGUAUUUAAAUUUUUUAAAAUAUUCUUUAACCCAAAAUAUAUUAAACAAGAAGAGUAUUUAACACUAUUUGUAUUGUGCUCUUUUUAAAUUAAUAUCACCUUUUUGAAUAUGGUAAAAAAUCAAAUUGACUUAAAUCCAACUAUUUUAGUGUCAUAUUUUAGAUUAAUAUCAUAUCAUCUAAGAAUCAAUUCCUCUAAAUAGAUUAACAAUUCUUUAAACAAUUACAAAUUAAUUAUUUCCAUGUUUUUCUUAUUUAAAAAAUGUACAAAAUACUUAAUAUUCAAAUAGAGGAAACAAUGAAAUGCGAAAUCUUUCAAAACAUGAAAAACAUAGAAUAUUUGUUUUUUUUCGCCUUUUUUUUUACUUGGACAUAUCAUCAUCAGUAACUUUCAAAUUUGGGUAGAACGUGUAAAUAUUAGAAGACUAAAUUUAUUAUUAGGCCAAUAAAGAAACUCACAUCAGCUUUUCAUUACUUAUCUAACGGCAAUUAACAAGAACGUAACUAAAAUAUUUAAUUUCAAAAAGUUAAGUGAUUAAAUUAAAAUUUUUAAUAAUUGAAUAAUUAAAAUAAAUUGAAAACCAUAGUUGAGUGCUAUUUUUAUAAUUUACCUUUACUAAAAUUAUCAAUAGAUGCGGCGGGUAUUAACUAUUGCACACCAAUCAGUUUCAACAUAAAUACUAAACGUAAAUAAUACAAAAGCAUCAAACUCGAAAUCAAAAACAUUAAAUCUAAAACUCGAAACUUGGAAAAAAGUUACGGGUUUUUCUAGUGUAAAUUUUUUUAGUGAAUUACAAUAACAGGGUAAAGCUCAAACAACAAACACCACUAGUGCAACUCGAACCUCAGCCACACUUGAAGUGGUGAAUACCCUUGACUUUUGAGCCAUCACAUCGGGUUCUCUCACGUACAAUUUUUAUUACCUUAAAAUUUUCUUAUUAAAUAAUAAUUAAAUUAUCCUUGAAGAGUUUAUGUGCACAUUUAUUAUUUAUAUGAAAUUCAAAAGUAAAAUAUUCCAUAGUUUUCAAUAACACGAUGAAAAUAAAAAUAUUAAUAUGUAUUAAUUUAUGAGUCGUUUUAUUAGUUUUUUUUUUCAUCUAAUAGAAGGACAAAUCGAAGAAAAAAGAACUGAAUUAAAUACAGUCUUGAACAAUUAGUAUUUGCUUUUAAAACAUUUAAAUUAGAAUUUAUGUUUCUAUUUAAAUUUUUUGUAUCAGUAUCACUCAUUAAUCAAACAUCAAUUCGAUUAAAAAAUAAUUAAAAAAUAUUAUUUAUAUUAUGAGUAUUCAUUUUUAUCCAGGCUAAACUUAAUUUUAAAGUCACUUUCAAUAAAUCUGAAUUCUAGGGUUAAGUUUAAUUUGAAAAAUCUAAGUUGACUGUUGCUACACUUUCAUAGCUCGAUUUUAUUUUGGAUUUUGACUAUUAAUUUUUUAGUUUAGAUUAUUAUGUUAUUUGUCAGUGUUAUUAACAUUUAAGGGUGGCAUGGCCUCCUGCCUCAUUUUGCAUGGAAAAGCAAAAAAAGGUAAGAAGAAAAAAGAGAGAGGUGACGAGAACAGUGAAGCAUGUAAAGGAGAAAGAAAAGAAGUUUACAAGAGAGGAAGAAGAAGAAGAAGAAGAAGAAGAAGAAGAAGAAGAAGAAGAAGAAAACUACGGAAAAAGAAAGGAGGAAAAGAGAGGAUCUGCUUUGUAUUGUAAUUCUCUUUUGUUUGCAUACGGUGAAAUCUCACUCUAAAUAAACUCAAAUAAAAGGUAAUAUCUUUUGGCUUAAUAUCUGAAAUUUUCACUUUGGUUCUUUUAUAAAAACAUAGAAAAGUAAUAAAAAAACUAAAAAAAUCAUAAUAUAUUUUUCAAAACUAUAUUUUUUUGAAAAAAAAAGUAUAAGCAUGCGAAACUUUGAAAAAAAAGUUAAAAAAAAAAGAGAGUUUCUUUUUGGAAUUUUAGGUUUGUAGAAAAUUUUAGGUUUUUAGAAAAUUUUGGAAUUUUAUUAAAAUUUAGAAGAAAUUUAUGGGAUUUUUUUUUUGGAAAUCCUAAGUAAAAAUUACCAUAAAAUUCUUAAAUUUUUUCAUAAAAUUCUAUAUUUUUAUAAAACCCUAAAUUCAAAAAAGAAAAACAUUUUUUAUAUUUUUAUGAUUUUUUUAUUUUCUUGAAGUUCUGCAUACUUAUAAGUUUAGUUUUUUUUUUAUAAUUUUCAAAAAUAGAUUAAGAUUUUUUAAAAGUUUAUUUUAUAAUUUUCAAAGUUAUAAGAUUUUUUGGGGGUGUUUUUUUAAUAUAUAUAUAUUUGGAAUUUUAAUAUUUUUUAGUUUUUUAUAUUUUUAAAAUUUUUAAGUGAAUUUGAAAUAGAUUAAUAUUUUGAUUUUGUUUUAAAUUUCAGAAUUUUAAGAUUUUUCUGGAUUUAAAAAAAAUGUUUUUUUGGGGAAUUUUAAUGAUUUGUUUUAGUUUUUUUAUAUUUUUUAAAUUUUAAGUGAAUUUGAAAUAGAUUAAGAUUUUAUAUUUUUUUUUGUGGUUUAAGAUUUUUGGGACUCUUUUAAAAAAAUUAUGAUUUUUGUGGAAUUUAAAUGAGUUCUUAUUUUUUUUAAAUAAUUUUUUGUAAAAAAAUAAUUUUUAUAAUUUUCAAAGGUAGAUUAGGAUAUUUUAAAAAAAAAUUCUAUGUUUUCAAAUUUUUGUUAUUUUUGAGAUAUUUUGGAUUUUUAAUUUUUAAGUAAAAUUUUUAAUUUUUUAAAAUGUGGCACAGCAAGUCAUUCGUCGAUUUAAUAUUUUUAAUGAAACUUGCUAAAAGGGCUAAGUUAGUGACGAAAUGGAAAUAGAGAAAACAAUCUGACCAAAAAAUAAUAAAAGGCCAUAAUAAGAAUUUCACUAUAGUACAAAGACCAAAAAUAGUAUUAAGCUUCUUCAUGCAUAACAGUUAAUUUCGAAUUUAGAUUUUGAUUUCGUAGAUAAAAAAUUAUUUUAAUUGAUUUUAAAAUUUUAUUAUAACCAUGAUUUUCUAAAUAACAAAUCACAGUUAAAUAAAAAAAAUAUGUCUAUGUUAGAAAUUUUAUUAGGGUUGGUUUUGAUGAUGUUACAUAGCCAACUUUUCGCUAGAAAUUAAAGCGCAAACUGAUCGAAUUUGUACCAUUUGCUUCAAGUCUUCUCUUUUCUACAAGGGAUGGUUGAGGGUUUUUCAUUUGGAUGCACAAAAAGUAAUCUUUUACGAUCUGAAAGUUUUAAGUAAAUAAAAAAAAUGACAGUGAAAAUCUUCAUUCUUUUAGAUGAAGAAGAUGAGGGGGAUUUUUUAAAAAUAAUUUUCAGAUUUUCAACAAAAUAUUUUUAAUUUUAUUUUUUUUUUUCAAAUUUGAAUGAUUUUAAAUAUAUAUAGUAUUGAGAAUUUUGUUAGAGUUGAGUGGUUCGGAUUCUUGUUAAAAUAAAAUAUAGUGGUAAAUUAAAAUAAAAGUAAAAUCCAAUAGAAUUAUACUUCUUUUAUUUUGCAUUGAUUAGAAAAAGGUUUUUCAACAUUACUACACUUCAUCUAUUUGACAUUGAUUAAAAUAAGGUUUUUCAACCUAUAAAUAGAUAUAGUCUAAAUUUCUCUUGUAUCAUUCGAAUUCGACAUUAGUGAAUUUUCUUCUCCUCUACCGUGGUUUUUUUCUCGAAAGGGUUUCCGCGUAAAAUCUGUGUUUUCUUAUUUUUCUUUCUUUUGCUUUGUGAUUGUUUUAUAUUGUCAUUGUCGACGUUCAACUUUUACAAACUGGUAUCAAAGCUUUUCGGGUUGUUUGUCUCGAUCAUGGUAAUGACGACAUUGAAGUAUGAUAUUCGACUAUUGGAUCACAACACCUGGUUCGCAUUAUGGAAGAUAAAGAUGCAGCCAGUUCUUGCACAAAUGGAGUUAGAGGAUGCCUUGCUAGGGGUAGAUAAGAUGCCUUCGACAUUGACGGAGGAGGAGAAGAAACAUAAAGAUCGAAAGGCUUUAACACAAUUACAUCUACAUUUGUUGAAUGAAAUUCUACAGGGCGUGAUGAAUGAGAAGAUCGUUGGUGCAUUACGGGCAAAGUUGCAACAACUAUACAUGUCGAAAACCUUAACUAGCAAGUUGCAUAUAACCAGCGUCUUUAUGCUCAUCAUUUGGAGGAAGGUGCGUCUGUGCACGAACACUUAACUGUGUUUAAAGAAAUUCUUUCUGACCUAGAGGCCAUGGAGGUUUAGUAUGACAAAGAAGAUUUAGGUUUAAUUCUACUUUAUUCGUUACCCCCGUCUUAUUCAACCUUUACAGAUACGAUUUUGUAUAGUUGUGAAUCUAUCACAGUUUAUGAACUCUAUGCUUCUUUAACAUCGUAUGACAAGAUGAAACAUCCUGUGGUUGGAUCCGACUCUCAGGGAAAGGGUCUCAUUGUUCGUGGGAGACAAUAACAAAAUACUAAUGAUAAUCAUCAGAGGACAUAAGAGCAAAAUCCUCGCAGUAAAUCUAAGGGUAGAUCAAGAUCUUCAAACAAAGGUAAAACCUGUGACUUCUGUAAGAAGAAAGGGCACAUUAAAUCUAAGUGCUAUAAGUUGUAAAACAAGAUCAAAAGGGAGACUGUGAAUCAAAAGGGAAAACAACCAGAACAAUCCGGUGAAGCUGAUGUAGCAGAAAACUACAGUGAUGGUGAACUUCUAGUUAUUUUUGCCAACAAAUUUAAAGUGAGCGAGGAGGGGAUCCUCGAUUUUGGUUGUACGUUCCAUAUGAGUCCAAAUCGAGAUUGGUCUACAACAUAUAAAACUAUGUCUGAAGGUGUUGUUUUGAUGAGAAAUAAUGUUUCAUGUAAAAUCGCAGGUAUUGACAUGAUCAAAAUUAAAAUGUUCGAUAGAGUUAUCAGAACACUUAGUGGCAUACGACAUGUACCAUGAUUGAAGAGGAAUUUGAUUUCGUUGAGUACUCUUGAUUCAAAAGGGCACAAGUACAUAGCUGAAAGUGGAGUUCUAAAGAUUAGUAAUGAUUCCCUUGUUGUGAUGAAAGGGCAGAGAAAGAUUGCCAAGUUAUAUGUUUUGCAAGGUUCUACUGUUACUGGUGAUACAGCCGUCGCGUCCUCUUCCUUGUCAGAUGAUUAUGUUACUAGACUUUGGCAUAUACGUCUAGGGCAUAUGAGUGAGAAUAGCGCGGCAGAAUUAAGCAAAAGAAGACUUCUUGAUGGACAAGGCAAUAGCAAACUGAAGUUUUGUGAGCACUGCAUUUUUAGGAAGCAAAAGAGAGUUUGAUUCACUAGAGGAAUCCAUAACAUGAAGAGAAUGCUAGAUUAUAUUCAUUCUGAUCUUUGGGGACCAUCCAGAGUGCCUUCGAAGGGUGAUGCUAAUUAUAUGCUGACAAUCAUUAAUGAUUUUUGCAGAAAAGUGAUGUGUUUUUUGUGUUUAAGACUUGGAAAACUAUGAUCAAUAAGCAGACAGGAAAAUAGAUAAAACACCUUCGUAUAGAUAAUGGCUUGGAAUUAUGUUCUGACGAGUUUAUUAAAUUGCGCAAAUCAAAAGGAAUCAUGCGACUCUUGGCAGUUUGUCAUACUCCACAGCAAAACGGCGUUGCACAAUGGAUGAAUAGAAUAAUCAUGGAAAAGGUUUCAUGUAUGUUAUCAAAUGCUUGUUUACCGAAGUCGUUUUGGGCUGAAGCAGCCUGUAUUACAUGUUUUUUGAUUAACCAGUCUCUGUUUGUUGCCAUUGGGAAAAAGGCUCCACAAAAGGUAUGGUCUGGUAAUCCUACUGAUUAUUCUAAUUUGAGGAUUUUUGGGUGUCCUUUGUAUGUUCAUGUUGAUAAUGGGAAAUUGGAACCUAGAUCCAUUAAAUGUGUUUUUUCUUGAUUAUAAGGCUGGUGUUAAAGGAUAUAAAUUAUUGUGUCCUGAAAAUAGAAAAGUUGUGAUUAGCAGAGAUAUUAUUUUUUAUGAAACUGCUAUGCUACCUAACUUAUCUCUUAAAGACUCUUCCAAUAGAAACCAGGAAAAACAGGUGGAGCCUCAGAUAGAUCCAGGAUCUAUAACAGAGUCUACUUCUUAAGUUAGUACAGAAACUUAGAGUAGAGUUGUUCUUCACCACAGUAUUCUACUACCAAGAAUAAACCUAGAAGAGAAAUUAAACCUCCAAAGAGGUACGUUGAGGUCGAUCUAGUUGCUUAUGCUUUAAAUGUGGCUAAAGAUAUAGAUGCAAAUCAAAAGCCAUCUACUUAUUCUGAGGUAAUUAAUUAUGAAGAUUUAAGAAAAUGGAUGAUUGCCAUGCUAGAAGAGAUGGAAUCGCUCUAUAAGAAUAGAACGUGGGAUCUAGUGAAAUUUCUUAAAGGUAAAAAGGUUGUACGUUGUAAAUGGGUGUUCAAAAAGAAAUAAGGAACUCCAGGAGUUGAAGAACCCAUAUAUAAAGUAAGGCUGGUUGCAAAAGGUUAUAGUCAGAUUUCAAGUGUAUACUUUAUAGAUAUGUUUUCUCCAGUUGUGAAACAUACUUUGAUUCGAGCCUUGUUUGGUAUUGUGGCCAUGUAUGAUUUGGAGCUUGAGUAGUUAGAUGUAAAUACAACGUUCUUGCAUGGGGAAUCUGAAGAAGAUAUUUACAUGCAACAACCAAAGGAUUUUACUUAUCAGAAAAGGAUGACUAUGUUUGCUUGUUGAAAAAGUUCAUUUAUGGCUUGAAACAGUCACCAAGGCAGUGAUACAAGAGGUUCGAUUCUUUUAUGACUACUCAUGAUUUCAAAAGAAGCAACUUUGAUAGUUGUGUUUAUUUUAAGAAAAAAAGGGAUGGUUCUUUUGUGUAUCUACUCUUCUAUGUUGAUGACAUGUUGAUAGCAGCCAAUAGUCUGUAAAGGAGAGAUAAGAAAGUUCAAAGCCCAACUUAAUAAAGAAUUUGAGAUAAAGGGUUUGAGAGCAGUAAAGGAGAUACUUGAGAUGAAGAUUCUCAGAGAUAGAAAAGCGUGUAAAUUGUACCUAAGUUAGAAAUGGUACAUUGAGAAAGUUCUUUGCAGGUUCAAUAUGCAGAAUGCCAAGCCUAUUAGGACUCUAUUAGCAACCCACUUCAGACUUUCAUCAGUUUUGUCCUGCAAUCAGUAUUCUAGUGUAGUGGGAUCUCUCAUGUGUGCUAUGGUUUGCUCAUGUCCAGAUUUGUCAUAUAUAAUUAGUGCAAUUAGUAGAUACAUGGCGAAUCCCAAUAAAGAACACUGGAAAACAGUUUAGUGGAUUUUCAUAUACUUAUGAGGUACUACUAAUGUUUGCUUAUAGUUUGGAAGAACUAGAGAUGGAGUCAUUGCGAAUGUUGAUUCUGAUUUUACUGGAUACCUUGAUAAAAGAAGAUCUCUCAUAGGGUAUGUCUUUACAAUUGGGGGUUGCACAAUCAGUUGGAAAGCUACUUUGCAAACUACAGUUGCUUUGUCUACUACUGAAGCUGAGUACAUGGCGAUUAUCGAGGCUUGUAAAAAAACUAUUUGGUUAAAGAGACUCUUUGGUGAACUCAGUAAAGACCUUUAGAUCAAUACAUUGUUUUGUGAUAGUUAGAGUGUCAUCUUCCUUACGAAUGAUCAAAUGUUUCAUGAGAGAACAAAUCAUAUUGAUGUUCGGUAUGAUUUUGUGCAUGAUAUUAUUUUCGUGGUGAUAUUGUUGUGAGAAAAGUUAGUACUCAUGAAAAUCCUACAGAUAUGAUGACUAAGUCACUUCCUAUAACCAAGAAGUUUGAGUCUUGCUUGGACUUGGUUGGUAUUCAUUGUUGAAGAGCACCCUUUAAAGGGUUUUGUGGAAGAGGUGGAGAACUUGUUCGUUAAGAGUUCGUGGUGAAGAACUUGUUCGCUGAGAAUUCAUGUCAAGGUGGAGAUUGUUAGAGUUGAGUGACUUGAGUCCUUGUUAAAAUAAAAUAAAAAUAAAAAUAAAAUUCAUAUAAAACUAUACUUCUUUUAUUUUACAUUGAUUAGAAUAAGGUUUUUUAACCUUACUACACUUUAUCUAUUUGACAUUGAUUAGAAUAAGGUUUUUCAACCUAUAAAUAGACGUAGUCUAAACUCCUCUUGUAUCUUUCGAAUUCGACAUUAGUGAAUUUUUUUUUCUCUACCCGUGGUCUUUUUUUCCCGAAAGGGUUUCCACGUAAAAUUUGCGUGUUCAUAUUUUUCUUUCUUUUGCUUUGCAAUCGUUCUAUAUUGUUAUUGUCGACGUUCAACUUUUACAAAUUUUUUAAAUUGCUAAUUAACAUAGUAUAAAUAAUUUAAAUAAUUUGAGUAAUUGAGUUUAGUUUUUAGAGUCAGAUUUGGACAAGAAUUUUUGCACUUCGAACCGGCCUGACUUGAAUUCAAUUUAAAUAAUAAAAAAUAUUUUAAAAUUAAAAUUUAAUUCUAAAAUUAUAUAAAAUAACAAUUAAAAAUUUAUUUUUAAUAUUUUAUUAAUUUUUAACCCGAAAAUAGACUUAAACUUGAAAAAUAUUUUAAACUAGAUCUCGACUCAACCCAACUUUUAACUCAUAAAUAUCUAAUGAUGAAUUGUUUUCAAUUCUUUGCUUUAAACAUGAAUUUAUAUUUGCAAGUGUACUGCCAUUAUAAUAGUAAAAGCUUUAAAAGAAUGCUUGACUAUUUCAAUAACAUAUUUUUCACAAUUAAUUUAACAUAAUUUUCAGCAUAAUGAGAUAAUUUAAGGGGGGAAAAGGGGCACAUUGAUCAUAUUUUCAGCAUCCAUAAAAAAACAGUAAAAUUAUUGACUUGAAACAUAAUAUACGGACUCCGGAGGAACCCCUUAGACUGAGAGUGUUGAAAAGUCUUUUGGAUCAUUGUAAAGGACAAAUUAGUCAAUCUUAGUGACGAAGAAUUCGUUGAAAUAAGAAAUAAAAAUGAGAAACAUAUAAUAAGAUUUAAUCUAUUAAUUAAUCAUGUGCAACUGUGAUGUGUGUCGGGCGGAGCCAGAGGAAUUGGCAGGAAUUUCGGUUACCCUUAAAAUGAAAAAUUUUUUAUUUAAGGUUUUUUAUAAUUUAUAAAAUUUUAAAUUAGUAAUGAUAAAAUUGUACUUUGACCCUAAAAAUAAUAAAUUUUGAUUUAAUUUUUUAAAAAUUAUAAAGAUAUAAACUAUUAAAAUGAUAAAAUUAUCUUUUUACUAUCGAAACAAUAUAUAAUUUAUUUUCAGGCCCUCUAAAAAGAAUUUUUAAAUUCACCCGACGCUUUAAUUUCAACAUGAAUAUAAUUAUUUAACAUGUGUUUGUUUACUUCAUAUUUAUAAUAAAAAAAAAAGAAAGAAAAAAAAAUGUCGGCUUGACUCUUUAAAUAAGGUAUUUUUCACAAUUAAUUUAACAUAUUUUUUUCAAAUUGAAUUCUAUAGUUGUAUGAUUCAGUCAAUACUAGAAUUUUAUAUUUGGAACUCAUAAUUUUAAAAAAAAUAUUCAAAGGGAAUCAGCAAAUUUCAGUAAAGGCGUCUAGAUUUAUCAAUAAAAUUAAUAUAUUCUUCCCUUAUUGUGCAUUCGUAGUUCUACUAAUGGCAUUAAUAAUUCAUUUGGAUAAACUUUAAAUUCUAAAAAUAACUUUCACUUAUUAUAAUUACUUUUUACUAAUUGAUAGUAAACUUAUCUAAUACUGAGUAAUUAAGUAUUACAUUUUUAUUUAUAUUAAACCAAAUCAAUUAAUUUCUAACACAAUAUAAAAAUUAAAUAUUUAAUAUAUUUUUUAAAUUUGGCAUGUUAAAAAAAAGAAAGAAAUAACGGCUAUUAAAAAAACGUAAUAAUUUAUUUAGCCCUUCAACUUUAUAAAAUGUCAUUUUAAUUUUUCAUUUAAUUUUUCGUCUCUUUUAGCUCUUGAAUUUGCAUUGUUUGUCAAAUCAUCCCAAAAUGGAUGGAAAAAUUAAUGUUUGUUAACUUUAUUACUAUGGCAUCCACGUAUGUGCCACGUUAACAAUUAAUUAAUUUUUAAAAUUUUCAAAAUAUAUUUUUAAAAUUUUUAAAAUGAUUUUAAAUUUUAAAAUAUUUUUUAUAUAUUUUGUUAAACUUUCUAAAUUUUAAAAAUUUUAAUUGUUGAGAUUUCAUUCACAUAGCAAUUUACAUAUAUACCACAUCAACAAAGUUAACAUAUAUUAACUCCUUUCUUUUUAGUAUUUUUGAAUUUAAGUAUUUCCAACAAGCAUGUGGUCAGUUGGUAUAGUUUGAAACUUUUAGAUUUUUAAAAUUUUUCAUAAUUUUUAAACUUAAAAUUUAAUUUUUAUAAAUAGUAUAAAUAUUGUAUAGUAGAAACUUAACAUUAAAUAUAUAUAUAGUUUGGCGUGCAUAUGUAUGAUAUUUUUUUUCUUGAGGUACAUAUAUAUAAUAUUAUAUAGGAUAAAUUAUAAAAAUAUUCAUUUAUCUGUGGUUUAAAUUACAUUUUAGUCAUUGGACUUUAAUUUGUUACGAAAUGGUUACUAACGUUAUCGAUUUAUAAUAUUUAGUUAUUGAGCUAUUAAGUAUUAUUAGUGAAAUAACAGUAAGCUAACGUAAGAUGUUAAGUAAUUAUGUUAGAUGAAAAAUUUAAGUUGAAUUGCAGAACUAAUCACUAUAUAUAUAUAUUUCUUUUUUAUAGUUCCUAAAAAUUUUUAAAUAAAAAUGAUAUAAAAAUUUUAAAAAAACUAAAAAAUAUAUGAAAGGAUUAAUAAUAUAUAAAUAAAUAAAAUUUAAAAAAAAUCCUAUUUUCAAAUCCAAUCCUUUGCUUGAUUUUCGAAAAAAAACUUAGAAAUCCCUAAAAAUCUAAAGUUUAGGCUUUCCACCUUCUGAAAUGGGCUUGUCACUUUUCUUUCUUUUGUUUUCUUCUCAAUUUCUUCAUGUUUUUUAUUGCUAAUGAUGAAUCUUUUAUUCAGAUUUCUCUCUUUUGAAAUGGACUUUUAUUUUAUGAAAGCACGAAAUGACCAUUGAAUGAUGGUAAGGGGAGCUAGAAGUUGAUGCUUUAGUUUAGUUCUGUAGCUAGGAGAUUGAAGGGUUAACUCAUAACGAAGCUUAAAACAUAUUGUUAAAAUUAACGAACACUUUAGCCACAGGAGUUAAAUGAGAUGUUAAGGGUCUCUUCUAUCUUAACCAGUGGUCCAAGGUUCAAUUAUUAUCCUGGGUAUGGAGUAAUUUUAAAACUCGUUGUCCGCAUCUACCCCUUAAUGGACCUAUUGAAUGUGGAGGAUUAAUUAUUAAAUUCACUCGAAUAACUUAGAGAAAUAAAAAAAAAUUGAUGAAACCUUUCUAAUUUGCAGCAAACCCACAAACCCAAGGAACAAAAGUGCUUAUUAUGGCCAAACUAAAUUAAAAUUAAAAUAUAUUGAAUAACCUAAAUCAAUUAUUGAAUAUCUUAAAACAUUUUAAUGUUUACCUAAUUUUUCAUAAUUUCGUAAAUUACUAAAUUUCGUAAAAAUACUGAAUUACUAAAACUCUUAAAGAAUUAUUGAAUUACUGAUAGAAUUCCUUAAGAAAUUAGAUAAAUAAAAAAUGUCAUAAUGGAUUCAGUAAUAGUUGAAAUUUUUUUUGGUAAUCAUGUAAGUAAUUCAGUAAUUAUUAUAAAUUCAGUAAUUUUAAAAAAGUUUUAGUGUGGGCUACUUAAAAUACUGAAUUUGCUACAACAUUGUAACAUUUUCAAUAAAUUAUUGAAUUUCUUACAAUGUAAAUUACUAAGUCUUUUACAAAGCUACUUAUAUUAGGAAUACAGAUUUCUUGUAAUAUUACUAAAUAUUUAAUAAUAUUACUGGAUUUUUUACUUACAACUCAUGAGAAGAUUAUUUCUAAACAACUUUUUUUUAGAAAAUUUCUAAAACAGAAAUGGAAAUUUCACAAUGUGGGUCAUUGUAUUAUGAAGUAAAAGACUAAAUUAAUUCAUUAAUUAUUGUUAGAGUUUGUGUGACCCAAAUCCCGUCAUUUGUUGAAGAACUAUGUUUAUUCUAUUUGAUAUUGAUUAGAAUAGGAUUUUUUAACCUUUUUAAUAGAUGUAGUCGAAAUUUCUCUUGUAUCAUUCGUUUUUCAACAUUAGUAAAUUUCUUCUCCUUUGUCCGUAGUUUUUUCCCGAAAGGGUUUCCACGUAAAAUCUGUGUUCUUUUUUUUUCAUACUUUGCGAUCAUGCUAUUGUCAUUAUCGACGUUUAUUAUAACAAUUAUAAAAGUCAACAAUUUUGUCUCUAGACAUUUUCGCUUUGCUUGUUGGAGUGGAAAGAAAAUUGGAAAGAUGGAAAAUUGAAGGGGUUGAAAAUUAGAAGGAUGGAAAACAUAAAUUUUCUUUCCAUAGGUGUGUUUGAUAGGAGAAAUGAAAAAGUGGAAAAACAAAGUAAUUUUCUUUCCCUCUAUUGUUUGAUAGAGAUAAAAAAUGAAAUGAAAGAAAAUAGCAUAAUUUUAAAUUAACAUACACAUCUUUAUAAUAUUCUCUCCUCUCAUCUUUCCAAUUUGGAAGGAUUGAUUUCUAUGCAUUAAGAUGAAAAAUGAUUCUCUCCUAUUUUCUUUUCUCUCACUUUUAUUCCCUACGAAGUACAAUUAAAUUUUAUUUUCUUUCCACUUUUCCACUCCUUCCUCCCAUUCCUCUAGUUUUUCAACCAACCAAUAACACCAAUAAUUUUGAAGCAAAAAGGUAAGAUUUAAACAAAAGUAAUCUUAAACAUUAAAGAAUUGGUAAACUACACUUAUAGCCACUCAACAACUAGUAAGUUUACACUUUGGUCACCUAACUAUUCAAAGAUCAUUUAAGUUUACCUCAUUGUAUUUGUAAUGGCCAAAUUUGUUUGUUUGGUUAUGGAAUUCCUUUAUCAGUCCAUGUGGAAGAAUGAUCCUUGGAGUAUUUAUGUAAGUGUUCCAUUGUAACUACUAUAUUAUAAUUUGACACCAUCAUGCUUAUGAUAAUGUGGUGCCUACGUUGUUGAUAUAAUUGAUUUUAUUUGUUCCAUUUUUAUGUCAGUGUGCUUGGGUGGAUCACCCCUCUAUUGCAAUUGAGCAAGAGAUUAUAAAGUGGCCUUCCAUGAGAUAAUGUUUUUGGGCAAGGUGUAAUGUGUUGUCAUUGGCUUGCCUAGAGAGGUGAUGUUGAUGGUGUAGACAUUUUGUUGGUGGAGCUUCUUGGUGAGUUUGAAAGGAGAGCUUUGUAGCACUAAUUCUAAAGGGCAAGUUGAUAAUGGUAGGGCUUAAAGAGGUGAAGGUGCUGUUAGCUUACUAAGAGAGAUAACAGCAAUAUGAAAAAAAAUAAAGGAAAGGGAAAAUAAGAUGAUCAGUUCAUUUAUUCGCAACAUCAAGAACCUAUUAUAUAUGCAAUUACAUAACAGAAAAAACAAGAAAUUAGGCACUAACAUAAUAAGGCUCACAAUAGGACUCACAAUAAGGGAAAUAAUUAGCCAGGUCUGGUGAAUAUGUCAUCCAGCUGAUCUUUACUCUUGCAGCAUUUAAGAUCAACUACCCCAUCAUUGUUAAGAUCUCUCAAAAAAUAGUACUUCACAUCAAUAUGCUUGCUUCUACCAUGUAAUACUGGAUUUUUUGAGAGUCCGAUAACUGAGUUGUUGUCACAAAAAAUUAUUGUGGCUCCCAUUCUCUUGAAUUUCAGCUCCUCCAAGAUUUUUCUCAACGAAAUAGCUUGACAAGCACAAGUUGUUGCAACAACAAAUUCAGCUUCAGUUGUUGACAAAGGAACAAUAGAUUGCCUUUUGGAUGACCAUGAAACAACUCCGAUUUCCAUCAUGAAAACAUAAAUUGAAGUGUUUUUUCUAUCAUCUAGAUCUCCUACAGUCACAGUCAAUGAACCUAAAUAGAUAUUAAAAUUCUCCUUUUUUGUAAAACAACCCAAAAUAUAUGGUUCUUUGCAAGUAACGAAGGAUUCUCUUAGUAACCAAUAAAUGCAUCUCUGUAGGAUUCUCCAUAAACCUAUUGAUCAAACUCACAAAAUAUAUUAUGUCAGGUCUUGUACCAAUCAAGUACAUUAAAUUGCCUACAAUCUGCUUAUAAAAAGUGUUGUCCACUUACUUUCCUUCUUUGCUCAACUUCAAGCCAAACUCAAUGGUGGUGCUUGCUAGAUUGAAAUCCUUCAUGUCAAACUUGCUCAGAAUAUCUUGAACGUAUUUCCUUUGAGAAAAAAAUAUUCCAUUAGUUGAUUGCACUACUUCUAUGCCUAGAAAAUAAUGCAUCAUACUAAGAUCUGACAUUUUAAACUCAACCAUCAGACUUCUUGAAUCCAUUAAACAUGGAACUACAAUUUCCAAUGAAAAUAAGACCAUCAACAUAUAAACUCACAAUAAGUAUUUUCCUUUUAUCACCAGUUUUAAUGAAAAGAGUAGACUCACAAGGACACUUGGGAAAACCAGCUUUCAAGAAAUACGCUUCAAUUCGACUAUACCAAGCAUGUGGGGCUUGUUUCAACCCAUAUAAAGCCUUUUUUCAGUUUAUAAACUUUAUUUUCACUUUCAUGUUUAACAUAACCAGUAUGUUGUUCAAUAAAAACCUAUUCUUUGAGCUCACCAUGUAAAAAUGUCGAAUUCACAUCUAGUUGGAAGAUAGGCCAAGAGUAUUAGACUAUAAGUGAAAUCACCAAUCUGAUUGUAUCAUGCCUUGGAACAGGAGCAAAGGCUUCUUUGUAAUCUACCCCAAACUCCUAUUUAUAACCUUUAGCCACAAAUGUGCCUUAUACUUAUUAACUUCUCCAUUCUCUUUCAACUUUGUCUUGUACACCUAUUUGACACUAAUUGUCUUGUGCCGUUUUGGAAGUUUAGUCAACUUGUAUGUAUCAUUCCUCUCUAUACUGCAAUUUUUUCAUCCAUUGUUUUUCUCCAUUUUGACUCAUUUACAGCACUUUCAAAGGUUGUUAGAUCACAAUCCGCAAAUAAAGCAAAAUGGAUGGUUGGAUCUUCAGUCUGCCCAACGCUGAUUACCUCAAAAUCUCCUAUCCAAGCUGGUCUCCGUCGAAUAUAGCUAGGAUGAGGUUCAACUACUUCUACUUCAAUGGUUAUUAGAGUAUUAUUUGGUGAACUCUUAAGAUUAAGUGUUGCUUGAGUCUACUAAUCUAAAGGCUACUGCUUUUCAUCUUCAACUUCAGUACCAACAAAGGUUUGAAAAGGUUGUUUGUCAUCCCAAUUCCAAGUAUUCUCCUCAUAAAAAAUUACAUCCCUGCUAAUCACAAUUUUCUCCUUUAAAGGAUUAAAAAAUUUAUACACUUCAGAUGUUUCACUUACACCUAGAAAGACACACUUCUCUCCCUUGACAUUAAGCUUCUUUCUCUUUACAUUUGGAACAUGUGCAUAAGUAAUGCAACCAAAAAUUUUGAAGUGAUCUGCAGCUGGUCUCCUUCCACUCCAAGCUUCUUCAGGUGUCAUGUUUUGAACAGAAAAAGUUGGGCUUCUAUUCAAGACAUGGAUGCUCCAAUUUACUCCUUUUGCCCAAAAUUAUUUUAAGACCCUUCCACUAGCAAGCAUGCUUUUCACCAUAUUAAGUAUGGUUCUGUUUUUCCUCUCUUAUAUGCUAUUUUGUUGGGAGGUAUAUGCAGUGGUAAGCUUUUUCCAGAUGUCAUGGCUCUCACAAAAUGCUUCAAAUUCCUUGAAAUAAUAUUCUCCACCACAAUCAAUGCGAAGAACUUGAAUGGUUUUCCUGAUUUCAUUCUCAACAAGUGCCUUGAAGCUAGUAAAUGCACUAAAUGCUUCCAAUUUCUCCUGCAAAAAGUAAACCCACAAUUUUUGGAAAUAAUCAUCGAUGAAAGUAAAGAAAUAAAUUUUACCUUCAUUAGAUUAUGGUUUUAUUGGUCCACAGAUAUCUGAAUGAACCAAUUCCUGCACAUGUUUUGCUAUCUAAAACUUUCUUUUGGGAAAUUGUUCAUGAUGUUGUCUGCUAACAACACAAUCUUCACACACAUGGUUUGGAAUGACAAUCUGAGGGAGGCCGUUGACCAUCUCUUUCUACCAAAGAGUCUUCAAACCCUCAAAAUUAAGAUGACCACAUCAAAAAUGCCAAAGCCAUGUGUUGUCCUUCACUUUAGCCAUCAAGCAAGGUUGAAAACAAUCAAUCACUAAUGGAAACAACCUGUUGGAACUCAUUGGAACCACUGGAAUAGCACCUCUAGAAGGAUCAUAAAUUUCACAAGCACUUUUUGAUACCGUAAUCACAUAUCUUUUUCCUUGCAAUUGACCAGCACUUAAUAAGUUACUUUUCAAAACAGACACAAAGAAAACAUGGGACAUUGUUUCUUCAAAACUAUUAUUGGUUCUUAUACUAAUACCACCCUUUCCCACUACAUCAACAAUAGAUUUAUCUCCAAAAGGCACAUUAAUGUGAAAGUCUUCAUUUAGAUAAGAGAAAGAAAACUUAUUACCACACAUGUGGUUGCUACAGCCUGUAUCCACAUACCAUAAACAUGAGUUUUGUGGCUUCUCUUGCUUGUCAUGAAUUGCCAUUAACAAGGUUUUAGCUUCUUUUUAUGAAAAUUUUGACUUUUCUCCCUUUUCCUUAUCAUUAGAUAGAUUAGUACGACAUUCAAAACAAUAAUGACCAAACUUAUAACAUCCAAAACAUUCUACCUUUGACUUGUCAAAUUGUCGAUCUUGUUUUUUUCCUUUAUCAUCUAAUCUGGCAUACCUGCCACUAUUUUUAUUCCAACUGUCUCCUCUGUCUCUUCCCUUUCCUUGACCUCCGUUUCUUCUUUUGAAAGAAUGAGUUGAAGUUUUCAAAGCCUGCUCCAUUGGGGGUAGAAGUUCUAUUCAUCUUCUAUUUAUGGACCAACAAGGAACUCUGGAGUUCAUCAAUGGUGAGUGCAUCAAUGUCCUUGGAUUCUUCAAUUGAGUAGACAACAUAAUCAUACUUUGGUGAUGAGGACCGUAGUAUCUUCUUAGCAAUGGUUGUGUCAUUCAUCUUCUCACCAUGAAAUCACAUAUUACUCAUGAUUCCCAUGGAAGAACCUCAAGGUCCUUCCAAAGAGCCUGAAGCUAUGCACGCUUCACUUUGAAAAAAGCCUUGACAUUUUGUCUUAAUGGAGUACCAAAUAUCCUUGAAAGUUUCUUUGCAAAGAAUGGUUUCUAGGAUCGAACGAUCAAUAGCUUGAAAUAAGUAAUUUUUUGCUUUCAAAUCUUUCAACUUCAGCCCCUUCAAGUCCUUUUUGUUGUAUUCUGUAAGCUUUUCUCCAUCUGUUGGUGUUGCUAUACUGUGCUUAAUGACUUGCCAAUACUCCUUGGACUGUAAGAAGUUCUCCAUCAACAUCUCCAAUGGUUAUAGUGACCAUCAAAAUGUGGAAUAGGUAGCUGCAAACAAUUUUCAAAAGCCAUAAGAGGACCAUAAACAUUUUUCUCUCACUGAAAAUACUCUUCUUUUACCAGGCUCUGACACCACUAUUAGCUUACUAAGGAGAUAACAGCAAGAUGAAAAAAAUAAAGGAAAUGGAAAAUAAGAUGAUCAACUCAUUUAUUCACAACCUUAAGAACCUAUUAUAUAGGCAAUUACAUGAUAGAAAAAUCAAGAAAUCGCACACUAACAACAAACGACUCAGAAUAGGACUCUUAACAACUAAGGAAAAAAAUCUAAACCAAAUAAACCCAUGAUCUGUAGCCACUAAAUCCUUGAUGUGCAACAACUAUAUGCCUAGAAACAAGGACAACAAACAUAUUUUAUUAACAAGUAUCCCUAUUUAAGUGAGCUUCUAGUGGCGAUCCUUGAAAAGGCUAUCUGAAUGGCAAAACUUUAUCACAUGCAAUCUUGAUGAUAAUGUUAUGGCGAAGAAGAGAAAAAUCAUUGAAAGUGACAACAAUGUUGGUAAAAAGGAAGAGCAUGAUAGGAUCAUACUCUAAAUUUUGUGUUCAAAGCUAUAGCAACGAAAGAAGGAAAAUUAAAAUAUAAAAUAUAAAAGAGCAGAUUUUUCACAAAUGAAAGCUUGAAAAGAACUUUAUUAGAUCAAUACAAGGAAAUGAAUACAAAGACAGUUGAUUUAGAAUUUCUUUUAUAAUAUAUAUAUUAUAAAACAUUAUUAAUUAUAACUUAAUAACUAUUCCUUAAGGAACAGAAGAGGAAAAUUUAAUACGAUUUCUAAGUGCAAUUGGUUCAAUGAGUAAUGAAGUGAUUCCACCCUUAGCCGCUUUUCCAACAUAUGUGUAGCCAUCACCUUCUCUAUAGAGUACAUCCAUCACCCUUGCAAGGUUUAAGCUACGAUUCAAAACUUCUGUUGGCAUUUCUGUUGGUUUCAGAAACUCUUGAUUCACAUCCUUCCAAGCACUCUCAACAUGCUUGUUGAAUACAUCAUAUGCCUCUUGUGCUGUUACACCAUAUUCUUCCAUGUAACACUCAAUUGCUGAGCAAUCGUCUUCUCUCCUAUGUUUGAACUGCAACCAUAAUAAAAUAAAAAUUAUUCAAUUACUAUAUAACCUAAAUUCUAUUCGUUUGUUAAACUAUAUAUAUUUUUAAAAUGAAACUAGAUAUCUUUUCUUAUUCUUCGAUUUAAGGCUAAACAUUUGAUAUAUAAACAUUAAACUUUAAUUGUUUCAAAUCAUGACAAAAACCAUCGUUAUUGAGUUAAUAGUUUGGUUUCUUGUGAUUAUUUAAAUAUAUUAUUAUACCUUGUGUUCAGCAACAUCAUCCAUAAACCUACAAAUAAUUGUGGAAGCUUGAAUGAUCUUAGGGUCAUUGGCUGCCCAUUUAAAGGUUUCUGGUGUUACAAUAUCUCCCAUGCCAACGAAAGAUGUAAUAGCAAGCAUGGCAUAACCACAAGUUGGCAAUGCAUUAGCCUUAAACUCCUCGAAUGAUGGUUUGUAGUUUUGAAGAGUCCAUCUGGCCUCCACAAGAUAAGAUUGAGCAAGUCGUAUCAUCUGAGGCAACAAAAUCCCAACAAUUAUCACUAAUAUCAAUUCAAAUUCAAUAAUAAUAUUUAAAUGAUUAUAUAUUGUUAUUCGAGUUAGUUGUUUAUUCAAAUCUAGAAUUUAGCUAAGAUCUUAUCUCUUUUGUACAAAAUAAAUGUUUGUUGAUGUACAUACCGCAUUUUUCGCAUAUUCGACACGAUAUUGUCUCCCAUGCUCAGCCACCAGUUGUUCCAUUUCUUCAUAAACAUCUAAUAGUGCCUUGUAGCUCGGCUUCAUGUAUUCAGGAAGUUCAUCUAUGCAUUUGAUAUCCCACCUGAAUUCAACUUCAAUGUUAACUUCAACUAAAGAAACCUAACCUAUUACCAACAAAAUUUUAGAAAUCUAACCUCUCAAUUGCAUUUGUAUAGGGAAUAAGCUCUUCAUAUGUUGCAUAUGAGUCAUAUGUAUCAUCUACAAUAGAUGCCAUUGCUAUCACUUUUGUCAACAUCUUUCUACCAAGAGAAUAUUGGGGCUCAAAAUACACUCCUGAGAUCCAAAAAUAGCCUUCAACCACUCUAUCUCUUGCGUAUGGCAACUUUCUUUGAAAGUCUAAAUCCUUCCACCACCUAAAAAAAUCAUAUCAUAGAAAACCCCAUUAGCAAAAUGAAUAUUCAAAGUUUUAAUUUGUUUCACAUUCAUGUUGUCAAUAAGUAAAUUGUUAGAUUCUUAAGUAAAUUGGCAACCUGAAAUUUUAAAAUAUAUAUAUAACUUAUAUAAUAUAAGUAAAAUAAUGUAAGUGAAAAAGAUGAAUCCAUCACUUUUAACUUGUGCUAUAUAUUAAGAUUCAAAUAUUAGCAUUUGCAACUCGUCUCCUAUAUUGAGAAUGAUGCCGCGAUUAAAUUCAACCCUCCUUCCACCAAAAAAAAAAAAAAGACAAAAAAGAAAAAAAAAUGGGUGAAAGAGAUUCAAAAACAUACCUAGAAAUCUCACUUAGCUCUUUUCUAUGCAAAAGUUGUACCAUGUUGAAAUCGAUCUUAGCAAACUCCAACAAAACCUUAUUAUGGGACUCAAUAUCUUGGUAUACUGAAAGAUAGUGUCUUGCCUCAACCCUUGGCAAGCCUCUUCGAAUUGAUUGUUUCAAAGCAUGAGAAACCUCUUCGGAUAAAGGAUGGUCCAAAGAUGCUACUGCAAGGCUUAAAUGGUUGCUGGUGAAAGAAAUUGCUUCAUCCAAUAUAUCUUCCCCAUGAACCCUCAAAUAGGAAGCUUGGUAAAGUUCCAACAAUCCUCGAACAUCGCUUGUCACGGAUGACUUGAAAUUCCCUUGCUCGUCUUUAAACUUGUUGAAUACGUCUGAGAUGAAAUUACCCAAAAUGAAAUAUUGUUAUCAAACAUUCCAUGCUAUUAUAUACUCAAGAAACUUAAAAAUACCAUGUUGUUGUUCCAGUAAUUACCGCAUGAAACAUUGAAUCCAUGCUCUCGGAGUAGUCGGAAUCGAAGGGAUGUGGUGUAGAGGUCGUUCUCGGCAUCAUUGUUGUUAUGGUAGAUAUUCUCUAGUUCAUCUUCGAUCUCCUUGGUGAAAUGGUAACUCACACCCAGUCUUUGGACUGAAUCAAUGAAGGCUAACUUUUGGGUUGAAUUAGCCAUUGGUGCCACAAUCAUCUUCCUCACUUCUUCUUUCAAUUGUUGGUGGCGUUUUUGAGUUUCAGCAUCAAUAUUCUGCUCAAAAUAAUGAAAAUUUGCUUCAUAUUGAAUCACUAAAUAACUAAACAAAUAAUCUGUUAAGAUUAUAUAUAUACCAAUAUGGUGAUAUGUAUGUAUACCUUGUCGGGACAAUUGAGGAAGAAAUCUCCCCAAAUGCUAGGCUGAAAAUCGGCUUUGGGACGCAUUUCAUCCUUAUUGGAAGAAAGGGGUGAUGAAGAAGGCAUUUGAGAAACUUGUGAAGCCAUUUCGAUUGAUUAAAAGCAAAUAUUGAAAAGCUUAAUUUGCUGCCUUUUUUGGUUUGCUCUUGAAAUUUGGCACAGAAUCUGUGAGGAUAAGAGUGCAAUUGUUGCAUGUAUUUAUAGGUAAAAUAUACUGGGGAGUUUAAGUCAAAAAAGACAACCUAUAUGCAAGGAAACAAUUAUACAAUAAGAUUGGUGUAGGGCGGCCCAUUGCAUGAGAAUUGCAAAUAGAUUAAAAGAGAUGUUGAUUUGUCUUUUUGUUUGAUUCUCUUAUUCAAAGUUGAUGCCUGUAAAAUAUUAGAAGAUGAAAUGUGUAGAAAUGUGUUACAAAGUAAAUAUUUAUCCUCUGUUGAACUUUAGAAUUAUAGAAAUAUAUCAUUUCAGUCCUUCCCUCGGCCGGUCAGCCUCAAUUAAAAUAUAAAUUAAAUCAGUUGGACCAACUGAACUAAAUUAUUUAAUUAAAACAUAAUUAAAUGUUAAAUGUGAUUUCAUAUUAAAUAAGUCUAAAAAGUAGUAACUAGUUCCUUAAAAAAGAAGUAGUAAUUAGCUAAUAAAGAUAUGUAUUUUCUAUCUUGGGUAUGUACAAAAUUAGACAGACCACCAAUUUUCAAUUUAAUCAAUUAACCCAAUACUAUUUUCUUUUUAUAUAAAUAUAACUAUUUUUUAAAAUUAAUAAAAAUUAUAUAUAUUUAAAAUCGAUAAAAUUUUAUUAAUAAUAUAUUAAAUGCAAGAAACCUGUUUUCAAAUAAUAAAUAAUCUUUAACGAUCUUUUAAGUCCUAACCAUUGUUAAUCUUUAAGGCAUCUGAAAGUUAGAUCGGUGCAUGCAUUUGUUUCAGACGCAAAGACUUUUGUUUCUCAGUUCUUCCCACUAAUCUUUUUGAUUGAUUUUUAUAAUAGAGCACGUCAGGUUUCAUCAAGGACUAAGCAACGUCACUUGUUUACUAUUAUCCUAUUGACUAAUUGGCCAUGAACACAUAAACUAUGACGUAAUAUUUAUAAUAUUUAUAAUAUUUAUAAUAAUUUUUAAACCGAAAUAGCAUGUAAUUUUGAAAAUUAAUCAAGUCAAAUUAAAUAGUUCUAAUCCUACGAUUUAAGGCCAACAUAAAUGAUAAUUACAAUCCCACAAUUAAACUGAGUAAAGAGAAGUUAAUGUUUACUAUUAUAAUAGAGCAUGUCAGGUUUGAUCAAGGACUAGGCAACGUAACUUGUUUACUAUUAUACUAUUGACUAAUUUACCAUAAACACAUUAAACUAUGACGUAAUGUUCUCAAAUUAUGCAGAUUUUAAAUUCAAUUUUAAAUUUUAAAAAUAUUUUAAUUCAAUCCGCAAAGUAUUAGUAUCAUAUCAAUCAAGCCUUUCCAUUAGCUUAACAAUUAGUUUAGGCAUUAAAUGUCAACUCAAGCUUGAGUUAAAGUGUAUAUGAAAUACGUAGAUCAAAUUGUAAAGAUGUAUCUAUCUGUAACAUAGAUAAUAUUUUAUUGACAUUAAUUUUUUAAUACGUUAAAAUUUAUUGCAUAGAUACAAUGCUAAUAUUUUAAAGAUUUAAUUAACCUAUUUUGAAGUUUAGAACUAAUUAAGAAUAGGCAUAACCUUAAAUUUAGUUCUCAACAUUUACAUUCUUUUUUGUUAAUUUGACUUUUAUUUUUUUAGCUAAAAUUGAUCCUCACCCUUUUAAAAAAAAUCAUAUUUAACCUUAAACCUUUCAAAAAUAGUUGAAAUGCUAUUUUUUUAAUGAAAAUAAACCGUUAAAUUUUUAAACAUGGCAGCUCACAUACUAAUCCACAUGUACUCCAUAUUAUUAUUAUUAUUUAUUUUUUUUAUUUUUUUGUAAUUUUUAAAUUACUUGUUGGUGUGGCAUAUAAUAAAUAGAGUUAUGUCUACAUGAAGUACAUGUGGACUGUAACACAAGUUUCCAUGCCAACUUUGUUGAAAAAUUAAUGUUUUAGUUAGGAUUUUUGUUUAAACAAAUUUUUUGACUCUUUUUUAAAAGACUAAGGGCAAAUUUAGCUAAAAAGAAUAAGAAAAAGAGUUAAAUUGACAAAAUAUAUAAAUAUGGUGGCUAAAUUUGACAUUAUGCUAUAAGACUAUUGGCAAUAAAUUAGAGAUGACUGAUAGAAUUAAUCAAAAUAAUAUGGGCUUAUUAAGAAUUUUAACUUUAAAAAAAAUAAUUAAAUCCCUCGGAACCUCUUCUACUCAAUUGAAUCCUUGAAUUGACAAUUUUGACCAACAAAGCCCUUUGACCAACAUUGAUCGUUAGAAACUAACAGCAGCGCUAACGUGAUUGUCAACAGAUGCCACAUCAGACAACAAAGGCUAACUUGGCAGUGCCACAUUAGUAAAAAUAACAAAAAAGUAAAAAAAUAUUUUUAAUUUAUUUAAAAAUAUAUAUACAAUGAUGCUGGAUAAAUGAUUGUCCAAAUUCAUUUCAAUCUGAGCACUCAUUUAUUUAAGUUCCUUUGAAACUAGAGACACAUUUCUCAAGAUUCAUUUCGAAAUUAAUAAACAUAAAAAUUAUAAAAAAAUCAUUCAAAUUAUAAAAAAAAUUAUAAACUAAUUAAAAACUAUUGUAACACCACCAAUCAAGCGUAAAAGUUUCGACUAAGUCGAAGAAAUCACAUUUGAUCAUUUGAUGAUUGAAGUGACCGUUGAAACCACUAGUCUAUUUUGUAGGGAAGUUGUUCCUUUUGAUCUUAGGAAAUCAUUUAUUAUUUUUAAGCCGGUUUUAUUUAAAGAUUCAGUUUCGCUAUUAUUCUGGUGGUGUUUUGAAAGCGGCUGAUGUUUUUGGAAAAGGAAAUUAUAAAACCAUUGAAACAAACAGCGAAAAAUAUUUAUAAUAAUUUUCUAAAUCAAAAUAGCAUGUAAUUAUGAAAAUUAAUCAGUUGUAAAUAAAUGAUAAUUACAAUCCCACAAUUAAACUGAGUAAAGAGAAGUUAAUGUUUACUAUUAUAAUAAAGCAUGUCAGGUUUACCAUUCACUAAUUUACCAUAAACACUUUAAACUAUGACGUAAUGUUCUCAAAUUAUGCAUAUUUUAAAUUCAAUUCCAAAUUUUAAAAAUGUUUUAAUUCAGUCCUCAAAGUAUUAGUAUCAUAUCAAUCAAGUCUUUCUAUUAUGUUAACAAUUAGUUGAGGCAUUAAAUGCUAACUCAAGUUUGAGUUGAAGUGUAUUUGAAAUACGUAGAUCAAAUUGUAAAGACGUAUAUAUCUACAACAUAGAUAACAUUUUAUUGACAUCGAUUUUUAAAUACGUCAAAACUAAAUUUUUUAUGUGGUAGAUACACAUGAGUUUACAGUUUAUUCCGUUUGCUUUUAAGCAUGCCGCAUAUCAUAUCUUGAUUCACAUUUAACAAUUAGAUUAACUACGACAUUGAUAGAAAACCUAUUUGAUACAAUGUUGAUAUUUUAAAGAUUCAAUUAACAUGUUUUGAAGUUUUAAACUAAUUAAGAAUGGGCAUAACACAAAUUUAGUCCUUACAUUUACAAUUUUUUUUGUCAAUUUGAUCCCUUUUUUUUAGCUAAAUUUGGUCAUCAACCUUUCAAAAAAAUGUCAUAUUUAAAUUAAACCUUUCAAAAAUUGUUGAAUUGCUAUUUUUUAAUGAAAAUUAACCGUUAAAUUUUUAAACACGGUAGCUCACAUACCAAUCCACAUGUACUUCAUACUUUGUUUUUUGAAUUUUUAUAAUUUUUUUUUAUUUUUUAAUUUUUAAAUUAUAUUUUGGUGUGGCAUAUAAUAAAUAGUGUUAUGUCAAAAUGAAGUACACGUGGAUUGCCACAUGAGUUGCCAUGCCAUCUUCAUUAAAAAAAAUUUAAUGUUUUAGUCAGGAUUUUCUAUAAAAAAUAAUUUAACUCUUUUUUAAAAGAUUAAGGGCCAAAUUUAACUAAAAUAGAAACAAAAAAAACCAAAUUGAUGAAAGAUGUAAAUGUUGCGGUUAAAUUUGACAUUAUGAUAUUGGCAAUAGUUUAGAGACGAUUGAUAGAAUUAAUGGAUUGAAAAUAAUAUAGGCUUAUUAAGCAUUCAAACUUCUUUCAAAAAUCAAGUAAACCCCUCCAAAUCUUUUCUACUUAAUUGAAUCAUUGAAUUGAUAAUUUUGACCAACAAGGCCAUUUGACCAAUAUUGAUAGUUAGAAACUAACAGCAACUCUAAUAUGAUUGUUAACAAAUGCCACAUUAACCAACAAAUGCUAACUUGACAGUGCCACAUCAGUAAAAAUAAAAAAAUAAAAAAAAUAUUUUAAAAUUAUUUUUAAAAAAUGUACAAUGAUGCUGGACAAAAGAUUGUCCAUGCUCAUUUGAACAUGGACCCACAUUUUUCAAUAUUCAUUUCGAAAUUAUAAAAAAAAUAAAAAAUUAUAAAAUAUAAUUAAAAUUUAUAAAAUUAUUAUAAAAUUAUUAAAAUUAUUUUUUAAAAGUUUUUUUUAAAAUUAUUAAAAAUUAUUAAAACGUAUAAAAUUAAAAACCAAAUUAUAUUUAUAUAAAAGUUUUUUUUGUAAUUGUUUAUGUAUUAUUAAAACCAAAUGGAUUUUAAAUAAAAAUAUUUUUAGAAACUAUAAUAAUUUUAAUGUUUUUAAAUAAAAUCUUUAGAAACUUUUAAAAAAGUCCAAAUGGAUUUUUAAUUAAAAGCUUCUAUUCAACCUAAUGGACUUUAUAAAAAUUUAUAAUAAAAAGCUGUGUUUUAAUUUAUUUUAUAAAAUUUUAUGAUUUUUAAUUAAUUUAUAAUAAUUUUAUUAUUUUUUAUAAUUUUAAUUAUUCUUUAUAAUUUUUUUCUUUUUAUAAUUCCAUGAUGAAUAUGGACAUAUGAAUAUCUACAUUCAAAUGAACCUGGACAACUAUUUGUUUAAGUUUAUUGUGUACAUUUUUUUACAAUAAUUUUAAAAUAUUUUUAAUUUUUAUUGAUGCGGAUCACCCCAUCAGCAUUUGUUGAUUAAUGUGAUAUCCAUUAAUGACCACAUCAAUGUUGGUGUUGGUUUCUAAUGAUCAACGUUGGUAAAAAAAUCUCGUUGGUCGAAAUUGUCAGUUUAAAGACUCAAGUGGAUAUAAAAAGUUCAAAUGGAUUUAGUCGAUCAUUUAAAAAUAAUUCAAAAAUUUAUUGUACCAAUAAGCCAAUAAUAAUAGCUAAUAUAAAUGUAUAGAACUUGAGUUCAAUGGAUUUAUAUAUGAUGCAUUGACACUAUCAGUAAAUCAUAUAAUACUAUAAAAUUUAAAAAAAUUUCAUUUAAUUUUUAAUAAUAUAUUCACUAGGAACACGUAAAAUUAUUAUACCUUUCAAAAUUACUAUAUAUAUUUUUUAAAAUUGUAAGGAAGAACAUUUUUUUCAAAAUUACUUAAUUUCCAUAUUCAAAGUUAAGGCAAACCUAGCAAUCAAACAAGAUUCUUUUCAAGGAUUUCGUAUUAGAUAUUGCCGCCAAGCUUAAGAAAUUAUAUAUUUAUUCCUUUCCAAACAAAAGAAUUUAAACAAUUAUAUUCAUAUUUUAUAUUUAUGCGAAUUAAGUGUAAAUAUUCUAAAGGAGACGUACGAAGACCAAUGUUUAUCGAUAAUAAAUAUACAACAAAUAGAUUUUAUUAAAUUUCAUCUUGGAUCAGUCAAAAAAAAAAUAUGUAUAAUAUUCGUAUUUUUAUUUAGUUUCAAUGCACGUGUAAAGGAAUAAUUUAAUAAUAACAGCUUAAAAAGACUGGUAAGGAUAUUAUUAAUUAUAAAAAUCAUAAUCGAUUAUUUAUUGUUUUGAUUAAAUUAAUAAAAAUUGAAAGAUUAUAAAUAGAAUAAACAAUGUUAAUAUACUGUAUUCACUUGACUUUAGUGAAAGCAAUGUAUUAUUGUAAAAACUUCUUGUUAACUGCACAUCUAUAUAUUAUUUAUUAUGAAAUUAAAAAUUAUUUUUUUCCAAAGCAUUAUAGUUGUCUAUAACAUGCUAAAAUCAUUGCAACCUUUUAGCCUCUAUUGUUUUUUUUUAAGUCAAAAGGAUACAACCUUAAAAUAAAAAUAUAAAUGGAGGGCAUAUCGGUUUUUGAGUUGUUCUUUUGGUAAAUUAUAGGUAAAUCUUCGUUUUGAUCACUUAACUAAAAAAAUUAUAAUUUGAUCAUUGAAUCAUUAGAAAAUUUUUAUUUAAGUCAAUGAAGUAUUCAAAAAAUUUUAUUAAGUUACUACGCUAUUAUUUUUUUUAGAAGUUUCGCAAGAAAGCUCAAAGCAAUGAUUCGACAAUCGGUACACUGAAUCAAUAACUAUUGACGAGUAGAAGAACAUAUCUUAGAUACAAGUUGAUUUGAUGGUCAAUGUCGGAGAUUAGAGAAAAAAGCUUUUUGAAUUUUGAAUUGCAAAUUUAUGACGUUCAAAGCUAUUUCAUAAAAAAAUGAACUGUAGAAAAGAAAGGAAAGAGAGGUUUCAAUUGGUGCAGGCAGCGAGAUCUAUUCAUUGAUAAGAGAAAGAAAAAACGUGAGCGGUGAUUGGAUUGAUGAGAAAAUAGAAUCCUGGGUCGCGAACAGUGAUUCGAUUGAUGAUAAAGAAAGAGAAUUCUUGGUUCAAUUCUCCACCUUAACAGCAGAAAAAAGGAUUGAUCAAAUUCUAUUGAGUCUGACUCAUAGUGAUCAUUUAUCAAAGAAUGACUCUGGUUAUCAAAUGAUUGAACAACCUGGACCAAUUUACUUACGAUACUUAGUUGACAUUCAUAAAAAGUAUCUAAUGAAUUACGAGUUCAAUACAUCCUGUUUAGCCAUAUAACAUUGAUUUUAAUAGCUCACUGACUUAAAUGAAAACUUUUGAAUAGUUUAGUAAUCAAAUUGUAACUUUUUUAGUUAAGCGACUAAAAUGAAAACUUACUUAUAGUUUAGGGACUAAUGAUGUAAUUUAUCCUUUUAUUUUUUAUUGUUCGUCAUUUAAUGCCCUCGAUAGUCUAUCUGGUGCAUAUAGCCUUUUCGAUAUCAUAUAUAGUUUCUUUUUUUUUUAGAAAAUUUGGGACACCAAUGACAAAUUUGUUUAUUUAAGGGUAAAUUACACUUAUAGUAAUCCAACUAUAAAAAGUUACAAGAUGGUCACUUAAUUAUUUAGAUUUUUUUUCUUAGUCACCUGCUGUUAAAGGGCUAAUGGGAAGAUGACGUGACAACUUUUAAAAUUGGUUAAACAACUUUUAACCAUCAACAUUUAUAUAUUGGUUCAAUUUAGUUUUGAUUCUAACAAAUUUAACUCUCAACAUUUUCACAUUGUGUAAUAUGCUUUUUUUCCAAUUUUGCUUUUCGUUGUGACCCUUUCACCUAAAAAGCUAAAAAAAAAACAAUCUAUCAACUAAAUUUGAUCAGAAAUAUACAAAAAAUAGAAACACCAAAAAAUCCAAGAUAAUAAUAUGCAUCUUAUGUAAUUCUUUUAAAAUUAACCCUCAAUGUCACAAAUAAAAGUAAAACUGUAAAAAGAGAGAGAGAGAGAGAGAGAGACCAAAUUAUAUAAUGUGUAAAUGUUGAUAUUUUUUUUUGAAAUCAAGACUAAAUUAACACAAUGCAUAAAUGUUGAGCGUUAAAGUUGUUAUUAUGCCAAUUUUAAAAAUUGUCAAGUUAUCUUUUUAUUAGCAAAUUAAUGGUCGGAGACCAAAAAAGAAAAAUUCAUAUAGUUGUGUGACAAAAAAGAAAAAGGGUGAAUAGUUGGAUGGUCAUUUUUUGUAAAGUUCCAUAGUUGGGUGACUCAAAAAAUACUAAAAGUUGGAUGACUACUUUCAAUGCCAUUUUUAUGAACAAAGCUAGCUUGAGAAAUUUUGAGAAAAAUAUGAAAAAUUUAAAAUAUUAAAACAUUGGGUUUUUAUUUAGAACAUAAGAUUUGUCACAAAUCUUUUAACUAGGUGUGAUCAAGUACCUAUAAAAUCGCCUUUUAAAAAUAUAAUUAGUUGGUUUGUUAUUUGAAAAUCAAAGAAAAUUCGAGUUCAGGAAUCAAUUACAUGCGAUGAAGGUAUUAACACCUUCACAAUGCCCAAAAAAAAUAUCUUAUUAAUUAUGUGUUGAUUUUAAAUUCAAAAAUUACAAGUUCAAAUUCAGUAUUCAGUCAUCAUCUGUAAUAUUCUGUUUGUUAAUUAUAUGUUUGUCUGCAUGUUGUGUGCAUUUUUACAUUUGCAUAAAUAAUUUGGGGUUUUGGUUGUGAAGAGAAGAAAGUUUGAUUUGAUCAGUUUAUCUGUAAUAUUCUGUACAACAAUUUUACUGCAUUAUUAUAUAUAUGUCAGCUUAGUUGCAUAUUUUCUUUUGAGUGGCUUAUACCCACUAUCGUGGUGUGUAGGGUGGAUCGGCCUACCAUAGCCCAAUUGUGGUGUGCAGGGUGGUCGGAGUGGUGUUCCGGUUGGUUGGGUGGGUUUUAAUAUUUAUUGCUUUCUUUUAUUAUUAUUAUUUUUAACUUUGUUGAAAACCUUUAUAUGAAUAUGUUUAUGUAACAUCUUUAACCAGACCUAGACGUUAGAUCUGAAUUCAAAAGAUUAUAUUAUCCACUAAAGUGGCUCAAUAAGCUAUCAAAGUUUUGAAAACGAUCAUUUUAAAACAUUUGUUUAUUUUGGUAGGAAAUUUAGAUACAACUCAAAAUUUUAAUUAUGAUUUAGCAACGGAAAAGUACUGUCUAUUUAUUUUUAAUAAAAAUCGGGGUUCAUGCAUACUAGUUAAUAAUCGUAACAUGAUGUCCUAAAAAUUUAAAUCAAGUGUUAUGCAAAAUAAAAACAAACUCAAAUCAUAAACCCCAUGCCACAAUUCGAAUAAAAUAAUAAUACAAUCUCUAAAUAAUGAAAUAUCAAAUAAUAUAUCUAAAAAUAUUUUAACAAAAUUGAGCCGAGACCCUCUGGAUCUAUAAGGAUGAAAAUUAAAGGGGGACUGAGCUAUGACGCUCACUUUGAGUUCCAUCACAAUAAAAUUAGCGUAACAGUCAGUAAGGCAUAUUAAAUAAUAAUGCAUAAAAUAAUCGCAAUUAAGUAGCAGUUCAAAAUAUCCAUUUUCAAUUUAGCCAUCAUUAGCAUAUAUAAUUUACAAUAGCAAUAUCAAAAUAUUGAUUUCACAGAUCACUCAUUCAUAUAUUUAGAUAUAAAUAUAUCUUACCAGAAAUUCUAGGUUUGCAUGCAGAUGCUUUCAUAGAUGCCAUACGGUAUCAGUUUUAACAGAAAAGAUCCUACUCCACCGCUACACACUACGAUUAGAGUUAUCCAAAACUCCAACCGCUAACACACCAAAUUAUGGAUUAACUACCAAUAGAUUACAGUUUUACUGCCAAUGGUUGUGGACACAAAAUAGUGCAGGUAAAAUCUGCCAAUGGCCAUGGAUGCAAAACAUGCUUGCAGAUGAUUACUGUCAAAGGGUUAUGGAUGCACAACAAAAACAUCACAGAUGGAAUCUGCCUAUGGUUGUGGGUACACAAUAAGCCGUCGUAGAUGGAAUUUGCCAAUGGCUGUGGGUUCACAGCAAAAUAAAUGCAGAUAUACUGCAAAUACUUCCUCUAUUCAUAACAUCCUAUCCCAUGUAAAGCAAUAUGACAUGUUCGGCAGAUUAAUAAAAUAACAUUAAAUUAUGCUUUUAACAAACAAUACAAUAGCAAUCAGUAUUCUUAUAAUGGUUUGGUUCAGUAGCAAUGAACAUGCUUGUGACAGAUUAAUUUAUUAGUAAAAAUCAUGCUUUUUUGUGUGCUUGGUUUGACACUUACAUAAGGCAUACCAUACAUACGAUUACAACCCCUAAAAUAAUAGACAUAUAUAUAAUGUUCACAAUUCAUGUGUAUAUAUAUAAAUAUCAUACUAAAUCAAUUCAUCAAAUCAUGGAUUCUAACAUAAUUCAUAUCAUCAGGGCUUAAUUGAAUAAUUUGAAGCACUAUAAAUAGUUCAAAAAUCAUUCAGGGACUAAACUAAACAAAACAUAAAAUUCUUGGUCAAAAUCGUAAAAUCUAAGGUACAGGGGACACACGACAAUGUGGAAAGCCCUAGACUGUGUGGAAGGAGUGCACGGCAAUGUGGCUAGGUCGUGUGACAGACUAUGGCCUUGUGGCAUUUGAAAAAUCAACCUAUAAGGGAGACAUGACCGUGUGGAGGGUCCUAGGCCGUGUGAGGGUCGAAAUAACCUAGGGUUUCAGGGGGACAUGGUCAUGUGAGGGGGCCGUGUGGUCCACACGGGUGGCCCACGCGCCUGUGUGGCACUAUCUUAGGCAUGAUUUUGCAUUGUUUCACUUGUAAAAGAACAUACACUUGACUUCGGGAUCUCAAACGAUGUUCCUUGCGCCUAAAUCUGAUUCGAGGUACCUAGAUCAAGUCCUUCAAAUGACAUUUAAGCAAGAAUUAAUAAUGAUAUUCAAGAUUUAUCAAGAUUACUGGGAAAUAUUGACAAGAUUCGUAAAAGAUCAUUUGAUCAAUCUUAAAAUUAACAUGAAUAAAAAGUCUACAGGAAUUUAAGAUCUAAACUUUAGGAUUAGAAUGUUCUUACUGAUUCUUGGCAACGAGCGGAGAAUGUUUCGAAUUGCGAUUACGAAUCUAGUUGAAAAGUGAGUUAAAAUCAAGAAUAGAUUUCAAUUUUGGGUAAUCAAGAACGAUUUUCAACAAUGGAACAAAAUUUUGAUGAAAAGAAAAGCAAAGAAAAGAAAUAGGGAAGAAAUAGAAAAGAUGGAAGUAAAGUUCUAGGAGAAUUGGAAAAGGAAACAAAAUCCUAGCCUAGUUAGGAUAAUGGUUUAAAUAGCUAGGGUUUUCAAAUUUUUAGGGACUGUUUGGAUGGGUGAUUAACCAUUCUUGCCGAAAAUAAAAAAGGAAAUAGGGUGAGUGGUGUGACUUAAACUUGGGAUUCAAGGGAGAAAUGAAUGAUGCUUAACCAUUGAGCUACUACCCACACUUGAUCAUUUUUUACUCCAUUCAAUAUAUAUUCUAUGGAGAUUUUCAUUCUAGUUUGCUGAAAAUGAAAAGAAAAAUAUGGGUGAGAUGUAACACCCCAAACCCAGCCUAGACGUUAUGGUCGUAUCUGGUAAUGUCACACGAUAGUGUUUUUCAAACCUCGUUGUUACGAUGAAAACAUUCCAUGUUAUUAUCUUUAGUAAACCUUUGUUAGAACUUAGGAAUUCACCUUUAUUCAUUUAAAACAUUUGUUUUGAAACAUCCCUCGUUACAAAAGCUUUAAUAAAACAGUCUAAGUGAUCAUACGUGUAGAAAAUACUUUAACUUUUUGAAAACCAAAUUUCCUAUUACCAACAGGUAUAAAUCCAUAAAGUAAAAUAAAUAAAUAAAAAUCCAAAAUUUAAAACCAAAGUCCCAGAGGGUCCUUAAAUUACAACCCAAAUAAUCAAUACUAAUUAAUCAUAAAACGUAAAUUGAAAACCAUGAAGUCCAAAAAUUUCUGUGGUCACCGCUGAGUCCUCCGUCGCACCGAUCCAUCUAAGUUUGGGGAUUACCUGUGCACAUUAAACAAAAAGUGUGAGUUUACGUAAACUCAGUGUGUAAUCCCGCAGAAACAAACAAGCAAUCAGUAUUCAUAGUGCACAGUUGAACAGUCUUGGGCCUAAGCCCUUUUCAGUAUCAGUGACAAUUUGGGCCUUAGCCCAUCUCAGUAUAGUGUCAAAAAUGCAGUAGGGCCUUAGCCCAUCACAGUAUCAGUAGCAGUAACAAUUAUGCAGUAGCAAAAUCCUACCCAUCCAGCCUUUACAUACCAUCUCCGUCCAACCCUGCACUCCAUGUGGGGAUAUAAUCAACCGAUCCAUCCUUACACUCCAAUUAGUAUCGAAUGCAGCACAAAACAGUAGUUUGCAGCUGAGCUACUAGUAAAUUAGGCUUAAAGCCUUUUAGUCAACUUCCUCCGAAUAACAACCUCUAACCCAAUGCAAUGCAACAUACCAUGGAUGAUAUGCUAUUAUGCAAUUUCAGUACAUAUAUUCAGUUAAGAUAUUAACAUGCUCAGUAUAAAUAUCAUUCAGUCAAUUUCACACAUUUAGGGGUCUAAGUAGCGCUUACCGACCUUACAGUAGGUUCACAGUCGACUUGGGCGACCCAUGCAACCUUAGAAACAUUCCAGUAAGAAUGAGCCCACAAGCCCGUGUGUGCCCGUGUAGCCCACUCUGCCCAAAUUGGCCUUGGUCGUGUGAUCCAUUUUUAAUGUAACCCAUGCUAGCUAAAUAUUCAUAUAUGUUUUCACUAUUUACUUAUAUGUUCAUUCAAAGCUGUCUACUUGAGUCAUUGUCACUAAAUUAUUUAUAUCUUGAGCUACAGAAUUAUAAAUUAAAAUCCACUUGAUGUUUUCAAAACUAGACUCAAAUACUUUUCUACCAUAAAAUUUUUAGAUUUUAUAGUUUAUCAAAUAAGUACAGUAAAAUCUUCAAAUCUAUCCCGAUUCUACUAUUUGACAGCUUCAAUCUUUCCUUACUAAAAUUAUUUAUCUCUUAGUACGGAAUUUGGAUGAUAUUUCUGUUUGUUUCUCUUGAAAAUAGACUUGUUAAGGACUUAAAAAUAUAAAUUUAAGCGCCUAAUUAUUUUUUACAAUUUUUGAUGAUUUUUCCAAAGUCAGAAUAGGGGAACCCGAAACCAUUGUUUCUUCCAUUGCUUACAUUGUUUCUUCCAUGAAAAACUAGAGUCAACAAAAUUUAAUUUCAUAUUUUAUUCAACCUCUAACUCUAUUUCCACUAUUUUAGAUGAUUUUUUCAAAGUUAGACUACUGCUGCAGUCCAAAACUAUUUUAGUGCAAAAUGUCGAUUUCCAAGAUUAUAACACCCUUAUUUCCUUUCUCUACAAUUUUUCACAUCAUUUUCUCUUAUUUCUCGACAGUAAGCAAUUUUGGCUUUUCGCUGAAUCUCAUUUUCUUCCUUUCGGGUACACACCUGUAUCGUUUUCGUUGCUUACGCAAUCCCGAGAUCACCAAAAACCUUCUAACUUUGCACAAUUCCACGACUACUCAACACGAGGGAAAUAGCAACCGAAAUGAUUCGUUGCUGUAAAAAUAACCAUUCCUCAUUAAAGAAGAGUUCAACAAAGUUAAGAACGAAUUCAAAGCCAAAACCACUCGCCCAAACAACACAAGAAAACACAUGCCCUAUACGCAUACCAAACGAUCACCCCUUCGAGUCAAAUCGAUGAAUGUUAAUUCCAGAUGCACGAUCGACUCCUAAACAAUCAACAAAACACCCCUUAAUCCCUUAUCCAGAGUAACAUUCGAGUUUAAUAAAAUGGAAACUUACCGUACAACACAAUUGCACGCUUGCACAAAGGGUAAAAGAUGAAGAAAGACAACGAAAACGAAAGGGGAAUUCAAAGGAAAUUCAACAACAAUGAUUUAUUAUUUAGAAAAAAAGAGGAAAACUGAAAAUUGAGAGUGAGGGAGAAGAGAGAAAAUGUUAGAAAGGUGGAAAAGAGUUCUAAAUUUGAAAAAAAAACUAAACAAAAAGAUAAUGCCUAAAAAAUCUGGUAACUCAUCUCCUUAGUUCUCUCCCUAACCUCCCACAACAACUCCACUACUCGAAAUUUCAAUUUGACUAGGACUCCACUACGCCACACGGCCAAGCAACAAAAAAAAUAAUUCCCUAGCUCAUGCAAGGACUUGAACUCUAGAUCUCCCACCUCCCAACACAUAGCUUAGCCACCAAACCAGCAAGCCCAUUCUAAUAAUAUUUGCCAACUUUUACUUAAAAGCCUACUGACCAAAGAUAGGGCUUAUUCAUAAAAAUACCAAAAUUUUCCCAAGUCCUGGCUUGAACUUAAAACCUCACACACACACAGAAUACUUAACCACUGAAGCAAAUACACAAUUAUGUCACACUUUCGCAAGAACAAAAAUAAAAAUUCUGGGGCGUUACAUGAGAUGUGGAUAAAACCUAGGACCAUUAGGAAAGUGCUAACUUUUUAACCAUCAAACCAAGGACAUUUCUUGAUUAAUUAACCCUAUAUAUUUUGUGGUGUUACAAUUUCUUAAUAGCUAAAUUUCCCAUUUAGCUUUAAGGUGAUAGUCAAUUCGGGAGAAAACCAUGAGAUUUAAAAUCGUACUUAAAAAACAUUUAUUCUGGUAUUUAUUAUUUCUCUUGUUUAAGGAAUAGACAUUGCCGUCUCAUAAAGUUAUAGUGACACCAGGUAAAAAAUAGUUCGUUGAUAUGGUGUUGAUAGACAUACAAUUUGAAGAAUCGAUAUAAUCUGUUAUCGUAUUCGAUCUAUGGAAAAACUCAUUGGCGUGUCCAUUUAAGUGGUUGGUUGGAUCUGUCAAGAGAAAUAACAAUCGAAUUUAAAUGACCCACACGUUUAAGGUUGUUGAUUCUUUUUGGGCUCUUCUAGUUCACAAGGCUAUCGAAGAGCUAAAUCGUGGACUCGUGUUUUGUGGUUAUUCGUUCGGUAAGGGUUAGUUUUUGGGUGUUCCCGUAAUUAAUUUACACACGGAAAGAUUGGUGGUAUUAGGUGCCCUCGAUUACUAUAACAGAUUUAUUGAUUGAAGGAGAAGAUGUUUUAUCAAAGAUCAGCUUGAAACUAGAGCCGAAAUUGAGCCUGAAGCUAGAAUAUUUUCACAUUGGUAUAUUCAAUCUAUUUUUUUUUACUUUUAUUUUGAUUUUAAGUAUUUCUAUUAAUUUUAUUUUAAUCAGAUUUAAUUCCCUUUUUUAUUUUUGUACGGAUCAUCACAUGUCGUGCUUGACACUCAACUUAGCUAAAUCGAAAAAUAAUUUUAGAUAUUCAAUCUCUGUGGGAUCGACCCUACUCCUUAUACUGAUGUUUAUAUAUAGUUUAGGCGUAGGAAUAUUAUUUUUGGUGGAUAUGGCACCAAUCAAUUAUCAAAUAAUUAUUUUCAAAAAUAUAUUUUAAAUUUUUUGACUAAACUACACAUUUAGUCAUCCAACUUUCAUAAAUUUUUAUUUUGUGCACUGAAACAGUGCCCAUAUUGUAGUCUUUUUAUUUUCAGUGCCCCAAAAUAAAAAGAUUGCAAUAUGGGCACUAUUGUUACAUACUUUUAUCAUUUUAGUCACUGUCGGGAGUGACGAUGAUAAAAGUAUGCCGAUAAAAUUUUUUAUGUUUGAAAUUAUCGAAAAUUUAAUUUUAAGGGAUAAAUCCCAAAACUAUACAUGAACUAUGGUUUAAUAUGCAAUUGUAUACAUGAACUUUGAUUUUGUGUAAUUUUAUACAUGAAAUUUUGAUUGGAUCCAAUUCUUUUAAAUUAUUAACACAAUUAUUGAUAUUACAUCAUUUUAUGUUUAUAUAUUGCAUGCAUAAAUAAUUACAUUUAUCCAAUAUAAAAAUAAACUGAUGUAUUUAUUUCUUUAAAUGUGUAUGAUUAAAUCAAAAUUAAAGUUUCAAGUAUAUAUUUGAACCACAAUUAGAGUUUCACGCGUAUAAUUCCACCAAAUUAAUGUUCAUGUAUACAAUUACACAUUAAAUCAAAGUUCAUGUAUAAUUUUUAGAUUUAUCCCUAUUUUUAAUUACUAAAAUUAUCAAAUGCGAGACGAAGUUUAACUUAGAACAUUUAAAUUAAAUAUGCAUUUAAUUCAUGAAUCAUCAAAUAAGAUAUAUUUAUAUUUUCUAUUUCAUUGAAUUGAUAUCAUAAAUUAAUCAAACAUCAAUUCAAUUCAAUUGAAUAGUAAUUAAAAAAUUAUUAUUUAUACUAUUAUAACUUAUUUUUAUUCAGGCUAAGCUCGAUUUUAAACUCACUAUCGCAGGUAAUCAGGUUUCUAGUGUUAAGUUUAAUUUUGAAAAAUCCAAGUUGAAUCUUGCUACACUUUCAUAGCUCGAUUUUAAUUUUUGACCUUAACUUGGGUUAACUUGGGUUUUGACUAUAAAUUUUUAAUGUUGGCUUUUAUGUUAUUUGUCAAUGUUAUUAACAUUUAAGGGUGGCCUCUUUUUCCAAAGGAAGAGAAGAAAAAAGAGAGCGGCGAAGAGAACAGUGAAGCAUUUUAAGAAAAGAAGCUUACAAGAGAGGAGGUGGAAGAAGCAGAAGAAGAAGAAGAGAAUAGAGCGAGAGGAUCUGCUGGUAUAGUAUAUACCUUGUAUUGUAACUCUCUUGUUUGCAUACGGUGAAAUCUCACUUUAAAUAAACAUGAAUAAAAGGUAUAUCUUUUUCAUGCAUAAUACUACUUUCUAAUAAACUUUUAAUUUCCCAAACCAAAAAUUGUUUUGAUGAAUUUUAAUUGAUUUCUAAUUUGCAAAAUUGGUAGCACUCCAUUUGUUGUUCAAAAUUCAUCUAGCAGUACAGAAUCAAUAAAUUUCAUAUGUGACGAAGAAUUGAAUCUAAUAUAUUAUGAUUUUAAAUAUUCAAUAUUAUCAUUUUAAUCAAAUUUUUAUUUGGUAAAUAUAUUUUUUAAUAAAUUUUUUUUCAUCCACAAAGUGGAUGUACUAUAAUUUAGUAAUAAUCAAUAGUCUUCAUUGAAUUCUUAAAAAUUUUGAGAUUUCUAAUUCGAAUAUCGUCUCAUUUAAAUGUGUAAAUUCUUUUUUAAAGUUUUUCAGAUCAUAGUUGAUAUAGUUAUUUAAUUUAAUUCAAAGUUUUCCUAGUUAUAUGUAAAUGAAAAAAUUGCUUCUAAGGUACCUUCACUCAUGCUUCUAAUUAUUAAUUAUUUCAAAUUAUCAAUAUAUUUGUUUUAAAAUAAAUAAUGAAAACCGAAUAGAGAAACAAAGAGAAAACUAGAUGCCUCUACCUAAUUUUACAUCAAAUCAUAGUCAUUAUAUCUUGAGAUUUUCGAUUAUUUAUGUUUGAAGUUUGGAAUUUUCGUGUCGAUUUAUUUAAAAUUUAAUUUUUAUGAACAGUUUAAUUUCUAUAUAAUUUUACAUAUUAUUUAUGAGUUAACAAAAGUAUUGAAAUAAUUUUUUUAAAUUUAAAUUUAAAUAAUUUGUUUAAAAAGUUUUACAUGACAACUUUUUAAAAUCCGAACCCAAUUGUUUAGAUUUUUUAUAAAUGUUGUAUUUAUACAAGUCGAUUCAUAAAAUCACUCUCAAGUCAAUUCAGUUUCUUAUUUUUAUUAUAGCAUUAAAUGAUCUAUCCAAAAUAAUUGAUCCAAAAUAAUGGUGCGAUAGACAUCGGAGCUGUAUCCGGUAGAAGCUUAAUGUCGAACUCAACUUCUCGAUUCAGAGGUAAACCCGGUAACUCCUCAGAAAAACAUUCGAAAAUUCCCUCACUGUUCUCAUAUCCUCAACAGAAAGUCCCAAGAAAAACUAAAACACUAACAUAAGCCAAAUACACCUCACACCCUUUUUGAACCAAUUUCUCAACCACUAGAGCGGAGAUUACAUUAGACUAGUAAUCUCGACGCUCGACAAUUACGACAACCUCCUUAUCAUCCUCAGUCGUUAGAACGAAUUAGUCGCACAAUCCAAGCUAACUCGAUGCUCAACUAACCAGUCCAUACCUAGAAUUAAGUCGAACUCCCCAAACGGUAGCUCCAUCAAAUUUGCCGGAACACACAGCCCCUUGUACCCCUAUAUAGUCUACUAACCCGAACAGAUUGCCCUAACGGACUCAGUACAAUAAUCUCAGUAGAAGUACAAUCAACAGAAAUCCCCAAGUUCUCAAAAACAGAACUAGCUACAUAAGAGUGUGUAGAACCUACGUCUAUCAAAGUAGUAUAUGGAGCAUCAAAAUAAAGAACGUACCCGUGAUCACAUCAGGGGCAUCUCUGUCCUCUCAGUGUCGAGCAGCAUAAACCAGUGCAGGCUGCCUCGCCUCAAUCUGAUUAGCAUCUCUACCCGGUGCUCUGUCCUUAGCCCAUACCAUUACCAUCCCUAGCCAGUCCACGGCCUUUAGGUGGCUGCUGCAUUGCUCACUAAGGCUGAGUAGAACCCGGUCCCGAAGCUUGCAUCUGAUCCACACGAUGUGGACAUUCUCUGAUCCAGUGCUCUAAUGAUCCACAUUUUAGAAAAGCCCCUAAUCUCCUCCAACACUCGCUCGGAUGGCGCCUACCACAAUCACCACAAGGUUGAAUCCAAGUAGGAGCAACAGGAACUCCCACUCUAACAGGCCCAUCAGGUCUAGCUUGUUUCUUAGGCCUUUGAACAGAACUAGAGGGCUCCGAAUCCCUCUUAUUCUUGCCCCUCUCUCUGUCUUUGCUCUGGCGCUCCACGCACUUAACAUCUUCGGCAAUCUUUGUAUUAUCUACCAAAACAACAAACUCACGCUCCCUCUGCGAAGUAAUUAGACGCUCAGACUAUCCCUCAAACCAUCCUCAAAACGGACACAUUUGUCAUACUCGGAUGCCACCAUGCCUCGAGCGUAGCAGCUUAAUCUCAAAAAUUCAGCCUCAUACUCAACCACAGACUUAUUACCUUACGUGAGAUUCAUAAACUCAUGCCUAUGAGCAUCAACAUAGCUCGCGCCCACAUAUUUUCCCUGGAAGGCAGUCUUAAAGUAGUUUCAGUUCAGAUGAUCCAGUUGAGUACCCUCCUCUACCGGUAACCACCACUGAUACGCCUCAUUGUGACGUAAAGAAACUGCACCCUUCAAUUUCUUCUUAGGAGUGUUGUCAAUGUCAUUCAUAAUCCUCUCAGUAGCCACCAACCAAUACUCGGCCACAGUAGGGGCGACUCCAGUGACACUCCUAAACAACUCAGCUCCAUUGAACCGGGGUCGUUCAGUUACUGACCCACGGCCCUCAAAUCCAGAAUAGGGUCCAACGACCCUCUCCAACACCCUUAACAUGGCUUGGGACAAUGCGUCGUCCCCAACUGAGCGGCUUUGAGGCCCAGUCUCAGUAACAUGUGAAACUGAUAUCUUACUCGUAUCUAAAUUCGGUAUACUACCCAGAGAGGAAGACUCAGCUUGAGCCCCCUACGGCGCCUGCCGCACCCACGAAUAUUACGAUCGCGAGUUCCACGAGUGCUCAUCGUAUUUUUAGUUUUAUCUACAUUAUAAAAUUUUAUGCAUCAGUUCCAGUAUUUAUUAAUAGAUAUUUUAUGCUCAAGUUAUCAGAAGUUCCAAAGGAUUUCAGAGGUUUUAAUCUCUAACUAACUUAGUGCAGUUUCAGAAAGUACUAACCACAGUAUUUUCAGAAAAUUCUAUCUAAGUUUAGAAAUACUUACAGGAUCGGCGCCGAAGACUUGAUGUACCACAUACGUACUGAAAAUUAUUCAAAUCAAUUAAAAGCCAGUCCUUUGUCAAAACAUAAUUUUGGAACCCAAAAUUCACAGCCCGAGUUUUGUAACUUGGCUCUGAUACCACUAAAUGUAACACCCCAAACACGACCUAGACGUUAUGGCCGAAUUUGAUAGUGUUACGAAGAAGGGUUUUGAAAUUGAUGAUUUUUCAAUAAACCAUGUUUAACUAUUUGAUAAAACGUCCAAGUAUUAUAAAACAUAUUCAUUACUGAAACCGUUAUAAGUUGUUCCUUAAAAUUAAUCGUUUAUUUUGCAGCGGAAGUUUGGAAAUCGUUUAAAACAAAAACCAAGCUCAUGUUUUCGAAAACCCAUUUGUUGCGUAAAGUGUUUUUGUUGACGUUACGAAAAAAUAGCAAAACAAAAUCCAAAUGCAAAAGUUAAAACCAAAUUGUUUGAAGAGUCCCAAAAAUUACAAACUAUCAAGAAAAACCAAACUUUAAAAUUAAACCACUAAUUACUAAAUAAAAACAGUUCUUGGUCGAGUGGUCACCGCUAAGCCUCCGUCGCACCGACCCGCCUAAGUCUGUGGAUUAAUUGAACAGAACAGACAAACAAUUGUGUAUUUUCGUAAACUCAGUGUGUGACCCAAUAGAAAUAGCCAUGCAACAUGCACAGUGUUUCAUAUAAAGUCAGAUACAGAUUCGACCUUAAGUCCAUAACAAACACAAAUAUCAGAAUCAGAUAAACAAAACAAAUAUACAGAAUCCUACCCCCAUCCUCUACACACCGUCUUCGACCAUCCCAUCACACCACGUAGGGUUAAAAACACCCACCCAUCCCUACACAUUAUAUAAUGUCGAUGCGACACAUAAUAGAUAAUAUGCAGUCAAGCUGCCAAAAUAUAGGCGAAGAGUCGCUACACAGAUCACUUCCUCCACAUAUACAAUUUCCACUCCAUUCACAGAUACAAAGUACAGAUGCAGAAAUAUCAUAUUAAACAUGCUUAACAUGCUCGUAUACAGAUAGAUACAUAAUUAAAUAGUACAAUCAUACAUACAUAUCAGUAUCCUACUCAGAUCAGUCUAUCAAAAUAUCAAAUCACAUGAAAUAAGGUUUGGUUAGCCCUUACUGACCCUACGAUAGGCCCACAAUCGAUCGGAACGACUUGUGCAACUUUAGGGAAAGGUUCAGAAUUCUGGGCCCACAUGCCCGUGUGGCCCCACACGCCCGUGUGGCCUACUAGCUUAGCCCAAAACCCACACACCCGUGUAGUAUGCCCGUGUGGCCCAUACGCCUAACUUGGCCUAGCCCGUGUAGCCCAUACGGCCACACUCACACCGUCACAAUACCGUGUCUUGCGCAGGACCACUCCUUCAUCACUCACACGGCCGUGUCUCGCACAUGGCCAUCUACACGGUCAGCCACAUGCCCAUGUAGCGUCGACAGGCUUCAUUUUUAGCUUUUAUCGAAACUCGAUUUUUCGUGUUAGGAGUACACACCUGGUUCAAUUUUGAUGCGAAAUCACUCUUGAGACCACUAAAACCUAAAAUUUAUCAUUAAAAAGUCAAAUUUAGCUGCAUAAAAUGAUGUUAAACUGAAACUAUAUCGAAUUAACAAUCUCUUGUUCAACCAAAACCCUUACCUUCGAAUGAACAACAGUGAUUUCCUGCAGUUAUAACACUGAUGGAAAGCCUUGAGCCCCUUGAUCUUCUCCUAAACGACAAUAAUGAAACCCCAUCAACCAAAAAUUCACUAGCCAAAAACAAGAACCAAACUUACCAAACCGAAAUUGGGUACCAAGACCGAAAUACAAUGAAUUGCACCAACAAAUUUAAUUAUCGAAACAAAAGAGGAAAGGAGAGCAAAAAUUGACAGAAGUCGAAAAGAAGAAGAAAACAAAACGUCAAAACAAAAAAAAAGAUUUUGGGAAAAAAAUAAAAGAAGAUAAAAUAAAAAUAAAUUAAUCUCAAAAUAAAAGUCCCACUAUAUCCACUCCUAACCAACUGAUAACUACCCAUUUAAACAGACUUUCGAUUCCAUCCAAACUUAGUCAACCGAAGCAAAAAUUAUCACCCUCGCUCACGUAGAGAUUCAAACGUAAGACCUCCAGCAAGCUAACUCAUUACCACUCGAACCAACAGGCUCAUUUUGAUAUAGAUUAACAGACAAUUUAUAUAAACCCACCCAAUAGGGAUAAGGCCUGGAUAAAAAAUAACAAAAUUUUUCCAAAUGUAGGACUUGAACCCUAGACCUCACACACACACACUCAAAACACUUAACCACUAAAACAAACUUAAAUUAUUCAAGGCGUUACAAAGUGGAUUGAAUUUUAGCUUGAUUGGUAUAGGUAUUAUUGUCAAUGUAAGAGGAUCUAGUUUCGAGUGCACUUAAACGCUUUAUCCUCCUAUUUAUGGGUUGGAGAGGGGUUAUGGGUUGAUGAGGGGUUAUGGGUAGUUCUUGGCAUUGUGUUAAAAAAAAUAGAUAUCAUCAAAACUUAUAAUGAGAUUAUUAAAAAAAUGUAUAAACAUAAAACAAAUUUUUUUUCAUCAUUUUCAGAUUUAAAUAAGCUUUAGAUUAAAAUAAAUUUGUGUUGCUUGAGGUUUUCGGAUCUAUUUACUCUCAUUUAAGUUGUAAAGUUUUUAUGAGAGGUAAAAUGCCAUCUCACCAUUUUAAUAGCUUACAUCUUUAUAAUUAUUUAAGGACUAAAUCAAAAUUUUAUUAUUUUUAAAAGUCAAAGUAUAAUUUUUACCAUAUACUAAUUUAUAAAAUUUAUAAAAUUUAAAACGCUAAAACAUAAACUUGCCAUUUUAGGGUGCAGAGCCAACCCCUAUAUUUCGAAUUUGAAUCAAUUUAAGUUUGAAUUUUUAUAUGAUUAAAGAAAAAUAAAAUAAGCUUUAUUUUAAAUUCAUCAAGUUAAAUUUAUCAAGUCAAAUUUUUAGUUAGAAAUCAAAAUUGCAAGGUUUACCUAUAUUAAGAAAAAUUAGCUACUCAAAAAUUGUUAAUAUAUGAACCUGUGUAUUGGCCUGAUGGUUAGGAUAUUUAUCGCCCCAAGUGUGACCUGGGUUCAAGUCGCAUUGCUAUUAGGGCUUUGCCCUCCUCUUAUAAUUCACCAAAAAAUUUGUUGAUAUAUAUUAUAUAGAGAUAGUAAACUAUUCGAAAUUUUUGAGUUGAUUUAUUUAAAUUUGAAUUUCUAUGAAUUUUUAUGUAUUAAUAGUUUAACUUAUAUAUAAUUUUACAUAUUAUUUAUGAGUUAACAAAAUUUUUGAAAUAAUUUUUAUUUAAAUUUAAAUUUAAAUAAUUUAUUUUAAAAGGUCUACAUGACAACUUUUUAAAAUCCGAACCGAAUUGUUUAGAUUUUUUUAAAAUGUUAUAAUUAUACAAGUUGGUUCAUAAAAUCACUCUCAAGUCAAUUUAGUUUUUUUUAUAGCAUUAAAUGAUGUAUCCAAAAUAAUUGAUCAGAUUAACUUAUAUGUCAGUCUAAAAUCAGCACUAAAUGUUAAACAAUUAUGUUAAAUUUAAUUUUUAUGAUUAAAAAUAUAAAUAUCAAUAGUCAUAUUAUUAAAUUUUAGAAAUAAAAUUUUUAACAAAAAUAAUUACUUCAUCUUUAAAUUGUUUUUCACUAUCAAUUGACUAAAUUAUAAUAAAAUUUAUAGCAGCCUCAGUGAAAGGGGGUGCUCAUUCUAGUAAAAGGCAUAAUGUUUUCUUUUUCUUUUUUUAUCUUUUAAUGUUAUAAAAAAGUCAUUUUAGUUUUUCAUUUACUUUUUUAUCUUUUAAGUCUUUAAAUUUGUAUUUUUGUCAAAUCACUCCAAAAAUGAAUGGAAAAGUUAACAUUUUUAACUUUGUUGAUGUUGUAUACAUGUGGACUGCUAUAGGGAUGACAUGCCAACAUUUAAUUAAUUUUUUAAAAUUUAAAAAAUUUAAAAUAUUAUAAAUGUUGGCGCCAUUUUUUUUGAUGAAAACGGGGUCGACUUGGGUUUUGAAAAAUGAAACGGGAGUCGCCACCAAUCCUUUUUUAUGAGGUGUGAUUGGAUCACCUUGAAAAGUGGUUGUUUUUAAUAAACGGUUUAGUUUUAUUAAAACAACGAUUUUGGUCCACAAAAUUCAGAAAAAUGGGUUCGGGAGUCGGUUACGCACGAGGAAGGAUUAGCACCCUCGAUACGCCCAAAAUUGGUACCUAAUUGAUUACUUAAUGUCUUAAUGUCGAAAACUUUGAAGAACUUUAAAAAAUACGAUCCUUAUAUUAAAAUAAAAAUUUUUGGGAAAAGUAGCAUAUUUCACGUUAAUCGAGAAAGAGAAUCAUAUCCAGUAAGUUAGGAUACAAUGUCUCAAAUUCCCAACACGCAAAUGAAAAAUGCUUAUUUAAAAGAUAUUUUAGCCAUCUCGGAUUUAAAAAUGAGAUCACGACCCGUAAGUUAGGACGCAAUUUUUUAAUCCCGAGAUCAUUUAAAAUUUGAGUUUAAAAAGAUUCGUCAUUUAGAUUUAUCGUGAAAAUCGAAACCCAGUAAGUUAAGAUACGAUCCUCUCGAAUCUAAAGACGAAAUAUUAUUUAUUCAAAACAAAUUAUGUUAUGUCGAGUAAAAUAAAACACUAAAAUCGUAGUAAAAAAAUGUGAAAGCAAUUUGCAUUGUUGUUAUUCAUGGCAAAAUCAUAAUGAAUACAAAAGUAUAAAAUGAUAUGAGCAAUAGCAACAAUAAUAAAUAAACGUUAGUCCUACAAUCAUAUAAAAUAACAAUGUAUAUAAACAAAUAAAUCAAAACUUUCAUUCAAAAUAAUAAUAAAAUGAAAUAAAUAGUGAACACAAAUAAAACGUAAAGGAAUAUAUAUAUGUAUAGAAAUGUAAAUUAAAAUAUGUGUGUAUACGUAAGUUACAAAAUAUAUGAAAUAUAUAUAAAGUAUAUUUUAAAAUAUAAAGAAAAAAUAAAUAUGUAUGAAGUGUAUGUAAGUAUAUAAAUAUGUAUAUAUAAUAAAGGUGUAUGAAAAUAUAUUUUAUAUACAUGUAUUUAUAAAAAAAUGCAUAUAGAUAUAUAUAGAUGGUUUUAAGCUAUGAAGUAUGAAAAAUAUGUACAUGUAUGAAUUAUAAAAUAUAUAAAAUAUGUACAUAUAUAUAUGUAAAAAUAUGUAUUUAUAUAUUUAUAAAGGUUAGAAAUAUGUACGUGUAUUAUAAAUAUAUAUGCAUAUAUAAAUAAAUUAUAAAAUAGGUAUGUUUAUAUGUAUAUAUAUAUAUAUUACAAAAAAAUGUGUAUAAGUAUAUGUAAAAAUAUAUAAUAAUAUAUGUAUAUAUCUAUAAAAGCAAUUAUAAUAAUAAUAAUAAUGCAAUAACAAUAAUAAUAUAAAAUUUGUAAAGAAAAUAAACAAAAUCACUAAAGGAUUAGAUUAAACAUUAAACAAGAUUCGGGGGGUUCAAAGCGCAAAUAAACGAAAGGGGAGGGAUUGCUCUGAACACGCAUGUAACAUGGAGGGACCAUCAAAGAAAAUUACCCUUCCUUUAAAACGGCGUAGUUCGAGUAAGGACGAAGUUGAAAAUACGAAAAAAUUUUGGGUAAAUUUAAAAGAUCAAAAGAACCUAAUUUAAAAAGCAUUAAAAAAGCGGAAGGGCUAAAGGUGCAAUUAGCCCUUCCGUCAAAAACACGCGGAUCCCUAGAUCAGACGGGUCGGGUCGCGGGUCGGAUCUCGGUUUAGACGCAAAACGGCGUCGUUUGAGGCCGAAUGAAACAGGCCAAAACGACGCCGUUUCAUUUAGGUAUUUAAACCAAUUUUUGUUUAAAAAAAUCAUUCAGCCCCAUUCCCCUUUUUUAAAAAAACUAAAAACUUCUCAGUUCUCUCUCCCUCUUCCCCUUUCUUGAUCUCGGGUCCGGCCGAGGGCCACCUUGUCGGCCGUCGGAUCGCCGGUGCCAGUGACGCCGUACACGGUGGCCGGCGAGUGGAGAAAGGCGUGCCCUUAGAGAUGCCUAUCUCCUAAACCCGAAUCCGGCCUCAAAAUGACCAAAAACGAAUGGGAAAAGGCUGUUAGGCUUCUCUACAGUCGGUUUCCUCACCGGAGAAGGAGUUUCCGACGAGGAGGAAACAGCGACCCGCGGUGAGUCUCUUUUUUCUUUAUUUUAUGUUUUUUAUUUCGUUUAAAAAAUCAAAAUAAAAUAAAAUAAAUACAACGAAAAAAAGAAAAAGUAAAUAUUGCAAUCGAAAACCCAGGGAAUCACCUUGAAGCUUGAUAUUUUUUAUUAUUCUGUUGAAAUUUGUUUUCUUGGUUACAAAUCGAAAAAAGAAAAAGAAGCCCUUUUGAUUUUUUCAAUCGGCCUUAUAUAGCCAAACUACAAAAUAAAAAAUCUCCUUUUGCUAUCCGUAUUUGCUGUUGCUUGUUGGUGUUUGUUGCAGGUACUGGCGGAGCAGUUGGAGCAGGUGAGUCGGUGGCAAGUGGGCGUGGUGACGGCUGUGAACAGAGGGCAGGUGAGGAGGCCAGGAGCAGGUGCGGCACAACAAGGGGCUAGGGUUUCUGCUAGGUGUUUAUGUUUUGGGCUGAUUGGGUUAGGCUAGUUGGGCCUGGGUAGUUUUUAGGUUAAAAUUUGUUAUUGGGCCCUGGGUCAAAAAUUGGGCUUGUACAGCUGCCCCUCUUUGCUCGUUGUCGUGUAACGAUAACAGAGCAAAGACUAAGAAAGACCAAUUUUUGUCCAGUCUUUGCCGAGUAUUGACUUCUCUUGACGCUUCUUUUCAAGUAACUUUAUUCUAGUCCACUGUGUCUUGUUGCGUCGACCCACUCCACUGUAACUUCCAAAAGACAAAACUUGUAGCUUCAAUCCACUCUAUUGUAGCUUCAGGGGGUAAGGUCCAUCAUUUUGACCCGCUCCACUGCAACUUCAGGGAGAUCGGACUCAUAUCUUCAACUUGCCCCACUACAACUUCAGGGGGAUAAGAUUCGUGACUUCAACCUGCUUUACUGCAACUUCAGAGAGACAAGGUUUGUGACUUCGCUUCCAUCUAUUCUACUACAACUUUAGGGGAAUAAGAUUAGACAUGAUAAGAAUCACUAUCUUCUGUCCGCUCCGCUACAACUUUAGGGAGACACGCCUUAUUGUUUUCAGUCUGUUCCACUGCAUCUUCAGGGAAAUAAGACUUGAUGCGAUCUACUCUGCUGUAACCUCAGAGAGAUAAGAUCUUUUAUUUUAAUCCGCUCCACUGUAACUUCAGGGAGAUAGGAUAGUGUCUUCGAUCUGCUCCGCUGUAAUCUCAGGGGGAUAAGAUCUGAAAUUCUUUGGUCUAUUCCACUGUAAUCUCAGGGAGAUAAGACCUGAUGUGAUCUUCUCUACUGUAACUUCAGAGAGAUAAGAUCUUUUAAUCCGCUCCAUUGUAAUCUCAAGGAGAUAGGAUUACUAUCCUUGAUCUGCUCCGCUGUAAUCUCAGUGAGAUAAGAUCUGAAAUUCUUUGGUCUGUUCCACUGUAAUCUCAGGGAGAUAAGACCUGUAUAAUAAACCUAAUUAUGCCUAAUGAUUAGGAUGACAUGAUCAAAAUGAAACAAAUGCUCCUAACUAGACAUAUGUGAAUGGUGUUUGCAUGAAUGCAGAAUUUUAUUUUUCCGAGAAUGAUCUCGCUUAGGUUAUCACUACUCGAAGUUUAUCAAGGUUUUGUGACUGAUGUGCUACAACGCCUUCUCGCUUGGCUGAUUUUUCUGAAGAAACAUUUAGCCAGACUGUCCCCAUUGUAAACCUCAAAGUUAUAUCCACUGGGAUGCCAAAAUUUGUACCAUCAUUCUCUCACAGUAAUCUAAGGGUAGAAAUAUGUGGCUUUUCCUCUGUCCUCUUUUAUCACAAUUUGGGGAUAUAGGAUCUGAACCGUUCUGGUUUCCUACACCAUUCUCAAGGUGUCGUACCAAAGUCUUAUGCGCAAGUGAAGGCUCUCUUCUCCGAGGUAACCUCUUCCUAUUGCCUGAUGAUCAUUGCUUGCUUGUUCAUUUAAGCUUUGUAAUUAACACGACAGCUUGUCAUUUUGUUCAAUCAAUGUUUAGACGACAAAAUCUGAAAGGAUAGUCUUUAACUUAGACUCUUCCUUCCUAGCUAUUUCACCCUUUAAACUUGGUAUUUUCUAAACAAUAGUCAUGUUUCAGGUCCCUAUAUUAUUUAGAAAUUUUCCAGAGUAAUGUGCAAAACUUCUUUCCUGAAAGUUUUAUUAGUUCGUUAAUCAUUAUUCCUAUGCAACAUGUUUGCAAAAAGAUCAUAACAAUGGAUAAGAAUAAAGCUAGCUCUGAUCAUAACUCAAAUAAAACAUCAAAGAUGGCGAAAGAAAGGUAACAAAGAAGUGGAUUGAGAAUGUGCGUUUUCACAAAAGGAAAGGAAGAAAUAAAGAAAAUAAAAAAAUGUAUUUUCAAGAAUACACAUAAGAACUAGGUGCCCCAGUUAUCACCGAUUGAGUUUCUCUGUACAAACUUUCCGAAGACCCUUCUAAGUUUGACAUGUGUUCAGGAGAUCUGUAAUACUCUGUCAAUGUUCCAAGACGUUGCAUAUCCUUUCUCAUUGGUUCAAGUAAAGGAAGAUCAUCAUAUCCCCCCGAUCAAAAUUUGAUCCGCUCAAGUCCUGAUGUUCCAAUCCUGCCCAAUACUUGAGUCGCCCUUUUCGGGUUUUCGACUCAAGCCCUCUUUGGUCUCAAAGUGCCCUUUACGGGUUUUCACCUUAGCCUCUCCAAAGUCUCCCCCUUUUUUUUUUUUUUAGGAAGCAAAGCGCCCUUUACGGGUUUUCACUUUGGUUCCCCUUUCUUUCAAGUGAAGUACUUCUUGACGGAGUCUGCGUUUACAGGAUUUGGUAAAUUUUUGCCAUCCAUCUCGCAUAGGAUCAAAGCUCCACCGGAAAAGGUCUUCUUUACAACAUAAGGGCCUUCCCAAUUUGGCAUCCAUUUUCCUCUAAAAUCUUUUUGCAUAGGAAGAAUCUUUUUUAGUACCAAGUCCCCUUCACGAAAUUCUCGGGGGCGAACCUUUUUAUUAUAGGCUCGCAUCAUUCGUUUCUGGUACAUUUGCCCAUGGUGAAUAGCUCUUAGCCUCUUUUCUUCUAUUAGGUUCAACUGAUCGUACCGAGAUUGGAUCCAAUCGGCUUCAUCCAACUGUAGCUCAGAUAACACCCGUAGAGAAGGGAUUUCAAUUUCAAUGGGUAAUACUGCCUCCAUUCCAUAAACCAGAGAAAAAGGCGUUGCCCCAGUAGAAGUUCUAACAGAUGUUCGAUAGGCAAGGAGAGCAAAUGAUAAUUUCUCAUGCCAAUCCUUGUAGGUUUCAGUCAUUUUCCCCACAAUCUUUUUAAUGUUUUUAUUGGCCGCCUCCACUGCACCAUUCAUUUUGGGACGAUACGGCGAUGAGUUAUGAUGCUUAAUUUUAAAUUUGCUACAAACUUCAGCUAUUGUGCUAUUAUUCAAGUUCAUCGCAUUGUCGGAUAUGAUCCUCUCAGGCAUUCCAUAUCGACAAAUGAUCUCCUUCUUCAAGAAUUUGCUGACUACUGCUUUCGUGACAUUUGCAUAUGAAGCAGCCUCCACCCACUUGGUAAAGUAAUCAAUUACUACGAAGAUGAAGCGAUGCCCAUUAGAAGCCUUUGGUGAUAUUGGCCCAAUAACAUCUAUACCCCACAUGGAAAACAGCCAAGGAGAGGUCAUGACGUGAAGAGGUGAAGGAGGCGCGUGUAUUUUGUCUCCGUAAAUUUGGCAUUUGUGGCACUUCCUGGCAUAAUCAAUACAAUCUCCUUCCAUUGUGGGCCAAUAGUACCCAAAUCUCAUGAUCUGUCUGGCCAUCGUGAAACCACUGGCGUGCGUCCCACAAAUACCCUCAUGGACUUCUUCCAAAAUUUUCUUGGCUUCUACAGCAUCCACACAUCUUAACAGUACUUGAUCCUUCCUUCUUUUAUAUAACACUUCUCCAUCUAAGACAUAUUCAAUGGCUAUCUUUCUCAGAGUUCUUUUGUCAUUCUCUGUCGCUUGAUCAGGGUAUUCCCGAUUCUUCACAUAUUGUAGGAUACUCUGAUACCAAGGACAAUCAUCUUUUCCCUCCUCCUCAAUAUUGCAGCAAUUAGCCGGGGUCUCAGAGAUACUCAUCUGGACAGGCCUCAUUGCCUCAAGUCUAUUCACCUGAAUCAUCGAAGCUAGAGUAGCUAAUGCAUCAGCCAUUUGGUUUUCCUCCCGUGGGAGGUAAUAGAAGGUGAUAUCGUCAAACUCCUCAGCCAAUUCAAGAACUAGUUUUCUAUAACCGAUUAGCUUAGGAUCUCUAGUCUCCCACUCCCCUUUAAGUUGGUAUAUCACCAACGCUGAAUCCCCGUAUACUCUCAAUACUUUGAUGUUCCAUUCAAUGGCUGCACGAAUGCCCAUAAUACAUGCUUCAUAUUCUGCCAUGUUAUUUGUACAAUCGAAGUCCAACUUGCUAGCAACAGGAUAAUGAUCUCCACUUGGGGAUACCAAGACUGCCCCAACUCCAUUACCCGUAGCAUUUGAAGCUCCAUCAAAAUUUAACUUCCAUACGUGAUCCAUUUGAGGAUUUUCUUCAGUAUUCGCCACAUACAUCAAGUCCUCGUUUGGAAAAUCGAAAUUCAAAGAUUCAUAGUCCUCCAAGGCUCUACUAGCUAGGAAAUCGGCUAUUGCACUUCCCUUUAUGGCCUUCUGACUGACAUAUACUAUAUCAAAUUCUGAGAGCAAGAUCUGCCAUCUAGCCAUUCUCCCGUUCAAAGCAGUCGAUUCCAUCAUAUAUUUUAAAGGAUCUAACUAUGAAAUCAGCCAAGUCGUGUGAUACAACAUAUACUGCCUCAGUCUUCGGGUUGCCCAGAUUAGAGCACAACACAACUUCUCAAUUGAUGAGUACCUCAUUUCGCAAUCGGUAAAUUUCUUACUGAGAUAGUAUAUUGCCCUUUCUUUCUUUCCCGCCUCAUCAUGUUGGCCCAAUACGCAUCCCAUGGAAUUCUCCAACACUGUUAGAUACAAUAUCAAUGGCCUAUCUGGACUUGGAGGUGAUAAGACUAGAGUAUUAGCCAAGUACUGCUUUAUCUUAUCGAAAGCCCUCUGACACUCUUCAUCCCAUUCGCCCGGAUUAUGUUUCUUUAAGAGCCGGAAUACUGGAUCACAUUUCUCUGUCAGUUGUGAGAUGAACCGAGCAAUGUAAUUCAGCCUCCCUAGGAAACCUCGAACCUCCUUCUGAGUGCGCGGGGGAGGUAAAUCUCGUAUUGCCUUUACUUUGUCUGGGUCAACCUCGAUCCCCUUUUUGCUAACUAUGAAGCCUAAUAACUUCCCUGAUCUGGCUCCAAACGUGCAUUUGGCCGGGUUAAGCUUGAGCUGAAAUUUUUUUAAUCUCAAAAAUAACCUUUUCAAGACCUGAACAUGCUCUUCUUCCGUUCUAGACUUCGCGAUCAUAUCGUCAACAUAGACUUCGAUCUCCUUGUGCAUCAUGUCAUGAAACAAAGUCACCAUAGCUCUUUGAUACGUUGCUCCCGCAUUCUUCAAUCCGAAGGGCAUUAUAUUGUAACAGAAUGUUCCCCAUAAGGUAAUGAAUGUGGGUUUCCUCAUGUCUCCAGGAUGCAUCUUUAUUUGAUUGUAUCCAGAGAAACCGUCCAUGAAAGAAAACAAUGAAUAGCCGGCCGUGUUAUCUACCAAAGUAUCAAUGUGAGGCAGUGGAAAGUUUUCCUUUGGACUAGCCUUGUUUAAAUCCCUAUAAUCCACACACAUUCGUACCUUUCCAUCUUUUUUGGGAACCGGGACGAUGUUGGCUACCCAAUCCGAAUACUUGACCUCUUGUAAGAAACCAGCGUCGAAUUGUCUUUUAACUUCUUCUCUUAUUUUCAACACAAUGUCAGGUCUCAUUCUCCUAAGCUUCUGUUGAACGGGUUUACAAUCCUCCUUUAUGGGCAGACGAUGCACCACAAUGUUAGUACUUAGCCCAGGCAUAUCUUGGUACGACCACGCGAAAACAUCCUUGAACUCUCAGAGCAAAUUAAUAAGGUCUUGCCUUGUCUUUGCGGUGAUUUCAGUUCCAAUUUUCACCUCCUUUUCGUCCUCUAGGCUCACUAUUUCUAACGAUUCCCUAUGAGGUAGGAUAUGCUUAUCCUCUUGUUCCAUCAUUCUUAACAAGUCCGGAGAUGCAUCAUAAUCUUCGUCAUUUUCAAAGUCGUGGGAUCCCUCUGAACACACUUCUUGCUCAAAAAUAGGCUCCAUGUUUGAGGCUCAUAAGGGCAGAUCUCCAACAAAGCCCUCCUUUCCGUUGCUUCUAUGGCGUUGGUAUAAACGUUUUCCAACAUUCCUCCCAUGCCGCUACCGGACACUCCACAUUCAGAAUGAAUAAAUCCUCCCGACACAAAAGAUGUAGAUAUGUGGGGAAAGGUUAAAGGCUCACACUUAGCUUCAUGUCCAUUCAAACGCGCCCUUCUUCUCUCUUGUCUCUUCUCUACUUCUUUCUUCUUCUGCUUCAUGUCUGGCUUGUACCCUAAACCAAAUCUAUCAAACUUUUCCUUCGGCAUUGGUGCCUCAAUCUUUCCCUGAAGAUAUUUUCCCAAUCCUUUCCCGGGUAAGGCUCCUCUUCCUACCAUCAAUCGCAAUCCCAUCUCAGUGGUUCUGGAUAUUUUCGGUACUGGAAUUCUAUUUCCCUCCGCAAUAAACAUCGCGUUCACAAAUUCUAACGACCGAAAAGAACAUUCUAGUGCCUCAUCGUUGAUGUCCACAUAAGGUGCAUCGCUAGUCAUCAUUGCGAUAAUAUCCUCCUCUGCAUCUAUUGUUACCAACCGAUCCUCCGAUACCAACUUCACCUUCUGAUGUAAUAAUGAAGGUACUGCCCCUGCUGAGUGUAUCCACGGUCUCCCCAAUAGACAGUUGUAGGAGGGUUUAAUAUCCAUUACCAAGAAAUCCACCUCAUAAGUGACUGGGCCAAUCCUUAAUGGUACCUCAAUUCUCCCCAUAACCUCCUUUUUUGUUCCAUCAAAUGCCCUUACUAUGCUCUGGCAUGCUUUCAUGUGCGAACUGUCUAUUGGUAAUCGACUAAGAGUGGACAAAGGCAAUACAUUUAGUGCAGAUCCAUUAUCAACCAAGGCCCCCGGGAGUGUGUACCCUUUGCAUCGGACAGUAACAUGCAGGGCUUUAGUAGAACCUCUUCCUCCGGAUGGUAUUUCAUCAUCACUGAAGAAGAUAAAAUUGUCAGCACCAAUAUUGUUGAUCAGCCGAUCCAGCUUGUUUACCGAAAUAUCGUCAGCCACAUAUGUUUCGUUUAGCACCUUUAAUAGUGCAUUCCGAUGUACUUCUGAGUUUAAGAGUAAAGCUAAUACAGAAAUGCGGGCUGGCUGUUUGUGCAGUUGCUCCGCAACACUGUAUUCACUGUGUUUCAAAAACUUCAAAAACUCCUUUGCCUCCUCUUCUUUUAUUGGUUCAUUUACCAAUGGUUCAACUUCUACUGCUUUCCCUUUCCUCUGUUCUUUCUUCCAAUUCUCUUCCCUGGACGACUCUGCUUGAGCAUCAUAUCUUUUUCCAUUGCGCGUGUAAGAACCUAUUUCCUGAUUUCUUUCUGCUUCUUUUCCCAAAAUGGUCACAUUGCACCCGUAAUUCCACGGCACCAUUUUGUUAUCCCUAUAAGAGAAAUUUGAUGGUUUCUGGAUUACAAUUUUUGGUGUUACCUGAGCCCUAACCUCAUUACCCUUAGGGCGUGAGAUAAUGACCACAGGAUGAUUUAUUUUUGGAGCCUUUGUUCCCAACUCUGUCGCGCAUAUGCUCCUCAUUUCUUUCGCAUCUUCGUAAAACCUCAUCUCCUUGUUAUCCAUCAUGCUUUGAACCAAAGCCUUAAAUCCUUCACAUUCUUGGAUUUCGUGCCCUGUUUUAUGGUGAAAUUCACAAUAAUUUCCCAUCUCAUGCCCUUCCUCAGAAUCUGAAAUAACCAAACCUCUUUUCGCCAUUUCUUUCCAGACCCGUUUCAAUGGAGUUUUUACUUCAGCAAUGUCAGUCUUGACUUCUUCUCCCGUACCUUCGCUAACCAUAUUCACCCCCUUAUCUGCGUGAUUAGGUAACGGAUUCUUUGCGUUAGGUGAGUCGUCAAGUUUGACAACACCUAAAUUGAUAAGUCCUUCUACUACCUUCUUGAAGGCCGUACAAUUUUCUAUCGAGUGCCCAGAAAUUCCCGCAUGAUAAUCACAUUGCGCGUUCGUAUCAUACCAUUUUGGAUACGGGGGUUGUAGAGGACUCAAGUAACGAGGAGCAACAACAUGUGCAUCGAAUAAAGUCUGAUACAACUCCUUGUAUGACAUCGGGAUUGGCGUGAAUUGGGGCUUUUCAGUAGUUUGCCUAGCUCCCGACUCUUGUCUUGAUGAUCCCUGUUGAUUAGCAACCACUUUCUUUGGUUGAUUCACGGUAAUUGACCUACCAUAAGCAUUCACAUUAUUCACUUCAUUUUCUCUUUUCCUCAGGGGUGCCCUCCUAUUAUUUUCUCCUCCAUCUAUUUUUCCACUUUUAAUGGCAUGCUCAAUCAUUUCACCGUUCAUGAUUAUAUCCGAGAAAUUUUUUGAAGCGCUUCCCAACAUGUGAGUGAUGAACGGGGCUUUCAAAGUAUUAAUAAAAAGCGUCGUCAUCUCUUUUUCCAAAAGCAGUGGUUGCACCUGAACCGCCACCUCUCGCCACCUCUGCGCAUAUUUUCUGAAGCUUUCGUUCGAUUUCUUCUCUAAAUUUUGCAGAGUUAUCCUGUCAGGUAUCAUUUCUGAGACAUGAUUGUAUUGUCUCAGGAAAGCCUGUGCUAAAUCCCUCCAAGUAGCAAUUUUAGCUCGGCUCAGCUGAUUGUACCACUUUGACGCCGCUCCCGUAAGACUUUCCUGAAAGCAAUGUAUUAAUAAUUGAUCAUUAUUAAUAUGCCCCGUCAUUCUUCUACAAAACAUAGUAAUAUGGGAUCCUGGGCAACUAGUCCCGUUGUAUUUCUCAAAUUCCGGCAUCUUAAAUUUGUAAGGGAGCACCAAGUCCGGAACCAAGCUCAGAUCCUUUGCAUCUAUUCCAUAGCUUUCGAUGCUUUCUAUUGCCCUAAACUUCUCUUCUAUCCAUUUCCAUUUCUCCUCAAAUUGUUUUGAAAAUUCCUCCUUCGCCUUGUCCUUUUCAACCAUCUCGUAAAGAUCUGGGACAGCAAUAUUAUUCGGGCUAUCACCGGGAUUAAAGCCCGCUCCGGGUUGAAAAUUCAUUGGGAUUGAAGCAUCGCCUUGGAACUGCUGGGGCCUAACCGACACAGAGGGUCUCCGCGGAUGCAGCUCAGUCUGUACUUGCGCAUGCGGAUGCGUGAAACCUAGAGGAUAAAGUGGUUCACCAUUGUUUUCUUCUUCACUAACAAUCACAGGACCUUUACCCUUAUCUACUCCCUUCAAUAAUUGCGUCAUCUUAGCCACCAGAUCAUUUUGGGACUCCUCCAUCUUUUGCACCAUGUCACGCUGAAUCUUUUCUAUUUGCUCUUUCAUUUGCGCCUGCAACUGGUCUUGCAUUUCUUUUUGAAGUCGCUCUAGCUUCUCCAACCUUUGGUCCAUAAUUUUUGUCUUAGCUCGGGUGCCGUAACUUUGUUGGUUUUCCAGGUUAACUGAAAUGAUUUUAUUCGAUUAGGUUUUUAAUGGUCAUUAAUGCAUAUGAUGUGAUGCAAUGCAUGAAAAGAAUGCAAAGAAAAAGAGGCACUGAUUCUAAUUCAACUUCAUUAGAAAACUUUACUAGAUAAAGAGUUUCUUUACAUAAAAUAGACUACAUAUAUGGCUUUGCCCUUACACUCAAAGCCUUAACCUUUCUAAGAAGCCAAGCUAACUCUCGGCCCCUGUUCGACACUAACUCAUACUUCAAACUUAAUAGAUCAGCCUGAACCGCUAGAGUUUACAGAUGAUCAGCUACUUCGCGCACUUGAGUCACCGCCUCUCCCAUAAUAUAAUCUCUUUCUCCAAUCUGCUCUUGAGACCGACGGAAUUGUCUUUGCCACUGCUCAUUACUUUCUUCCAGAAGCUCUAUCUGGAUUUCACUAUUUUGCAAUGCAUUCUCUAGCCCUCCUAUUUGUCUUUUUAAUUCUUCAAUUUUGUCUAAGCUCGCCCUUAAUUCAACCGUAGCAUUACGAUUACAGUACUGGUGAAGCGACCUUUCUAGUUCAGUUAUCCGGACCUUCAACUCCGUCUUCUCGUCUUGGCAAACUAGUAGACUCUUUCCCAAGGCGACUUCUCGAGCCCGAGUAUCCUGAAAUUUCUUUUCCCAUUGAUUAGCUUUCAUCUUUUCCUCCUGAAUUUCUUGUCGCCAUUGUUCUGGCGUUUUACCCAAGCCAGCAGCUCUUACCGACCUACGCAACUUCUUGUAAUCUGUCUUCAGGCUGUCCAAAUCUUCUUCUGCUUUGUUCUUUCCUUUUCUCAAUUUAUCGGCCUCUAACCUUUGAAUGUCCACAUCCAGUCCUAACUGCAUUUUUUCUUCCUCUAGUUGUUCUAUUUUCUUCCCCAAUUCUAAACUCCUUUUUUCAAAUUCUUGUUUGAUGAUUUCUAUCUCAGAAGGCAAAACUUGUAAAUGUUCCUCCAAAGAUCGAGCAGUUUCUGGAUUUGACGCCGGGAUGUUGUCGUUGAUCCUUUGAUCACGCCACCGACCAUACUCGGGGGUAAUUGUCGGACCCACGGCUAAGAUCUUCAUUCGACGAGUCUGGUUCCAGGCACUAGAUAUUUCCCGAACCUUCUUCUUGUAAUUGUCCUCCCUAUAGGAAAAAUCAUAAUAGGCCAACCCCUGCGUUGCUGGUAUGAAUUAUCGUGAUCUAUACUGUCUUGAUACGAAUAGAGGAGCAUAUCCGAUAGCUCCCCAUAUCCCGAGCAGCGGAACCCAGUCAAAAUCUCCACAUUGGUACAAUAUCUCAUCAGGAAUUAACCAAGGAGCCCUCCAUUCAAUAUCUUCAUCCUGGAGAUUCUGGAGUAUCUCUAUCCAUUUUUCUUCUGAAAUAUCAUCCCGUCUUGGCGUGGCCACCAAUUCUCCUAGAGGGGAGUAGCUAUCAGAGAAUACCCGAUAAGAGACCUUUUCGACUUUCCAGAAGUGGCUAUGGAACCAUGCCAAUAAAAGCUGCGCGCAUCCAAUAAACCUUCUCUCCCCUGCUUUUCGACACGCAUUCAAGGAUCUAAAAGUUUCAGCGAGUAUUGCCGGAACCGGCGUAACCCCUUUACUAAGCCGAUCAAACAAAUCAGAUACAGCCUCGUCUAUGUGUCCUAAAGCUUUGGGGAAAACCACUAGUCCAUAGAUACCUAAAGCGAAGACAUCGACCCUUUUCUUUAAGUCAGGAUGUACAAGCACCAAAUCUCGCAAACUUUUCCAAGGAACACAAUUACUGUUGCCCUUCUGUUGGAUCCGGGCAGCGACCCACUGCUCGCUCAUCCCAGUGAUGUUCAUUAAUUUCUUUAACAACGGAGGGACACAAGCAGCUCUGGAAUAAGCCUUGUCGACUUGAAUCUUUGGGCACCGAAGCAAGGUCGUAUACUCCUCCACAGUAGGCGUCAAAUCUACCUUCCCAAAAGUGAAACAACUGUAGGCAGGAUUCCAAAACUGAGCAAGGGCUCGGAAUAAAUACUUGUCCACUUUGACACUAAGCAGAUAAGGUAGGUCACCGUAGUUACAAUAGAACAGCUGCUUGGCCUCGACAUCCCAUUGAUCCCAGACUUCUUUCAUUUCUCGAAGGUCAUUCUGGAUUACACUGAUACGGGUAAAAUCCCACAAUUCUGACACGUACCCUUCGGUAAGACUAUCGCCUUUCUCCCGUUGUGUCGUUUCAGCCCAUAUUCGCACAGCCGCAUUAUCCUCUACUUUAUCAACAAACCCCUUUUCCAUGAUAAGCUUUCUACCAAGAAACUGAACGUAAAUCGACACCUCUUUUAGAAUGAAGAUGCCAUGCAAUCACAAACAAAGUAAAUUAGCAUUAAACACAGAAUAAGAUUUAAAAUAAGCGACAAAUAAAUACAACAUUCAUUUAGGUAAGCACUAAAAAUUUGGAGUAGCUCUACCUAGGUCAGUUCCUAUGGCUCAUUACAUGUGGUUUGGUUCUAAAGUAGGGUACCUGAACCAGCAAAUUCCUCGAUCCUCACCCAUUAUAGGCUCAUACGGACCAAGUUCGAUUCAGGGGGAUACAUUUCCCUAUGGCCAUGCGGAGAUGAAAAUCUCACGAAGACAUAGGUACGGAUAUAUCCCGAAAGCGAUUCACUAUCCCAUGCGGAGGUGAAAACCUCACGAAGGCGUAGCUUCUCACUCCCACCUAAAAAGGUGUGACCAACGGUCAUGCAAUGCAAUGCGGAAAGAUACCAAAAUUUAAACAAAUAGAGCAAUUAUAAACCCCAAUGAUGAUGAUUAUGAUAAAGACAGAUAAAAUGCGAUGAAAGGAUCGUAAUUUUAAACCGAAUUUUCAAUUUUUGACAAAAGACAAAAAGUAAUCACCACGUGGCUUGACCCUCUUAUCGGUGUCCCCAGUGGAGUCGCCAAGCUGUUGGCGCCAUUUUUUUUGAUGAAAACGGGGUCGACUUGGGUUUUGAAAAAUGAAACGGGAGUCGCCACCAAUCCUUUUUUAUGAGGUGUGAUUGGAUCACCUUGAAAAGUGGUUGUUUUUAAUAAACGGUUUAGUUUUAUUAAAACAACGAUUUUGGUCCACAAAAUUCAAAAAAAUGGGUUCGGGAGUCGGUUACGCACGAGGAAGGAUUAGCACCCUCGAUACGCCCAAAAUUGGUACCUAAUUGAUUACUUAAUGUCUUAAUGUCGAAAACUUUGAAGAACUUUAAAAAAUACGAUCCUUAUAUUAAAAUAAAAAUUUUUGGGAAAAGUAGCAUAUUUCACGUUAAUCGAGAAAGAGAAUCAUAUCCAGUAAGUUAGGAUACAAUGUCUCAAAUUCCCAACACGCAAAUGAAAAAUGCUUAUUUAAAAGAUAUUUUAGCCAUCUCGGAUUUAAAAAUGAGAUCACGACCCGUAAGUUAGGACGCAAUUUUUUAAUCCCGAGAUCAUUUAAAAUUUGAGUUUAAAAAGAUUCGUCAUUUAGAUUUAUCGUGAAAAUCGAAACCCAGUAAGUUAAGAUACGAUCCUCUCGAAUCUAAAGACGAAAUAUUAUUUAUUCAAAACAAAUUAUGUUAUGUCGAGUAAAAUAAAACACUAAAAUCGUAGUAAAAAAAUGUGAAAGCAAUUUGCAUUGUUGUUAUUCAUGGCAAAAUCAUAAUGAAUACAAAAGUAUAAAAUGAUAUGAGCAAUAGCAACAAUAAUAAAUAAACGUUAGUCCUACAAUCAUAUAAAAUAACAAUGUAUAUAAACAAAUAAAUCAAAACUUUCAUUCAAAAUAAUAAUAAAAUGAAAUAAAUAGUGAACACAAAUAAAACGUAAAGGAAUAUAUAUAUGUAUAGAAAUGUAAAUUAAAAUAUGUGUGUAUACGUAAGUUACAAAAUAUAUGAAAUAUAUAUAAAGUAUAUUUUAAAAUAUAAAGAAAAAAUAAAUAUGUAUGAAGUGUAUGUAAGUAUAUAAAUAUGUAUAUAUAAUAAAGGUGUAUGAAAAUAUAUUUUAUAUACAUGUAUUUAUAAAAAAAUGCAUAUAGAUAUAUAUAGAUGGUUUUAAGCUAUGAAGUAUGAAAAAUAUGUACAUGUAUGAAUUAUAAAAUAUAUAAAAUAUGUACAUAUAUAUAUGUAAAAAUAUGUAUUUAUAUAUUUAUAAAGGUUAGAAAUAUGUACGUGUAUUAUAAAUAUAUAUGCAUAUAUAAAUAAAUUAUAAAAUAGGUAUGUUUAUAUGUAUAUAUAUAUAUAUUACAAAAAAAUGUGUAUAAGUAUAUGUAAAAAUAUAUAAUAAUAUAUGUAUAUAUCUAUAAAAGCAAUUAUAAUAAUAAUAAUAAUGCAAUAACAAUAAUAAUAUAAAAUUUGUAAAGAAAAUAAACAAAAUCACUAAAGGAUUAGAUUAAACAUUAAACAAGAUUCGGGGGGUUCAAAGCGCAAAUAAACGAAAGGGGAGGGAUUGCUCUGAACACGCAUGUAACAUGGAGGGACCAUCAAAGAAAAUUACCCUUCCUUUAAAACGGCGUAGUUCGAGUAAGGACGAAGUUGAAAAUACGAAAAAAUUUUGGGUAAAUUUAAAAGAUCAAAAGAACCUAAUUUAAAAAGCAUUAAAAAAGCGGAAGGGCUAAAGGUGCAAUUAGCCCUUCCGUCAAAAACACGCGGAUCCCUAGAUCAGACGGGUCGGGUCGCGGGUCGGAUCUCGGUUUAGACGCAAAACGGCGUCGUUUGAGGCCGAAUGAAACAGGCCAAAACGACGCCGUUUCAUUUAGGUAUUUAAACCAAUUUUUGUUUAAAAAAAUCAUUCAGCCCCAUUCCCCUUUUUAAAAAAACUAAAAACUUCUCAGUUCUCUCUCCCUCUUCCCCUUUCUUGAUCUCGGGUCCGGCCGAGGGCCACCUUGUCGGCCGUCGGAUCGCCGGUGCCAGUGACGCCGUACACGGUGGCCGGCGAGUGGAGAAAGGCGUGCCCUUAGAGAUGCCUAUCUCCUAAACCCGAAUCCGGCCUCAAAAUGACCAAAAACGAAUGGGAAAAGGCUGUUAGGCUUCUCUACAGUCGGUUUCCUCACCGGAGAAGGAGUUUCCGACGAGGAGGAAACAGCGACCCGCGGUGAGUCUCUUUUUUCUUUAUUUUAUGUUUUUUAUUUCGUUUAAAAAAUCAAAAUAAAAUAAAAUAAAUACAACGAAAAAAAGAAAAAGUAAAUAUUGCAAUCGAAAACCCAGGGAAUCACCUUGAAGCUUGAUAUUUUUUAUUAUUCUGUUGAAAUUUGUUUUCUUGGUUACAAAUCGAAAAAAGAAAAAGAAGCCCUUUUGAUUUUUUCAAUCGGCCUUAUAUAGCCAAACUACAAAAUAAAAAAUCUCCUUUUGCUAUCCGUAUUUGCUGUUGCUUGUUGGUGUUUGUUGCAGGUACUGGCGGAGCAGUUGGAGCAGGUGAGUCGGUGGCAAGUGGGCGUGGUGACGGCUGUGAACAGAGGGCAGGUGAGGAGGCCAGGAGCAGGUGCGGCACAACAGGGGGCUAGGGUUUCUGCUAGGUGUUUAUGUUUUGGGCUGAUUGGGUUAGGCUAGUUGGGCCUGGGUAGUUUUUAGGUUAAAAUUUGUUAUUGGGCCCUGGGUCAAAAAUUGGGCUUGUACAAUAAAAUUAUUUUUAAAAAAUAAAAAUUAUUAAAAAAUACAAAAACAAUAUUUUUAAUAGUUUAGAGAUGAAUUAAAUGCUAACAUGUCAUCUACUCAGCAAUCCACAUGUAUAACACGUCAUGAAAGUUAAUAAACAUUUAUUUUUUCAUCCACUCUGGAGUGGCUUGACAGAAAAUGUAAAUUCAAGUGUUAAAAGAAGCGAAAAUUUUAAUGGAGGGCUAAAAUGACUUGUUUUGUGAAGUUGGAGGGCCAAAAAAUAAUUAUGCCAAAACUAAAUGAUUAAUAGAAAACAAGGGGAAAUUUGCAUGCAUCUAUAUAAUUUUAUUUCAAACCAUUGUCAUUAUCUUGAGAUAUACAUUGGCAAACAUUCAUUGAAUAUACCUUGGGAAAAAAAAAUACUACAAGACAACGAAAUUAAAUAUCAUAAUCAAAUGUUGAAAAUGAAUGAUAAGAAAUUUAAAUUAAAAAUCAAACAUAGUAGGCUUGAUGUGCAAGCUAUCUGCAAUCUUUUUUUUUAAUUGUUUUAUUAUAUAGAUUUUAAUAUUUCUUACGUCUUUUAUCAGUCAAUUUGAACUGAUGCAUUCAUUUGUUUCAUUCAUAUGGUGUUGGAUCACAUUAAAAAAUAUAUACAAUUAAUUAAUCAUUUUUAGCUUAAUAAAAAAUAUAUAAUCUUGAUUGGUAUGAGUAUUAUUAUUAAUGUAAGAGGAUCUAGUUUUAAGUGUGCUUAAGCGCAUUAUCCUCCUAUUUAUGGGUUGAGGAGGGGUUAUGGGUAAUUUUAGGCAUUAUGUCAAAAAGAGCAUAUAUGAUCAGAACUUGUAAUGAAAUUAUUAAAAAAAAUGUAUAAACAUAAACAAUUUUGUUUACAUAAUUUUUAGAUAUAAAUGAGCUUUGGAUUCAAAUAAUUUUGUGUUGCUUGAGGUUUUCGGAUCUAUUUACUCUCAUUUAAGUUGUAAAGUUUUUACGAGAGGUAAAAUGUAAUUUCAUUAUUUUAAUAGCUUACGUCUUUAUAAUUAAUUAAAGGUUAAAUCAAAAUUUUAUUAUUUUUGAAAGCUAAUGUGUGAUUUUUACCAUGUAGUAAUUUUUAUAAUUUAUAAAAUUUAAAACACUAAAACAUAAACUUACCAUUUUAGGGUGCAGAGCCAGCCCCUAUAUUUUGAAUUUGAAGCAAUUUAAGUUUAAAUUUGUAAUUUUUUAUGAUUAAAUAAAAAUAAAAUAAGCUUUAUUUUAAAUUGAUCAAGUAAAAUUUAUCAAGUCAAAUUUUGAGUUAGAAAUCAAAAUUGUGAGGUUUACCUAUAUUAAGAAAAAUUAGCUACUAAAAAAUUGUUAAUAUAUAAAUUUGUGUGUUGGCUUGUUGGUCAGGGUAUUCAUCGCCCCAAAUGUGAUUUGGGUUCGAGUCGCGUUACUGUUAACGUUUUGUCAUCCUCUUGUAAUUUACUAAAAAAUUGUUAAUAUAUAUUAUAUAAAGAUAGUAAACUGUUGACUAACAUAAUGUCAUCAUUCAUAGAGGAAAAAAAAAGGCACAUUGAUCAUAUUUUCAGCCAUCCAUAAAAUAGCAGUAAAAUAAUUGACUUGAGAAAUAACACAUAAAAUCAUAUGAUAUAUUUGAUACACUGAGAGCAUUGAAGAGUCAUUUGAAUCAUCGUAAAAGACAAAGUAGACAAUUCAGUGACGAAAUUCUCAAUAUAUAUAACUACGAAAUUCCACACAAAAUUGUGAAAACAACGAAAAAUAUCUAAUAAAAAUAAACCAUUCAAACAAGACCGCUUGACUCUUUGAGUAAUGAAUUUUUUUUCACAAUUAAUUUAACAUGUUUUUCCAAUUUGAAUAGUAAACACUAUAGUUGCAAUUCAGUCAAUACUAGAAAUUUAUAUUUUAAACCCAUCGUUUAGAAUAUUCCAUUUUUUACAUUGGAAAUAACACAAAAGAUUCAAAGGAAAAAUAAGCAAAUUUCAUCAAAGGCGUCUAUUUGUAAUGGAAAAUUUAUAAUGUGGAUCCUUGUAUUAUAAACUAAAGAACAAAUUAACUCCUUAAGUAUAAAAGUGAGCAAUUUAGUCCUUUAGGUCUUUUCUCUUUUUUCUCCAAGCCGUUUGUUUCUUCUUUUUUGUUUUGCGUAGCAACGGUGGCAAUCUCCGGGCUGGCUACUGCCCACCUUUUGCUCCCUCCAUUCCAUAUGUUUUCUCUCUUUUCAAUUGAUACAUCUAUUUUGUAGGUAUCUUUGUUGCCUUCACAUGUUGUGAUGGACAGAUGAUGAUGCCUAUCGUCGCUGAAAUUACCCUGGCCAUCAACAGUUUCUCUAAGAAAGUGGGUGACUUUUAAUUGGCUCUUGAUCUAUUUUUGUUUGGAGAGUAUUUUAGAAUAAUAAAUAAUUUUACGAAUCAGUUUGGACCUCUAGUAUUUUAAGUCGUCACCAUUCAUUCCAUGAAUGGAAUCAUAUCAUUUAUGUAAAAGAUAAAACUUAAACAUGUCUUUAUAUUUGUAAAAACUUAACAAUAAGAAGGCUUGACUAUUUGAAUAAGUUAUUUUUCACAAUAUUUUCAAUUUGAAUUGUAAGUACUCCAUAGUUGUAUGAUUCAGUGAAUACUAGAAAUUUAUAUUCAAAACCCAUCAUUUAAAAUUUUCUGAUACAUUAGAAUUGAGAAGAAAAAUAUUUAGAGUAAGCAAAUUUCAGCAAUGGCGUCUAUAUUUAUAAUUGAAAGUUAUCAAUAAAAUUAAUAUCUUAUUUCUUUUUAAUAUUUUAUUGUGCAUGCGUAGUUUUACUAAUGGCAUUGAUAUCCCAGAAUUAAAAUAUUUCCAACAAGCAUGUGCUCUAUUGAUUGACUUUAAAGUCUCUAGAUUUUUAAAAUGAAUUUACUAAAAAAAUGAAAAAAAAUUAUUAGAAUUAAUUUUUAUUAAUUGAUAAUAAACUUAUGAAUAAUUAAGUAUUACAUUUUUAUUAAUUCCAAAUCAAACUUCUUUUUUUAUAUAAUACCUAAAACUACUUAUAAUCCCUUCCUAAUCCUUAAAUAAGAAAAUAAUGUGUUUCAACAUAUUCAAACCCACAUCUUCCUGCACUGACAGAUUAUAUAAAUUUAAAUAUUCAAUAUAUAUAUUUCUCUAAAACUGACAUGUUGAAAAAGGAAAUCACAACUAUAAAACAAUCAUCUUCAAAGUUUCAAUAAUAAAAUAAGUAUAAUACAAAUUUAAUGAUAAAUUCAUGAUGUGUUAGGAUAUAAAACUAAUAUUUUAAAAAAACGAUAUGAAAUUAUAAAUUCUAUUGUGAUUAUAGUAUAUUUAUAAAUGAAUGUUGGGAUAAUUAUAAAAUGGAAUUAAAUUAAUAUAAAAUACAUUAAAAAUUAAAAUAAUUAAAACUAAAAUUGAUUCAUUGGACAAAAAUAUACACUUAACAACGACGCAUUAUAAAAGUAAAGAUCUAGAUAUGAUAAUUGCAUAUAAUAAAAUUUAAAUAUAAAUAUAAAAUACUUAAAAAUUUCAACCAACAAUAUCUUCGUUAAAAUUAUAAAUUCGCUUGAUUAUUUUCCUUUGAUUUAACACAUCUUCUUUUGGUAGCCGUCUGUACCUGACUCGACCAGUUAACCCACAAAACAUUUUACAUGUACAAUAAUGACACAAUUUCGCUCAGGCCUAAUUUACAUAUAAAUACAAAAUUACAAAUCCAAAUAAAAAUAUUACAAGCCCAAAUGUAAAAAGGAAGCCCAGUGGCCCAAAAAACUUAAACAUUUUCAGAAGGACAGAAACCUUAGCCAGCGCGCCGCCCUCUCUGCUUUGCCAGCGGUUUCGUUGCCUGAGGUUUGACGCCUCAUCUGCCAGUUGUCGCCAUCGACUAGGGACACUUGCAAAAAAGGAAGAACAAGGACAGAAGCACAACACCCAAGAAAAAACAGUAGAAACAGUAGAAAAACAGUAAAAAAGAGAGUGUAAUUCGACUAUAAAAGCCAUGACUUUUAUGUAUUUCUUUACAAGAAAAAAAGGAAUAAAAAACAGAACACAAAGAAAACAUUUUUAAAGGUGAUUUUCUUCAUUUUUUUAUCUGUUAUUUUUAGAAAAAAAACAUAAAACAUAAAAUCAAAAAAACUUACUGAGCCGUUUCAUGUUCCACCGCCGCGAGUAGACGAGGACACCGUCCGCGAUGACGGACGGCUCCCUUCGGUGAGACCUCCGAGUCACUUCUGUUUUGUCUAAGGACCACGGCGGAGAAAACCAAGGGGUUGUUCAGAUUUUUUUUAAUUUUUUGUUGGGUUUUGGAAAGUACUGACCCCGGAUUCGGGCUCAAGAAGCCGUAACGGCCAAAAAAUGGUUGCUUGUAGAUUCUAGCCACCGGGAACAGUGAAAUCAUCGCCGGCGCCAGGGGCAAACGUGGAAAACCGAGAGAGAAAAAAAGACUCAGUUUUUUUAAGAAAAACUAAACAUAAUGAUUUUUUUUUUUAAUUUGGCUUAUAUAGGCGAGGCUAAACGACGUCGUUUAAAGCUGGCUUCAAUAGCCCCAAAACGACGUCAUUUUGAAACAUGACCCGAAUACAAACAGGAUCCGCAUGUUUUCUUAAGAAAGGGUCUAAUUUUUACUUCAGUCCUUCUGCUUUUUAAUUGAUUUUCAAUCUAGUCCUAUUUCUUUUUUUUUAAUUUUUGCCCAGUGAUUUUGUUUCUUUUUAGUCCCUCAUGGAACGGUGUGUUUGCGGGCCUGGGAAUAAUUUCCUAGUUGGUCCGUCCUUGUAAUACCCCAAAAAUUACUACAGGAAUAAAGUAAUAUAGUAUCCUUGAUAUAGUAAAAUCAGGAAAUAAAGUGACAAAAAGGGAAAUUUUGAGUUAUGUCAACAUUGGGAAGUAUAUUAUGACAUAUUAAUGCAAAAAAAGAUUAAAUCGCAAAAGUGAGAAAAGUUUUGUUGCCCAAGAGUAAAUACUCAAAAAUUGAGGGGUUAAAGUGUAAAUAUAAAAAAGUUCAAAGACCAAUAGUGAAAAUAUUUUAAGGGUGGAAUGAUAUAGAAAAUAAGGAAAAUGGAUGAAUUAUGACCAAAUUGAAUAGGUGAAGAAUUAUGAUGGACUAAAUCAUAAUUUUACCAAAUUAAGUGAUGACUCAAUGAUGGAAUUUUAAAAGAUCAUGAAGGGCAAAAUGGUCAAUUAGAAAGAGAGAGAACUCUAAAAGGUAAUGAUGAUGUUGGUGAUAUUUUUAAUUAAUUAAUUAGAUAAAUGUUAUUUAAUUAAUAUUUUAUUUAGAUUUUUAGUAUUAUUUUCUUUAUAAUUUGGUUAUUUUACCAAAAAUUCACCAUUUUCACUUAGAAAUCAAAAGAAUUUCUAUAGCUACCAAGANNNNNNNNNNNNNNNNNNNNNNNNNNNNNNNNNNNNNNNNNNNNNNNNNNNNNNNNNNNNNNNNNNNNNNNNNNNNNNNNNNNNNNNNNNNNNNNNNNNNNNNNNNNNNNNNNNNNNNNNNNNNNNNNNNNNNNNNNNNNNNNNNNNNNNNNNNNNNNNNNNNNNNNNNNNNNNNNNNNNNNNNNNNNNNNNNNNNNNNNNNNNNNNNNNNNNNNNNNNNNNNNNNNNNNNNNNNNNNNNNNNNNNNNNNNNNNNNNNNNNNNNNNNNNNNNNNNNNNNNNNNNNNNNNNNNNNNNNNNNNNNNNNNNNNNNNNNNNNNNNNNNNNNNNNNNNNNNNNNNNNNNNNNNNNNNNNNNNNNNNNNNNNNNNNNNNNNNNNNNNNNNNNNNNNNNNNNNNNNNNNNNNNNNNNNNNNNNNNNNNNNNNNNNNNNNNNNNNNNNNNNNNNNNNNNNNNNNNNNNNNNNNNNNNNNNNNNNNNNNNNNNNNNNNNNNNNNNNNNNGGCUUUAGUAGAACCUCUUCCUCCGGAUGGUAUUUCAUCAUCACUGAAGAAGAUAAAAUUGUCAGCACCAAUAUUGUUGAUCAGCCGAUCCAGCUUGUUUACCGAAAUAUCGUCAGCCACAUAUGUUUCGUUUAGCACCUUUAAUAGUGCAUUCCGAUGUACUUCUGAGUUUAAGAGUAAAGCUAAUACAGAAAUGCGGGCUGGCUGUUUGUGCAGUUGCUCCGCAACACUGUAUUCACUGUGUUUCAAAACUUCAAAAACUCCUUUGCCUCCUCUUCUUUUAUUGGUUCAUUUACCAAUGGUUCAACUUCUACUGCUUUCCCUUUCCUCUGUUCUUUCUUCCAAUUCUCUUCCCUGGACGACUCUGCUUGAGCAUCAUAUCUUUUUCCAUUGCGCGUGUAAGAACCUAUUUCCUGAUUUCUUUCUGCUUCUUUUCCCAAAAUGGUCACAUUGCACCGUAAUUCCACGGCACCAUUUUGUUAUCCCUAUAAGAGAAAUUUGAUGGUUUCUGGAUUACAAUUUUUGGUGUUACCUGAGCCCUAACCUCAUUACCCUUAGGGCGUGAGAUAAUGACCACAGGAUGAUUUAUUUUUGGAGCCUUUGUUCCCAACUCUGUCGCGCAUAUGCUCCUCAUUUCUUUCGCAUCUUCGUAAAACCUCAUCUCCUUGUUAUCCAUCAUGCUUUGAACCAAAGCCUUAAAUCCUUCACAUUCUUGGAUUUCGUGCCCUGUUUUAUGGUGAAAUUCACAAUAAUUUCCCAUCUCAUGCCCUUCCUCAGAAUCUGAAAUAACCAAACCUCUUUUCGCCAUUUCUUUCCAGACCCGUUUCAAUGGAGUUUUUACUUCAGCAAUGUCAGUCUUGACUUCUUCUCCCGUACCUUCGCUAACCAUAUUCACCCCCUUAUCUGCGUGAUUAGGUAACGGAUUCUUUGCGUUAGGUGAGUCGUCAAGUUUGACAACACCUAAAUUGAUAAGUCCUUCUACUACCUUCUUGAAGGCCGUACAAUUUUCUAUCGAGUGCCCAGAAAUUCCCGCAUGAUAAUCACAUUGCGCGUUCGUAUCAUACCAUUUUGGAUACGACUCAAGUAACGCAACAACAUGUGCAUCGAAUAAAGUCUGAUACAACUCCUUGUAUGACAUCGGGAUUGGCGUGAAUUGGGGCUUUUCAGUAGUUUGCCUAGCUCCCGACUCUUGUCUUGAUGAUCCCUGUUGAUUAGCAACCACUUUCUUUGGUUGAUUCACGGUAAUUGACCUACCAUAAGCAUUCACAUUAUUCACUUCAUUUUCUCUUUUCCUCAGGGGUGCCCUCCUAUUAUUUCUCUCCAUCUUAUUUUUCCACUUUUAAUGGCCUAUGCUCAAUCCUUUCAACGUUCAUGAUUAUAUCCGAGAAAUUUUUUGAAGCGCUUCCCAACAUGUGAGUGAUGAACGGGGCUUUCAAAGUAUUAAUAAAAAGCGUCGUCAUCUCUUUUUCCAAAAGCAGUGGUUGCACCUGAACCGCCACCCUCUCGCCACCUCUGCGCAUAUUUCUGAAGCUUUCGUUCGAUUUCUUCUCUAAAUUUUGCAGAGUUAUCCUGUCAGGUAUCAUUCUGAGGACAUGAUUGUAUUGUCUCAGGAAAGCCUGUGCUAAAUCCCUCCAAGUAGCAAUUUUAGCUCGGCUCAGCUGAUUGUACCACUUUGACGCCGCUCCCGUAAGACUUUCCUGAAAGCAAUGUAUUAAUAAUUGAUCAUUAUUAAUAUGCCCCGUCAUUCUUCUACAAAACAUAGUAAUAUGGGAUCCUGGGCAACUAGUCCCGUUGUAUUUCUCAAAUUCCGGCAUCUUAAAUUUGUAAGGGAGCACCAAGUCCGGAACCAAGCUCAGAUCCUUUGCAUCUAUUCCAUAGCUUCGAUGCUUUCUAUUGCCCUAAACUUCUCUUCUAUCCAUUUCCAUUUCUCCUCAAAUUGUUUUGAAAAUUCCUCCUUCGCCUUGUCCUUUUCAACCAUCUCGUAAAGAUCUGGGACAGCAAUAUUAUUCGGGCUAUCACCGGGAUUAAAGCCCGCUCCGGGUUGAAAAUUCAUUGGGAUUGAAGCAUCGCCUUGGAACUGCUGGGGCCUAACCGACACAGAGGGUCUCCGCGGAUGCAGCUCAGUCUGUACUUGCGCAUGCGGAUGCGUGAAACCUAGAGGAUAAAGUGGUUCACCAUUGUUUUCUUCUUCACUAACAAUCACAGGACCUUUACCCUUAUCUACUCCCUUCAAUAAUUGCGUCAUCUUAGCCACCAGAUCAUUUUGGGACUCCUCCAUCUUUUGCACCAUGUCACGCUGAAUCUUUUCUAUUUGCUCUUUCAUUUGCGCCUGCAACUGGUCUUGCAUUUCUUUUUGAAGUCGCUCUAGCUUCUCCAACCUUUGGUCCAUAAUUUUUGUCUUAGCUCGGGUGCCGUAACUUUGUUGGUUUUCCAGGUUAACUGAAAUGAUUUUAUUCGAUUAGGUUUUUAAUGGUCAUUAAUGCAUAUGAUGUGAUGCAAUGCAUGAAAAGAAUGCAAAGAAAAAGAGGCACUGAUUCUAAUUCAACUUCAUUAGAAAACUUUACUAGAUAAAGAGUUUCUUUACAUAAAAUAGACUACAUAUAUGGCUUUGCCCUUACACUCAAAGCCUUAACCUUUCUAAGAAGCCAAGCUAACUCUCGGCCCCUGUUCGACACUAACUCAUACUUCAAACUUAAUAGAUCAGCCUGAACCGCUAGAGUUUACAGAUGAUCAGCUACUUCGCGCACUUGAGUCACCGCCUCUCCCAUAAUAUAAUCUCUUUCUCCAAUCUGCUCUUGAGACCGACGGAAUUGUCUUUGCCACUGCUCAUUACUUUCUUCCAGAAGCUCUAUCUGGAUUUCACUAUUUUGCAAUGCAUUCUCUAGCCCUCCUAUUUGUCUUUUUAAUCUUCAAUUUUGUCUAAGCUCGCCCUUAAUUCAACCGUAGCAUUACGAUUACAGUACUGGUGAAGCGACCUUUCUAGUUCAGUUAUCCGGACCUUCAACUCCGUCUUCUCGUCUUGGCAAACUAGUAGACUCUUUCCCAAGGCGACUUCUCGAGCCCGAGUAUCCUGAAAUUUCUUUUCCCAUUGAUUAGCUUUCAUCUUUUCCUCCUGAAUUUCUUGUCGCCAUUGUUCUGGCGUUUUACCCAAGCCAGCAGCUCUUACCGACCUACGCAACUUCUUGUAAUCUGUCUUCAGGCUGUCCAAAUCUUCUUCUGCUUUGUUCUUUCCUUUUCUCAAUUUAUCGGCCUCUAACCUUUGAAUGUCCACAUCCAGUCCUAACUGCAUUUUUUCUUCCUCUAGUUGUUCUAUUUUCUUCCCCAAUUCUAAACUCCUUUUUUCAAAUUCUUGUUUGAUGAUUUCUAUCUCAGAAGGCAAAACUUGUAAAUGUUCCUCCAAAGAUCGAGCAGUUUCUGGAUUUGACGCCGGGAUGUUGUCGUUGAUCCUUUGAUCACGCCACCGACCAUACUCGGGGGUAAUUGUCGGACCCACGGCUAAGAUCUUCAUUCGACGAGUCUGGUUCCAGGCACUAGAUAUUUCCCGAACCUUCUUCUUGUAAUUGUCCUCCCUAUAGGAAAAAUCAUAAUAGGCCAACCCCUGCGUUGCUGGUAUGAAUUAUCGUGAUCUAUACUGUCUUGAUACGAAUAGAGGAGCAUAUCCGAUAGCUCCCCAUAUCCCGAGCAGCGGAACCCAGUCAAAAUCUCCACAUUGGUACAAUAUCUCAUCAGGAAUUAACCAAGGAGCCCUCCAUUCAAUAUCUUCAUCCUGGAGAUUCUGGAGUAUCUCUAUCCAUUUUUCUUCUGAAAUAUCAUCCCGUCUUGGCGUGGCCACCAAUUCUCCUAGAGGGGAGUAGCUAUCAGAGAAUACCCGAUAAGAGACCUUUUCGACUUUCCAGAAGUGGCUAUGGAACCAUGCCAAUAAAAGCUGCGCGCAUCCAAUAAACCUUCUCUCCCCUGCUUUUCGACACGCAUUCAAGGAUCUAAAAGUUUCAGCGAGUAUUGCCGGAACCGGCGUAACCCCUUUACUAAGCCGAUCAAACAAAUCAGAUACAGCCUCGUCUAUGUGUCCUAAAGCUUUGGGGAAAACCACUAGUCCAUAGAUACCUAAAGCGAAGACAUCGACCCUUUUCUUUAAGUCAGGAUGUACAAGCACCAAAUCUCGCAAACUUUUCCAAGGAACACAAUUACUGUUGCCCUUCUGUUGGAUCCGGGCAGCGACCCACUGCUCGCUCAUCCCAGUGAUGUUCAUUAAUUUCUUUAACAACGGAGGGACACAAGCAGCUCUGGAAUAAGCCUUGUCGACUUGAAUCUUUGGGCACCGAAGCAAGGUCGUAUACUCCUCCACAGUAGGCGUCAAAUCUACCUUCCCAAAAGUGAAACAACUGUAGGCAGGAUUCCAAAACUGAGCAAGGGCUCGGAAUAAAUACUUGUCCACUUUGACACUAAGCAGAUAAGGUAGGUCACCGUAGUUACAAUAGAACAGCUGCUUGGCCUCGACAUCCCAUUGAUCCCAGACUUCUUUCAUUUCUCGAAGGUCAUUCUGGAUUACACUGAUACGGGUAAAAUCCCACAAUUCUGACACGUACCCUUCGGUAAGACUAUCGCCUUUCUCCCGUUGUGUCGUUUCAGCCCAUAUUCGCACAGCCGCAUUAUCCUCUACUUUAUCAACAAACCCCUUUUCCAUGAUAAGCUUUCUACCAAGAAACUGAACGUAAAUCGACACCUCUUUUAGAAUGAAGAUGCCAUGCAAUCACAAACAAAGUAAAUUAGCAUUAAACACAGAAUAAGAUUUAAAAUAAGCGACAAAUAAAUACAACAUUCAUUUAGGUAAGCACUAAAAAUUUGGAGUAGCUCUACCUAGGUCAGUUCCUAUGGCUCAUUACAUGUGGUUUGGUUCUAAAGUAGGGUACCUGAACCAGCAAAUUCCUCGAUCCUCACCCAUUAUAGGCUCAUACGGACCAAGUUCGAUUCAGGGGGAUACAUUUCCCUAUGGCCAUGCGGAGAUGAAAAUCUCACGAAGACAUAGGUACGGAUAUAUCCCGAAAGCGAUUCACUAUCCCAUGCGGAGGUGAAAACCUCACGAAGGCGUAGCUUCUCACUCCCACCUAAAAAGGUGUGACCAACGGUCAUGCAAUGCAAUGCGGAAAGAUACCAAAAUUUAAACAAAUAGAGCAAUUAUAAACCCCAAUGAUGAUGAUUAUGAUAAAGACAGAUAAAAUGCGAUGAAAGGAUCGUAAUUUUAAACCGAAUUUUCAAUUUUUGACAAAAGACAAAAAGUAAUCACCACGUGGCUUGACCCUCUUAUCGGUGUCCCCAGUGGAGUCGCCAAGCUGUUGGCGCCAUUUUUUUUGAUGAAAACGGGGUCGACUUGGGUUUUGAAAAAUGAAACGGGAGUCGCCACCAAUCCUUUUUUAUGAGGUGUGAUUGGAUCACCUUGAAAAGUGGUUGUUUUUAAUAAACGGUUUAGUUUUAUUAAAACAACGAUUUUGGUCCACAAAAUUCAAAAAAAUGGGUUCGGGAGUCGGUUACGCACGAGGAAGGAUUAGCACCCUCGAUACGCCCAAAAUUGGUACCUAAUUGAUUACUUAAUGUCUUAAUGUCGAAAACUUUGAAGAACUUUAAAAAAUACGAUCCUUAUAUUAAAAUAAAAAUUUUUGGGAAAAGUAGCAUAUUUCACGUUAAUCGAGAAAGAGAAUCAUAUCCAGUAAGUUAGGAUACAAUGUCUCAAAUUCCCAACACGCAAAUGAAAAAUGCUUAUUUAAAAGAUAUUUUAGCCAUCUCGGAUUUAAAAAUGAGAUCACGACCCGUAAGUUAGGACGCAAUUUUUUAAUCCCGAGAUCAUUUAAAAUUUGAGUUUAAAAAGAUUCGUCAUUUAGAUUUAUCGUGAAAAUCGAAACCCAGUAAGUUAAGAUACGAUCCUCUCGAAUCUAAAGACGAAAUAUUAUUUAUUCAAAACAAAUUAUGUUAUGUCGAGUAAAAUAAAACACUAAAAUCGUAGUAAAAAAAUGUGAAAGCAAUUUGCAUUGUUGUUAUUCAUGGCAAAAUCAUAAUGAAUACAAAAGUAUAAAAUGAUAUGAGCAAUAGCAACAAUAAUAAAUAAACGUUAGUCCUACAAUCAUAUAAAAUAACAAUGUAUAUAAACAAAUAAAUCAAAACUUUCAUUCAAAAUAAUAAUAAAAUGAAAUAAAUAGUGAACACAAAUAAAACGUAAAGGAAUAUAUAUAUGUAUAGAAAUGUAAAUUAAAAUAUGUGUGUAUACGUAAGUUACAAAAUAUAUGAAAUAUAUAUAAAGUAUAUUUUAAAAUAUAAAGAAAAAAUAAAUAUGUAUGAAGUGUAUGUAAGUAUAUAAAUAUGUAUAUAUAAUAAAGGUGUAUGAAAAUAUAUUUUAUAUACAUGUAUUUAUAAAAAAAUGCAUAUAGAUAUAUAUAGAUGGUUUUAAGCUAUGAAGUAUGAAAAAUAUGUACAUGUAUGAAUUAUAAAAUAUAUAAAUAUGUACAUAUAUAUAUGUAAAAAUAUGUAUUUAUAUAUUUAUAAAGGUUAGAAAUAUGUACGUGUAUUAUAAAUAUAUAUGCAUAUAUAAAUAAAUUAUAAAAUAGGUAUGUUUAUAUGUAUAUAUAUAUAUAUUACAAAAAAAUGUGUAUAAGUAUAUGUAAAAAUAUAUAAUAAUAUAUGUAUAUAUCUAUAAAAGCAAUUAUAAUAAUAAUAAUAAUGCAAUAACAAUAAUAAUAUAAAAUUUGUAAAGAAAAUAAACAAAUCACUAAAGGAUUAGAUUAAACAUUAAACAAGAUUCGGGGGGUUCAAAGCGCAAAUAAACGAAAGGGGAGGGAUUGCUCUGAACACGCAUGUAACAUGGAGGGACCAUCAAAGAAAUUACCCUUCCUUUAAAACGGCGUAGUUCGAGUAAGGACGAAGUUGAAAAUACGAAAAAAUUUUGGGUAAAUUUAAAAGAUCAAAAGAACCUAAUUUAAAAAGCAUUAAAAAAGCGGAAGGGCUAAAGGUGCAAUUAGCCCUUCCGUCAAAAACACGCGGAUCCCUAGAUCAGACGGGUCGGGUCGCGGGUCGGAUCUCGGUUUAGACGCAAAACGGCGUCGUUUGAGGCCGAAUGAAACAGGCCAAAACGACGCCGUUUCAUUUAGGUAUUUAAACCAAUUUUUGUUUAAAAAAAUCAUUCAGCCCCAUUCCCCUUUUUUAAAAAAACUAAAAACUUCUCAGUUCUCUCUCCCUCUUCCCCUUUCUUGAUCUCGGGUCCGGCCGAGGGCCACCUUGUCGGCCGUCGGAUCGCCGGUGCCAGUGACGCCGUACACGGUGGCCGGCGAGUGGAGAAAGGCGUUGCCCUUAGAGAUGCCUAUCUCCUAAACCCGAAUCCGGCCUCAAAAUGACCAAAAACGAAUGGGAAAAGGCUGUUAGGCUUCUCUACAGUCGGUUUCCUCACCGGAGAAGGAGUUUCCGACGAGGAGGAAACAGCGACCCGCGGUGAGUCUCUUUUUUCUUUAUUUUAUGUUUUUUAUUUCGUUUAAAAAAUCAAAAUAAAAUAAAAUAAAUACAACGAAAAAAAGAAAAAGUAAAUAUUGCAAUCGAAAACCCAGGGAAUCACCUUGAAGCUUGAUAUUUUUUAUUAUUCUGUUGAAAUUUGUUUUCUUGGUUACAAAUCGAAAAAAGAAAAAGAAGCCCUUUUGAUUUUUUCAAUCGGCCUUAUAUAGCCAAACUACAAAAUAAAAAAUCUCCUUUUGCUAUCCGUAUUUGCUGUUGCUUGUUGGUGUUUGUUGCAGGUACUGGCGGAGCAGUUGGAGCAGGUGAGUCGGUGGCAAGUGGGCGUGGUGACGGCUGUGAACAGAGGGCAGGUGAGGAGGCCAGGAGCAGGUGCGGCACAACAGGGGGCUAGGGUUUCUGCUAGGUGUUUAUGUUUUGGGCUGAUUGGGUUAGGCUAGUUGGGCCUGGGUAGUUUUUAGGUUAAAAUUUGUUAUUGGGCCCUGGGUCAAAAAUUGGGCUUGUACAAUAAAAUUAUUUUUAAAAAAUAAAAAUUAUUAAAAAAUACAAAAACAAUAUUUUUAAUAGUUUAGAGAUGAAUUAAAUGCUAACAUGUCAUCUACUCAGCAAUCCACAUGUAUAACACGUCAUGAAAGUUAAUAAACAUUUAUUUUUUCAUCCACUCUGGAGUGGCUUGACAGAAAAUGUAAAUUCAAGUGUUAAAAGAAGCGAAAAUUUUAAUGGAGGGCUAAAAUGACUUGUUUUGUGAAGUUGGAGGGCCAAAAAAUAAUUAUGCCAAAACUAAAUGAUUAAUAGAAAACAAGGGGAAAUUUGCAUGCAUCUAUAUAAUUUUAUUUCAAACCAUUGUCAUUAUCUUGAGAUAUACAUUGGCAAACAUUCAUUGAAUAUACCUUGGGAAAAAAAAAUACUACAAGACAACGAAAUUAAAUAUCAUAAUCAAAUGUUGAAAAUGAAUGAUAAGAAAUUUAAAUUAAAAAUCAAACAUAGUAGGCUUGAUGUGCAAGCUAUCUGCAAUCUUUUUUUUUAAUUGUUUUAUUAUAUAGAUUUUAAUAUUUCUUACGUCUUUUAUCAGUCAAUUUGAACUGAUGCAUUCAUUUGUUUCAUUCAUAUGGUGUUGGAUCACAUUAAAAAAUAUAUACAAUUAAUUAAUCAUUUUUAGCUUAAUAAAAAAUAUAUAAUCUUGAUUGGUAUGAGUAUUAUUAUUAAUGUAAGAGGAUCUAGUUUUAAGUGUGCUUAAGCGCAUUAUCCUCCUAUUUAUGGGUUGAGGAGGGGUUAUGGGUAAUUUUAGGCAUUAUGUCAAAAAGAGCAUAUAUGAUCAGAACUUGUAAUGAAAUUAUUAAAAAAAAUGUAUAAACAUAAACAAUUUUGUUUACAUAAUUUUUAGAUAUAAAUGAGCUUUGGAUUCAAAUAAUUUUGUGUUGCUUGAGGUUUUCGGAUCUAUUUACUCUCAUUUAAGUUGUAAAGUUUUUACGAGAGGUAAAAUGUAAUUUCAUUAUUUUAAUAGCUUACGUCUUUAUAAUUAAUUAAAGGUUAAAUCAAAAUUUUAUUAUUUUUGAAAGCUAAUGUGUGAUUUUUACCAUGUAGUAAUUUUUAUAAUUUAUAAAAUUUAAAACACUAAAACAUAAACUUACCAUUUUAGGGUGCAGAGCCAGCCCCUAUAUUUUGAAUUUGAAGCAAUUUAAGUUUAAAUUUGUAAUUUUUUAUGAUUAAAUAAAAAUAAAAUAAGCUUUAUUUUAAAUUGAUCAAGUAAAAUUUAUCAAGUCAAAUUUUGAGUUAGAAAUCAAAAUUGUGAGGUUUACCUAUAUUAAGAAAAAUUAGCUACUAAAAAAUUGUUAAUAUAUAAAUUUGUGUGUUGGCUUGUUGGUCAGGGUAUUCAUCGCCCCAAAUGUGAUUUGGGUUCGAGUCGCGUUACUGUUAACGUUUUGUCAUCCUCUUGUAAUUUACUAAAAAAUUGUUAAUAUAUAUUAUAUAAAGAUAGUAAACUGUUGACUAACAUAAUGUCAUCAUUCAUAGAGGAAAAAAAAAGGCACAUUGAUCAUAUUUUCAGCCAUCCAUAAAAUAGCAGUAAAAUAAUUGACUUGAGAAAUAACACAUAAAAUCAUAUGAUAUAUUUGAUACACUGAGAGCAUUGAAGAGUCAUUUGAAUCAUCGUAAAAGACAAAGUAGACAAUUCAGUGACGAAAUUCUCAAUAUAUAUAACUACGAAAUUCCACACAAAAUUGUGAAAACAACGAAAAAUAUCUAAUAAAAAUAAACCAUUCAAACAAGACCGCUUGACUCUUUGAGUAAUGAAUUUUUUUUCACAAUUAAUUUAACAUGUUUUUCCAAUUUGAAUAGUAAACACUAUAGUUGCAAUUCAGUCAAUACUAGAAAUUUAUAUUUUAAACCCAUCGUUUAGAAUAUUCCAUUUUUUACAUUGGAAAUAACACAAAAGAUUCAAAGGAAAAAUAAGCAAAUUUCAUCAAAGGCGUCUAUUUGUAAUGGAAAAUUUAUAAUGUGGAUCCUUGUAUUAUAAACUAAAGAACAAAUUAACUCCUUAAGUAUAAAAGUGAGCAAUUUAGUCCUUUAGGUCUUUUCUCUUUUUUCUCCAAGCCGUUUGUUUCUUCUUUUUUGUUUUGCGUAGCAACGGUGGCAAUCUCCGGGCUGGCUACUGCCCACCUUUUGCUCCCUCCAUUCCAUAUGUUUUCUCUCUUUUCAAUUGAUACAUCUAUUUUGUAGGUAUCUUUGUUGCCUUCACAUGUUGUGAUGGACAGAUGAUGAUGCCUAUCGUCGCUGAAAUUACCCUGGCCAUCAACAGUUUCUCUAAGAAAGUGGGUGACUUUUAAUUGGCUCUUGAUCUAUUUUUGUUUGGAGAGUAUUUUAGAAUAAUAAAUAAUUUUACGAAUCAGUUUGGACCUCUAGUAUUUUAAGUCGUCACCAUUCAUUCCAUGAAUGGAAUCAUAUCAUUUAUGUAAAAGAUAAAACUUAAACAUGUCUUUAUAUUUGUAAAAACUUAACAAUAAGAAGGCUUGACUAUUUGAAUAAGUUAUUUUUCACAAUAUUUUCAAUUUGAAUUGUAAGUACUCCAUAGUUGUAUGAUUCAGUGAAUACUAGAAAUUUAUAUUCAAAACCCAUCAUUUAAAAUUUUCUGAUACAUUAGAAUUGAGAAGAAAAAUAUUUAGAGUAAGCAAAUUUCAGCAAUGGCGUCUAUAUUUAUAAUUGAAAGUUAUCAAUAAAAUUAAUAUCUUAUUUCUUUUUAAUAUUUUAUUGUGCAUGCGUAGUUUUACUAAUGGCAUUGAUAUCCCAGAAUUAAAAUAUUUCCAACAAGCAUGUGCUCUAUUGAUUGACUUUAAAGUCUCUAGAUUUUUAAAAUGAAUUUACUAAAAAAAUGAAAAAAAAUUAUUAGAAUUAAUUUUUAUUAAUUGAUAAUAAACUUAUGAAUAAUUAAGUAUUACAUUUUUAUUAAUUCCAAAUCAAACUUCUUUUUUUUAUAUAAUACCUAAAACUACUUAUAAUCCCUUCCUAAUCCUUAAAUAAGAAAAUAAUGUGUUUCAACAUAUUCAAACCCACAUCUUCCUGCACUGACAGAUUAUAUAAAUUUAAAUAUUCAAUAUAUAUAUUUCUCUAAAACUGACAUGUUGAAAAAGGAAAUCACAACUAUAAAACAAUCAUCUUCAAAGUUUCAAUAAUAAAAUAAGUAUAAUACAAAUUUAAUGAUAAAUUCAUGAUGUGUUAGGAUAUAAAACUAAUAUUUUAAAAAAACGAUAUGAAAUUAUAAAUUCUAUUGUGAUUAUAGUAUAUUUAUAAAUGAAUGUUGGGAUAAUUAUAAAAUGGAAUUAAAUUAAUAUAAAAUACAUUAAAAAUUAAAAUAAUUAAAACUAAAAUUGAUUCAUUGGACAAAAAUAUACACUUAACAACGACGCAUUAUAAAAGUAAAGAUCUAGAUAUGAUAAUUGCAUAUAAUAAAAUUUAAAUAUAAAUAUAAAAUACUUAAAAAUUUCAACCAACAAUAUCUUCGUUAAAAUUAUAAAUUCGCUUGAUUAUUUUCCUUUGAUUUAACACAUCUUCUUUUGGUAGCCGUCUGUACCUGACUCGACCAGUUAACCCACAAAACAUUUUACAUGUACAAUAAUGACACAAUUUCGCUCAGGCCUAAUUUACAUAUAAAUACAAAAUUACAAAUCCAAAUAAAAAUAUUACAAGCCCAAAUGUAAAAAGGAAGCCCAGUGGCCCAAAAAACUUAAACAUUUUCAGAAGGACAGAAACCUUAGCCAGCGCGCCGCCCUCUCUGCUUUGCCAGCGGUUUCGUUGCCUGAGGUUUGACGCCUCAUCUGCCAGUUGUCGCCAUCGACUAGGGACACUUGCAAAAAAGGAAGAACAAGGACAGAAGCACAACACCCAAGAAAAAACAGUAGAAACAGUAGAAAAACAGUAAAAAAGAGAGUGUAAUUCGACUAUAAAAGCCAUGACUUUUAUGUAUUUCUUUACAAGAAAAAAAGGAAUAAAAAACAGAACACAAAGAAAACAUUUUUAAAGGUGAUUUUCUUCAUUUUUUUAUCUGUUAUUUUUAGAAAAAAAACAUAAAACAUAAAAUCAAAAAAACUUACUGAGCCGUUUCAUGUUCCACCGCCGCGAGUAGACGAGGACACCGUCCGCGAUGACGGACGGCUCCCUUCGGUGAGACCUCCGAGUCACUUCUGUUUUGUCUAAGGACCACGGCGGAGAAAACCAAGGGGUUGUUCAGAUUUUUUUUAAUUUUUUGUUGGGUUUUGGAAAGUACUGACCCCGGAUUCGGGCUCAAGAAGCCGUAACGGCCAAAAAAUGGUUGCUUGUAGAUUCUAGCCACCGGGAACAGUGAAAUCAUCGCCGGCGCCAGGGGCAAACGUGGAAAACCGAGAGAGAAAAAAAGACUCAGUUUUUUUAAGAAAAACUAAACAUAAUGAUUUUUUUUUUUUAAUUUGGCUUAUAUAGGCGAGGCUAAACGACGUCGUUUAAAGCUGGCUUCAAUAGCCCCAAAACGACGUCAUUUUGAAACAUGACCCGAAUACAAACAGGAUCCGCAUGUUUUCUUAAGAAAGGGUCUAAUUUUUACUUCAGUCCUUCUGCUUUUUAAUUGAUUUUCAAUCUAGUCCUAUUUCUUUUUUUUUAAUUUUUGCCCAGUGAUUUUGUUUCUUUUUAGUCCCUCAUGGAACGGUGUGUUUGCGGGCCUGGGAAUAAUUUCCUAGUUGGUCCGUCCUUGUAAUACCCCAAAAAUUACUACAGGAAUAAAGUAAUAUAGUAUCCUUGAUAUAGUAAAAUCAGGAAAUAAAGUGACAAAAAGGGAAAUUUUGAGUUAUGUCAACAUUGGGAAGUAUAUUAUGACAUAUUAAUGCAAAAAAAGAUUAAAUCGCAAAAGUGAGAAAAGUUUUGUUGCCCAAGAGUAAAUACUCAAAAAUUGAGGGGUUAAAGUGUAAAUAUAAAAAAGUUCAAAGACCAAUAGUGAAAAUAUUUUAAGGGUGGAAUGAUAUAGAAAAUAAGGAAAAUGGAUGAAUUAUGACCAAAUUGAAUAGGUGAAGAAUUAUGAUGGACUAAAUCAUAAUUUUACCAAAUUAAGUGAUGACUCAAUGAUGGAAUUUUAAAAGAUCAUGAAGGGCAAAAUGGUCAAUUAGAAAGAGAGAGAACUCUAAAAGGUAAUGAUGAUGUUGGUGAUAUUUUUAAUUAAUUAAUUAGAUAAAUGUUAUUUAAUUAAUAUUUUAUUUAGAUUUUUAGUAUUAUUUUCUUUAUAAUUUGGUUAUUUUACCAAAAAUUCACCAUUUUCACUUAGAAAUCAAAAGAAUUUCUAUAGCUACCAAGAGAGAAAAAUAAUAAGGAGACAAUGGGGAACUAGAAUAUCAAGUUAGAUUCAAGAAAUAGAAGCUGGAGGAGAGAGAAAAUUAAGUUAAAGAUUGAAAUCAAUAGGACAAGGUAAGAACCUCAAAUUUCAAUAUAUUUUUUAGUUUGAUAUUAUUGAAAAAGUAUGAAAUUGAUGGCAAAGUAGAGUUUUAUUAUAUAAGAUUCUAUGUUCUUGAUAUUCUAGUGAAGGGAAAUAAGAGGAAGUGAUGGGAAAUAUUGUAGAGAAAGGAAAGAAGGGUGUUAUAAAUUUGGUUAUCAACAUUUUACACUAAAACAGUUUUGGACAACAGCAGUAGUCUGACUUUGAAAAUUCACCAAAAAACGUAGAAAUUGAAUUAGAGGUUAAUUAAAGUAUUAAAAUAAAUCCUAUUAAGUCUAGUUUUACAUGGAAGAAAUGAUGUAAGCAAAAGAAUUUCAUAUUAAGAGAUAUAUGAAUUUUUGUGAGACAGGGUCAGAUUGAUUUCGGGUUCCCCUGUUCUGACUUUGGAAAAUCAUCAAAAAAUUUUAAAAAAUAAUUAGGGGUUUAAAUUUAUUUUUUUAAAUUCUUGAUGAGUCUAUUUUCAAGAGAAACAAACAGAAACAUCAUCCAGACACCGUACUAAAAGAUAAUUAAUUUUUAGCAAGAAAAGGUCAAAGCUAUCAAACAGCAGAAUAUGGAUAAAUUUGAAGCAUUUACUGUACUUAUAGACUAAACUGUAAAUUCUAAAAAUUUUAUGGUGGAAAGAUAUUUGAGUCUAGUUUCAAAAACAUCAAUCAAAUCUUAAUUUAGAAUUCUGUAGCUCGAGAUAUAAAUAAAUUAUUGACCGUGAUUCAAGUGGACAGCUUUGAUAUGAACAUAAGUAAAUAGUAGAAUUAUAGAUAAUAUUACAUAUAAGCAUAAUAUAUACAUUAAGGAUGUGGAAUGGAGAGGAGGAGGAGGAGGAGGAGGAGGAGGAAAAUAUAUGAAUAUUCAACUAGCAUGAGUUUUCAUUAAAAAUGGCUAAUUUGCAUGUUUUAGGUUCAGAGACUAAAUUGAAUAAAAGUAAAAUUUUAAGGGUAAUUUUGUAAAAAUGUCAAAAAUGACCAAAUUGUAUGAAAUAAAUUUUUUUAUUAUUUAAAUUAAUAAAUUGAAUGAAAUAUUAAUUUAGAUCAAGAUUGAGUGGAAAAUCGAGGGAAAUGGAAAAUUACUAAAAUGCCUCUGUAUAUUGGUAUUUAUGCAAUUUGGGCUGGUAAGUUCGUAUGAACUAUAUUCUGUAUAAUUUUGAUUAAAGUGAAUGAUAUUUGGUGAUGGAUAUUAUAUAUAUGUGUGUUCAAUUGUUGGAAUUGAAUUUAAUACUCAGUUUGGAUUGAAUGCGGGAUUGACUACAAUCGUUCUGUGGCAAAGGAUGAAUUGACGGAUAAGACCAUAACUAGGUUAUGACACUAUGAACGUAAGACCAUGGUUGGACCAUGGCAGUGUUUUUAUGUAAGACCAUAGCUGGGCUAUAGCUUUCUAAUGAGACCAUAACUGGGUUAUGGCACCUUGAACGUAAGACCAUGGUUGGACCAUGGCAGUAUAGAUACAUGUGUAAGACCAUAGCUGGGUUAUGGCAUUCUAAUGAUAAGACCAUAAAUGGGUUAUGGCACUACAAAUGUAAGACCAUGGUAGGGCCAUGGCAAUGCAUGUGUAAGACCAUAGUUGGACUAUGGCACAAAAAGUAUAGCUAGACAAAAGAUUUUUUUUUUUUUUUUGCAUUUAAACUUCUGAAGUAUCUUUGAUGAAAGAGGUGGUGGAAAUAACGAUAGCUCCAAUGAAGAAGAAGACAAUGUCUUAUAUGACUCAAAAAUGGAAGUACCUAGGGAUGUUAAUACUAAAGUACUGAGAGCCAUUAAAGGAGAUUGGGUUUACAGUGAGUGUAAUUCACACCAACAUGCUAAGAACCACUAGAGGAAGUAAAUAGGUUUGGAGAUAUCUAGAGUUAUGAAUGAACUUAGACAAGGCUAUUAUGGAAAAUGAAUAUACCUCUUCUUAGAGAAAAAGGUAACUUUAUAUAGAGAUUUGUGUACAUCUUAUUGUGAUGGUGGUCUACCUCAGGCUCAGUUGUAAGGCCAAAAAAGCCCUGUUAGGCAAUGACAUGUGAUAGUGUAUGGAGUUUGUACUAAAGUUAUGGAGGGUCCUACUAGGAUGUGGUAGAAAGGACCUCUGAGUAGGCCCUAAUGAGACUCAGCACUGGGACUUGAUUUGACAAUGGCGCAUGUAAGGAGAUAAUUGAAAGCUUGAAUUUGGCAAGCCCUUUCAUGGGCGAGCCCUUCUAGAUAAAAUUGGUUGACUUAGGGCCAGAUUUUCAUUGCUUUUGAGAAGUGCUUCUGAGAAGUGCUUUUGAGAAGUGCUUUUUAGAAGUGCUUUUGAAAAAUUUGAGUGUUUGGCAUUGCUGUCAAAAAGUGCUUUUGAAGAAUAAAAUGUCCAUUUUAGACAUAAGAUUAUAAAGUAAUAAAUAUGUAUUUAAAUAAUGUUCAAAUUAGUUAAUAUUAUGGUAUUUUAGCAAAAAUAUAAAAAAAUAAUUUAUUAUAACUUAUUGUUAAUAUUUUAAUAUAUAAUAUCAAUUUUAAAUAUUUCUAAGUAAUUAAUAUUAAUUAUUUAGAAAUAUUUAAUUAGAAUAUAUAAACUAUAUUUAAAUAUUUAAAUAUAAAAAUUAAAUAUUUGUAAUUAGAUAUUUGAUGGGCUACUUUAACACUAAAAUUAAUCAAACAUAAUACUAUCUAACUAAAAUCUAAAAUCUAAUCACUAAAACCCAAUAUUAAACUUAGUAAUUCACUUAAAAAGAGCCUAAAACUAAGUGUGAAUUUAACUCUAAAACAUAUAUUAAUUAAACACCUAUCAAUUUCGUUCCAACUGUCAUUGUAAUGUAAUGUUAUAAUGUUUUUGUUCUAAUAUAUGACAAUGCACAUUGUUUAUCAUAUUUUUGUUCCGAUUUAAUGCACACUACCAUUUUAGUGUAAUGUUUGCCAAUAAUUGUUUCAAAAUGGUAUGAACUUUGGACCAAAAGAAUAAAAAAAGUUAUAUAAACAACAAUUCAAUAGAAAGCCGACAAAAUUAAUUGAAGUUGGUUCGAUUCGGUUAAUUAUUUUAACAGAAAAAAGGUCAAUUCAACUAACGGUUUAGUUAAUUAUAAUUCAAUUAACAAUGGAUCGAACUAACUAUUUCAUCACCCUUUAGAUUAAAUGUUUGAGAAUAUAAAACAAAAUACUUAGAAUUAUAAAAGAAAACAUAGUUUCAAUUGAACAAUUUAGCGUGCAAUGGAUACUAAGAUUCUAAUUUGAGGGUAAAAUAUGGAAUGCCCAUAUUGUAAUCUGUGGUGCUUUAUUAACUGCUGAUAUCUUUAACAACAUAAAGCUACAAUCCAGGGUCAAGGCGAGGCUUUCAAGGCAGCUUCUCCUAGUUUACCUCUGAGCAAGUGAUGGAUUGUAGGGUGCUCCCCAAACUGAGCUACGGACAGUUUGACUACCGGUUGCAACAAUAAACGUGAGGGAAGGUUAGAGCACAACUAGAUGGUUCUACUUUGGUUCUUAGUAUGAAUUUUCUGACAAAACUGCAAAUAAGCGGGAAAGGUUGCAUUAUUUCACAGGACAAGCUAGCCCAGCCUGAUGAUAAUACGUAAGUCGUGAAGAAGGUAGCCUGCAGACAAGAACAAUUUCAGUUAGAUGUAAUCCUGAAGAUACACAAUCACAUGCCAUAAAAAAGUGAGAAAAGCAAUCUGUCCUAUGUGAGUGCCUACAAAAGAGAGCGCUUAAUAGUGUAUUUCAUGCAUCUCAAUAGACCAAGGUAAAAUCUAAAUCUAAAUGCAUAUAACAACUUGCCAUGAAUGGAGGUGUUGAGGUUUUAUUAAACCAACAAUUGAGGACGCAUGGAAAGGUUACGUGGGUUGGCACUGCUCUGGCAAGUUGUUUAGGUGCAUCUUUAAAACUUGAGAAAACAGUCAAUUGCCUGAUGAUGGAUCCAGAAAGGACAUUAACAAAGAAAACAUUCCAAAUUGUGAAGUACAGAACUUUGAUGCAAGCACCCCAUUUCCUCUGACUACGUGAAAUAUUCCCCUCCAUUGUAGAAAACAACAUCAUGGUUGGUGGAACAGCAUACAGAAAUAAGAUUAGAAUCACACUUGGUAAGUAACCUGUUACCACCCGGUGUAUGAACUCCCUACAUAGCAGAAUAAACAAGAUAGAUUCACAAUGAGUGCCUGGUUCCUUCUCUUUUAAUUCCUUCAAGUUUCCACUUAAAAACAAUGAUAUUUGUCCUAUCUACAUGUAUUAAUACACACCAAGAGCUUGGGUGAGUUUAAUGCAGUUAAAUAGCAAUGACAUCACUAUAAUAAGUUGUAUCUGGCUAUUUAUGUACUCUAGAUUGUCUUUCAGAGCCUUCAAUCUAGACCUGUUCUCAGUAUGCGCCACAAGCAAUAGCAGAUAUAGGAGUAUUAACAGGGUUCACGAUUAUGGAUCUUUUCAUGCAGGUUUCUAUAUAGAGUUUGUUGCAUCAGGCAUCAGUCAUGACUGCAAUGUGAUAUGAAAGCAGCAUAAUUGAAAAAAAAAUAACAAGCUUAUACUGGUUUUGCAAUAGAGUUUGGGGAAUGAUACUCACUGUUUUUAAAUUCCUUUAAGAAAUGGAACUCUACGUGAUAGCUGGUCUAAGUGCUCUAGUUGAGUCAAGCCUUGCACAAAUGUAACAGGAAGAAGAAACAGGAAUUGAAAUGUUGAACCACUUCAAGAUGUUUUGAACUUAAAUUUGAGACUUAAUUACCUGAAAACAACUAUUCUCAUGAAAGCUACAGCAUCGUAACAUAAAUAGACUUAAUUACUCGGUUACUAACAUGAAAUUAAUUAAACAAAACAGCAACAGCAACAGACCCUUUAUGCUAACCGCAUUUCUUAAGAAAAAAGAAAUACCAAACAUAAAUAGAAAAAAGAAAGAAAAAAGAAGAAGAAGCAACAAAACAGCAACAACAACAGACAAGCUUUUUCUCUUAUCAGGGUACACAACAAACAUUCCCACAUUUCUUAAGAAAAAAGAAGAAGCAACAAAUGGAAUUGAUUGGGGAAGUUCAACAAACAGAAGGAGAGCAAAAUAAGACAAUGAGCAAAAUACCAAACAUAAAUAGAGUGUGUGCUUGGCUGCAUCUCUUUGAUCCCAGCUACUGUAAGCCUUUAUAUGUAACCAAAGCAAAGCACCGCCCCCACUUAUCUGACUCACCCACCCACCAGAACCUUCAGACCAUUUUGCAGACUUAUGAUAACACAGAUAAAAUAAAUCCUAAAGCCAAACAUGUGUAUGCCUUGUGAAAGUUACGGCACAAAAGAACAGAGUAUUUUAUAACAAUGAAGCAUGGCAAUCAAAUUCCAGCGAAAGAAAAUAUUAAACAGAAGAGGAACUAAUUAAACAGAAGAAGAAUUAUAAAAGAAACUCUCACCAGCGGAAGAGGAACAAAGAACAGAAAAUAGCUUUGAAAGCCGAAAAUGGGGAAAAGAAAUUGGGUAUAAAGCUCCAAUUUCACCAGCAGAGGGGAAAGAAAAUUUGGGGAACCAGCAGAGGGGAAAAAAACGUUUGGGGGAGAAUUUGGUCAAUAAUCAUCCAAAAGCAGUUAACGCUGAAGAAAAGGAGAAAAUUUUAGCUUCUCCAUCUAGAGAGAAGCACUUUUCUGAUGGAGAAUUUGUAAGAGAAAAGGAGGUUGUUCUUGGUUCCUUUUAAGAGAAAAGUGCUUUUUAGUGAAAAAGUGCUUUUCAAACGGGAAAAAGAACGGGCCCUUAGCGAGGUGUUUAAGUAUAAUAAUUUUCCUUUAAAAGUUGAGGAAGAGGUUAUAAAGUGGCUUUUCCCGAGAACUUUUUUUGGCGAGGUGCUCUCCUUUCGAUGAUGAUGUGAUGUGUUGUCUUUGGCAUGCCUAAAAAGGAGAUGUUGGACGGGUAGGUAUUUUGUUGGUGUACCUUUUUCAUGAUCUUAACAAGAUUAAAAAGGUGAGCUUAAGAGUCAAUUCUAAAGGGUGGGCUAGUAAUGGAAAGGCUUGAAUAGACAAAGGUAUGCUUGGCUAGGUGAGCUCGUUGAGGCAAGGCCUGAAAGUCUAUUUGAAAGGUGAACCUUUAUUGUAUGCAAUCUCGAAAGAUAAAGUUACGUUAAAGAAGAAAACAUCGUUGAAAGUGGAAACAACGGUGGUAGAUAGGCCAACAAAGAGGAAGAGCACGACAAGAUCACACUCCAAAGUUAUAGCGACAAAUUAGAGUAGAUUAUAUUUUCUAUUGCUAUAUAGUUAUUUCCUUUUGGGGGUUAAUAUUUUUCACAAAUAUUAUCUUUUUUUUCUUUUUAUUUUUUAUGGUUACUUCAUGUCGGGGAUAUAAUGUUUGAACGAGAAAUUUAUUACUUUCUUCAUUAUGUUAAUUAAUUUAUGAGUGGGGAAUUAAACGAAACGAUUUUUUCAAUUGAGUAUUUGAUUUCACAUUCUUCUCCAAUAAUAUCAUUCAAACAACUACUACAUUGAAAUAGACUAUUUAUUCUUUACAAUUACCUACAAAUUAGAUGAGUGUUAAUUCAUGUGGGCAUUUCAUAUUUGAUAUUAGUAAAUUGUAAAUUUGAAUAAAGGAAAACCUAUCUCUUAAGUGGUAAUUUUACUGGAUUCUUUUUACUAUUUUGAUCCCAUUUAUGAUAUUUGUUACUCUUCCUAUUCUCAUACUCUAUAUAUAUUCAUGAAUGCCAUUAAAUAAAUAAACAAUUAAAAGAAAAGAAAAUAUGAAACAGAAGAAAGCUUUUCUUGAAAAAAGAGCAGGACUUUGAUGGUAAAAAGGUAGAAAAAACUUCAUUGGAUUAAUAUAAGGUAGUGAGUACAAAUCUAAUCAAUUUGGACUUUUUCUUUAUAUGAUAUGUAUGAAUAUUAUAAAACAUUAUUACUUAAAAUUUAAUAUUUAUUCCUUAAGGAAAAAGCUUGAAGAGGAAAUUUUAAUAUAAUUUCAAACUGCGAUUGGUUCAAUCAGCAAUGAAGUAAUCCCACCCUUAGCUGCUUUUCCAACAUAUGUAUAGCCAUCUCCUUCACUGUAAAGCACAUCCAUCACCCUUGCAAGGUUUAGACUACGAUUUAAAACUUCUGUUGGCAUUUCUGUUGGUUUCAAAAACUCUUGAUUUACAUCCUUCCACGCACUCUCAACAUGCUUGUUGAAUACAUCAUAUGCCUCUUCUGCUGUUACGCCAUAUUCUUCCAUAUAACACUCGAUUGCUGAGCAAUCGUCUUCUCUCCUAUGCUUGAACUGCAACCAUAAUAAAAUCAAAAUUAUUCUAUCACUAUAUACCCUAAAACCUUUCAUAUUAUUAAACUAUAUUUGUUUAAAAUGAAACUAGAUUUAUUUUCUUAUUUUUCGAUUUAAGACUAAACAUUUGAUAUGUCAACAUUAAACUUUAAUUGUUUCAGAUCAUGAUAAAAACCAUCAUUUAAUUUUGUUACAAAGACAUUCAAUUAUUGAGCUAAGAGUUCAGUUUCUUGUGAUCAUAUAAAUAUAUUAUUAUACCUUGUGUUCAGCAACAUCAUCCAUAAACCUACAAAUUAUUGUGGAAGCUUGAAUGAUCUUAGGGUUAUUAGUUGCCCAUUUAAAGGUCUCUGGUGUUACGAUAUCUCCCAUGCCGACGAAAGAUGUAAUAGCAAGCAUUUCAUAACCACAAGUUGGCAAUGCAUUAGCCUUAAACUCCUCGAAUGAUGGUUUGUAGUUUUGAAGAGUCCAUUUGAACUCCACAAGGUAAGAUUGAGCAAGUCGUAUCAUCUAAGACAACAAAGUCUCAACAAUUAUCACUAAUAUCAAUUAAAAUUCAAUAAUAAUAUUUAAAUGAUUAUAUAUUGUUAUUCAAGUUAGUUGUUUAUUCAAAUCUAGAAUUUAGCUAAGAUCUUAUCUCUUUUGUAUAAAAUAAAUGUUUGCAAAUGUACAUACCGCAUUCUUCGCAUACUCGACACGAUAUUGUCUCCCAUUCUCAGCCACCAAUUGUAUCAUUUCUUCAUAAACAUCUAAUAGUGCCUUGUAGCUUGGUUUCAUAUAUUCAGGAAGUUCAUCUAUGCAUUUGAUAUCCCACCUGAAUCAAACCUCAACAUUAUAUUUGAUCAUUCCUCGUAAUAUAUACUUGAAUGUUCACUUGAACAAAAAAAACCUAACCUAUUACCAGCAAAAUUAAAGAAAUCUAACCUCUCAAUUGCAUUUGUAUAGGGAAUGAGCUCUUCAUAUGUUGCAUAUGAGUCAUAUGUAUCAUCUACAAUAGAUGUCAUUGCUAUCACUUUUGUCAACAUCUUUCUACCAAGUGAAUAUUGGGGCUCAAAGUACACUCCCGAGAUCCAAAAAUAACCUUCAACCACUCUAUCUCUUGCAUAUGGCAACUUUCUUUGAAAGUCUAAAUCCUUCCACCACCUAAAAAAUCAUAUUAUAAAAAACACCAUUAACGCAAUGACCAUACAAAGUUUUAAUUAGUUCCACACUCAUGUUGUCAAUGAGUAAAUUGUUAAACUCUUAAGUCAAUCGGGAACCUCAAAUUUUAAAAAUUAUAUAAGUAAAAUGAAAUAGGUGAAAAAGAUGAAUCUAAAGUUAAAAUGAAAAUGGUGAAAAAGAUGAAUCUAAGGUUCAUGCCAUCACUUUUAACUUGUGCUAUUUAAUAAGAUUCAAAUAUUAGCAUUUGCAACUCGUAUCCUAUACUGAGAAUGAUGCCUCCUAUAAAUUCAACCCCCCCUUCCACCAAAAAAUUAAAAAAAGAUGAAAAAGAAAAAAAAAUGGGUGAAAGAGAUUAACAAAACAUACCUACAAAUCUCACUUAGUUCUUUCCUAUGCAAAAAUUGUAACAUGUUGAAAUCGAUCUUAGCAAACUCCAACAAAGCCUUAUUAUGGGACUCAAUAUCUUGGUAUACUGAAAGAUAGUGCCUUGCCUCAACCCUUGGCAAGCCUCUUCGAAUUGAUUGUUUCAAAGCAUGAGAAACCUCUUCGGACAAAGGAUGGUCCAAAGAUGCUACUGCAAGGCUUAAAUGGUUGGUGGUGAAAGAAAUUGCUUCAUCCAAUAUAUCUUCCCCAUGAACCCUCAAAUAGGAAGCUUGGUAAAGUUCCAACAAUCCUCGAACAUCGCUUGUCACGGAUGACUUGAAAUUCCCUUGCUCGUCUCUAAACUUGUUGAAUACGUCUGAGAUGAAAUUACCCAAAAUGAAAUAUCGUUAUCAAACAUUCCAUGCUAUUAUAUUCUCAAGAAACUUAAAAACAGUAUGUUGUUGUUCCAAUAAUUACCGCAUGAAACAUUGUAUCCAUGCUCUCGGAGUAGUCGGAAUCUAAGAGAUGUAGUGUAGAGGUCGUUCUCGGCAUCAUUGUUGUUAUGGUAGAUAUUCUCUAGUUCAUCUUCGAUCUCCUUGGUGAAAUGGUAACUCACACCCAGUCUUUGCACUGAAUCAAUGAAGGCUAACUUUUGGGUUGAAUUAGCCAUUGGUGCCACAAUCAUCUUCCUCACUUCUUCUUUCAAUUGUUGGUGGCGUUUUUCAGUUCCAGCAUCAAUAUUCUGCUCAAAAUAAUGAAAAUUUUCUUCACAUUGAAUCACUAAAUAAUUAAACAAAUAACAUGUUAAGAUUAUAUCAAUAUGGUGAUAUGUAUGUAUACCUUGUCGGGACAAUUGAGGAAGAAAUCUCCCCAAAUGCUAGGCUGAAAAUCGGCUUUGGGACGCAUUUCAUCCUUAUUGGAAGAAAGGGGUGAUGAAGAAGGCAUUUGAGAAUCUUGUGAAGUCAUUUCGAUUGAUCAAAAGCAAAUAUUGAAAAGCUGAAUUUGCAGCCUUUUUGUGGUUUGCUCUUGAAAUUUGGCACAGAAUUUGUGUGAGGAUAAGAGUGCAAUUGUUGCAUGUAUUUAUAGGUAAGAAAAAUAGUGGUGAUAUUUGAAGUCAAAAAAGAACUUAAAUUCAAGAAAACAAAUAUGGAAAACAAAGUGAAUGUAGGACCCAUUGCAUGAGAAUUGGAAAUAGAUUAAAAGAAAUGUUAUGUCUGUAAAUUAUUAAUUGAUAAAUGUUUAGAAAUGUAUAAUAUCUUAUGUAAUGUAUAAAUUAAAUCUUAACUAUUACUUUAAUAUGAAAUGUGUUUAAAAAGAAAUAAUUACAGUAUUUAAUAAAAAAUGUACUUGAUUUAAUGUUAUCUUAUGUAAUGUAUAUAGAAAAGGUUAAAAUUGAGUUUAUACUUCUGGUUUAUUCUUCAUUGAUUGAAAUGUAAGGAUGAAAAUGAUUGAUGCCUAAUGUUUGAGGGCAUGAGUGAUAUUAAAUCUUUUCUUUGCUUUUGACAUACUCUUGACAGAAUUUUAAGUCCUCAAUCCCCCUGCAGUCUCUAUGACGACCAAUCUUUUUAUCACCGAAAUUAUUUUCUUAGGAAAUAACAGUGUAAAGUAAGACUGCUAUGACUCUAUAUUAUUUAAAAAUACUAACUUAUUUAGAUAUAAAAUUUUACUUAAUAAAAAAAUGUUUGUCAUGCUACUUUUAAUCCUACUCAGUAAUCAAUUCUUUUUGUUACUUAUUUGAGCCGCUCUCUUUUGGAUUUUUUUUAAUGGAAUUUUGCCCUGUUUAGGAUUUUAGGAAAUCUUUAAGGAAUCAAUUUAAAAACUAUGAAAAAUAUUAUUAAUUUUGGGUAAAUAAAAAUUGAAAAAUGGCAUGUUUCAUCCAUAGUGAUGUACCAAAUAUUCUUAUAUAUAAAUAUAAUAAAAACAUUUUUGAAAAUUUUAAUAAACAAAAUAUUUUUUGCUAAACAGAUCAAAAUUAUUAGUAGUGAAUUUUGAGGAUCUUAAGUCUCAUUUUUUUGAAUAAUUUUAUUAUAAAUUUUGAUCAUAUAUAUAUUUUUUAAGAUAAUACUUAAAAUUACCUAUGGUCCCUCUCCAUCCAUAAAUAGAAGAAUAAUGCGUUUUAACAUACUCGGAUUCACAUUCUCCUGCAUUGCCAAUAAUACCCAUAUCAAUUAAAUUAAGACUCAACUGGUUAAAGAUAUUAAAUCUUAAAUCUUUAACUAAGGUUAUAAAUACUCAUUGAGUUUUUUUUAUAUAUAUAUAUAUAAAGAAUUUACUUGGGUACAACGGACUAAUAAGAUUGAACUAUAUAUAUAUAUGUGAAGAUAAAUUUAAAAUCAAAUGAAGUCAAUUUAUGCAUAUAAAGUUAAACCGAUUUGACUCUUUUUUUUCAAUUGAUUUUUUCACGGAUUUCUUUUAUCAAGGAACAUUAUUUAACUCAUGCAUUAAAUUCUGACACAAUAUUCAACCUUGUCAUUACUUUUACUGUAGUUUUAGUUUUUUUUUUCCAAGUAGAUACAAUAGUCAACCUUGUCAUUUUCAACCUUGUCAUUUUAAACUUCUAUUUAAAACAUUCAAUAGAUUUUGUUCUUGUUAGUUUUCAAAAAAAAAUCAUAUUUGGUUGUAGAUUUAUCAUCUUUCUUGUUGUCAUCAUUUUCAUCAAAGGAUCCUUCAAGAGUCACUAAACAUUUCUAAAACUUAUCUUUUUGUGGUUAUUUGACCAAUCAUUUUAGCUUGAAAUUGGUUGGUCUUUGUCUUAGUGAUGAUGAGUAGUAACUAAGUUUUAUGGUGGUUGGUUGAUUGAAAUAUUGCAUGGUUAAUUUUUUGGGUCAAAGAGUAAAUCAUAAAAAUCGGAUUAAAUUGAAUAGAUUUCAAAACCUAGAAUUGACGCCUCUACGUGAACAUUUGGAUAGGUGAGACCGAAAGGAGAUCCUAUUGUGAGCCAAUUUGAUUGACCCGACUUAGUUUAGUGAGGUCGGGAGAUAAACCAGACUAAAUCGUAUAAUUAGGUAAAAUGGUAAUCGAGAGGUAAAAUUGGACUAAUUAGGAGUUUGAGCAAUUUAUAUCCCUAAUCCAAGAAUUAAUUAGAAAUAUGGAUAUCAACCGACCACUUUAUCUCAUUGAAUUAUAUUUGUAUACUUUUUAUUGUUAUUCAAUUUAGUCCUCCUUAGGGUAGUUUAGCGUAAUUAACUUUGACCUCUCUUGAGUUUGAUCCUUGGAAAGGUCAAAGUGUUCCAUUAUAACACUUACAAAUAUUACAAUUGACCUAUCACACUUGCAGUCAAGUCACUUUUAAUUUCUUAUAUUUUGCGCUAAUUCUUUGCUAGGAGUUCGUACGCUGUGGCGCAAUCAAUUUUUUGGCAUCAUUGCAUGGGAAAUGUGUGUGUGAUGAGUUGAUUUGUUGUGAUUUUCUCAUGUUUUGCUAGGAAGACAAUUGGUGAAAUCUAGGUUUAUAAAUACGGCGCUUUACUUCUUUGUGUAUUUCUAUUUUUAUUUGUUUAGUUAAUUUCAUGACUAAUUCUUGUGGUUGCAUUUCUCAAUGUAUGAUUUGGAGCAACAAAGAUUUAAUCUCAUUUGAUCUCGAGUCGAAAAAGAUAAUAUCCAACGCAAGAUGAGGACAACCCUCAAGAGAGGGUCACCUAUCGAUAGAAUCAUUGAUUGUUGAUCCACCAAUUGACAAUCUUUUAUUUGAAUAUCCACCUAUAGGCCCUCUGAACAUAGAGAAACACGAACCCCUAUCUGAUCGAGACGAAUGGCGAACCGUACAUCGAAAGAUUAUAUCACGCCAAACUUGGAUGUUGUGCGAGGAGUAUCAACCAAACUGCCGUUAAUGCCAACAAUUUUGAGAUCAAGUCGGCUAGGAUAAGUAACCUCUAAUUCUGGGGCUCAAUGCAUGAGGAUUCCAACAACACCUUUAACAUUUUCUAACCAUUUGUGAUACCUUUAAGUAUAACAGGGUAUCCAAUGACGUUAUACGCCUUUGGUUAUUCCCUUUCUCUUUGUGUGAUGACGCUUUUAUAUGGUUGGAUUCGCAGCUAAUAAAUUCUAUCGCUAUGUGGGAUGAGCUAGCCAACCAAUUCCUUACCAAAUAUUUCCCACUGAGUAAACAGAUGAAGUUGCGAAUGAAUAUCACCAACUUCUGGAAAUUGGAGGUAGAAUUGUUGUAUGAGGCAUGUGAGUGCUUCAAAGUAACACUAGAUAAGUGUCAUCACCAUGGUCUACAAGAUUGGUUGUAAUUACAAACUUUCUAUAAUGGUUUGGAUAGGAAUUUGAGGUCAAGCUUAGAAGGAGCAUCUGCGGGGCCGUUCAUGUCUAAAACUUACGCUAAAGGUUGCCAACCCAUUAAACAUUUAGCAAUGAAAUCCUAGAUGUGGUCGAUUAAGCGAUUCACAUGUACAGCUAAAUCACUGACUGUGAAUGCAGUCAAUGGCAAGGACAAAUUUCUACAAAUCCUCUAGAGGUUUAAUAACCUCGAAAUUAGCUCUAAUAUGCCUCCAUCCUAACAAACACCAUCUUAUGGGAGCUCAUGUAGGGGGCAAAAAUGAAAAGCUACUUAGAGAAAUCACCAAGAGGGUAGUUAGGUUGAGGGGAACUAUAUGGGAACUAGGGGUGGUAACCCAUAGUCAAAUACCUAUAAUCUAAGGUGGUGUGAUCAUCCCAACCUUAGGUGGGGAGGAAACCAAGGUGUGGGAAACUUCAACCACCAUAGACCAACCCCUCCUUACCAACCUCUACAAGCCUAUAAACCCCAAGACCUUAAGAGGAAGCCUACUUUUAACAAUGACCCCCUAUGACCGUUAAGGUUAGUAAACUUGAAGAAGGGAUACGUUUGUUGCACACUACAGUGCGUCAAAUGCAAGGCCAGCUAGACCAAAUUCUCCACAUGUUGCAAACCAAUGUUGGCACUAGUAUCCCUAGCAAAACGAAAACUAUCCUAAACCGUGUCGACCGAGAUGAUAGUUUAUCGUAGUAAAAAACUAUCAAAAUCAGACAACCAGGAUAGUAAGUUAUUGUAGUAAAAUUUAUCGUCACAAAUGACAUGUAAAUGACCAUCUUCAUCGGGAAAUCAGGGAUGGCUAGUCUUUGAUAUGUGUUUUAGGUGUGGCGAGCAAUGCUUGAGGGCGGAUAAAAUAAACGGGUGGGAAAUUUGGAUUUGCAUUGCAUCAUACAUAAACUGUAUAUACAUUGAUUUACUAUAUACUCCAAAUGUUAUACUUAACUCGCUAUUAUUUCUAUGUUUUUCUAUUUGUGCAAUUAUAAAUAAUGAUUUAUAAGCUAGUUUCAUAUUGAGUUGUUGUAAGCUCAUUCCCCCUUUCUUUUCCUCUUAGGUAACAUAAGAAACUACGACUCGAUAUGGCAUCGAAGGAACCUCAAAAUAACAACUCAUUUUUUGUUAUUAUUAUUAUUAUAAAGUUUUUAUUAAAGUUUUCUUCAAAUCGUUUUAUUUUUGGGUUGUAAUUAUUAGUUAUUUCUUGCUUUUAUAUCUAGGGUAAAGUUGUUUAGCUUAUUUAUUUUAAAGCAUGACACUUAGUUAAUACUCUGAAAUUUGCAUGCUUUUCAGUUUAGAAAACCACUACUUUAAAUGUUUUCCAUCGUUUUACAAAAUACUAAAAGCUUUUGAUAAGUCCUUUAUUAAAAAAUUUACCUCAUUUUCCUAAAUCUUCACAUUAAUAAUAUUAUAAUUGAAUUGUUAAGUAAAACCAAUUUAAAUUAAUGAAUGUUCUUCCUAAAAACAAAAGAGAGUUUUCCAUAUAAAUCAACGCUUCAAAAAGAAUGGCUUUACAUGAUCACCUCGGUGAUCAAAUGUACGCCUCCAACUUAGUUGAAACUCCUAAACCGGGUCGAGAGUGUUACAAACUGGCAUCGAAGUGCAUCAUCGAAUAAACUGAAGUAAGGGAAAUUGAUGCAUGGGUUAGCUAAAUCAAGCUCCCAUUAUUCAAUUUCCAUAAAAAUUAAAGAAAAAAUGGCUAGAGACUUACUUGAAAUAGGUGGCUGAGUAUCAAUCAAGUUAGGCUUUAAAGCUUUCUUUUCUCUUCUAAAAUUGGACGAUAGCUCUGGGGAAGGAGAUGAUGACUUUGUCAUCUUUUUCCACUUUCAAUUCACUUAUAGAGUAUGGUUUAGUUGUAAUUAAACCGUUUUUUAUAAAAAUAAUAUAAAAAUUAAUUAAUCACAGAAUUGAGUUGGAUAAAAUUAUUUACGAAAAUGAGUUAUUUGUUACAAUACAAACUGGUGCCGCCUGACACACCGGCAACACCACCUAACUUUUGGUCAAUCAUCAGCCAAUCAUUAUGUUUUUUUUAAAAAAAAAAUCUUUUAUUGGUGCUGCAACACCAAUAUAUUUUUAAAAAAAUAGUUGUAUUCUCACAAAUAUACUUGAUGCAAGAAAAAGUGAAAAACAUUAUUUUUUAAGUAGGUACCGUAAAUGUGUCAGACAGUAUCCUUUUGAAUUUAAAAAAAUUCUAUCAUGAAAACAAACAGCUGAAGUUAAAAAAAAAAAACUGAUUAAAAAAAAAAACCCUUGACCAAUAACUCUUAGCAAAUCCUUGAAGGCAGGAAAGGGAGCGUUAUCCCCCACUAGUAAGUGUAAAAAAUCAUCAUGUACGUAAAUGGCACCGUAUGAUGUCAAAAAAGAAAGAAAGUAAAUGGCAAUGUCAAGAGAAAGUGACAGAGUUUUUUAAAAAAAAAAAUUGAAAGGGUGACGUUUGAGCCAUUGGUGGCAUUCAGAUUUUUUUUUAUUUUUUCUCUCACCGUUUACAUAUGUGAAAAUAUGAGUAUUUUUAAAAAAUAUAUAAAUUGGUGUGGCUUAAUAUAGUGAUGAAACCAAUCAAAAAUCUUUUUUUUUUAAAAUGUAAUGAUUGAAUGAUGAUUGACCUAAUUUUUUUGGUGGUGUUGCAGAUACCAGUUUGUACUGUAGCGAACAACUUAUUUUUGUAAGUAAUUUUCCUCAAACUCAUUCUUGUAAUUAACUAUUUUUUAAUAUUAUUUUUGUAAAAAAUCCUAAUUAAACAUAAUUAGUUAGUUUAGUCUUAAUUAAUUAAACUCUAAUAUUUAAUUAACUUAUCUAAUGGCAUCCACCAUCCAAUCCCAUUAUCAUCUAUUUUAUUUUUUUUAUUUACCAUUUGAUCCUUUGGAUAAUCUCUAUUUAAGUCCCCAAGCCUUUUUUUAAUUAAAAAUCUAUAGUAAUUUUUUUUUACAAUUUAGUCUUCAAGCCUUAACUAACCACAUUUUCUGCAAAAUUCCUUAACUAAAUUUUGCUAUAUCAACAUAAUUACUCCACAAAAACCCUGUUUACUAUUUAUGGACUCAAUUUAUGAAAAUGAUGUCCAAAAAUUGGAUUUCCCAACACCAUUGGAAACUAUGUCAUUACAUAGUGAGUAACACUUAGCAAUAUAUCACCACUACCCAAGUUACAAGAAGUCGUGGUUCGGCAAAACAUUUCCGUGAUAAUGUCAUUUUGUAGUAUCAGUCAAUUUCUAACAUGAAACUACAAAAUCACAUAAAUCGACAAAAACAAAUUUUUGAUUUUCAAAAUUAAAAUCCCAAAAAGAAAUCAGUUUUCAAUGCGUUGGUGUAACUCGUCCAAGUUUGGCUUAAACUUUCAGACCGAAUUUGGGGUGUUGCAGUUAUUAUGAUCAAAUCGUACCUUUCAUUGUUUAUUUUAUGUUACUUUUAAACACACAUAUGUGUUCUAAAUAAAUAGAGAAUUAAAAUGUAUAAGAAAUAUUAAAAUAAAGCUUUAGUUGGGUGGUAAAUUAAAGGUUUUACUAAUGCAAAAUUUGCCUAGGUUCAAAUCUCACCGUAUGUAUAUUUUUAUUCCUUGUUUUAUGUGACAAAACUAAAAUACUCUCAAAUAAUAUUACUUAUUUUAAUUACAGAAGGGCAUUCUUGUAAUUUUUUAACCAAGUUGGUGACCCAAUUGAGAGUGACACCAACUCAGUAUGGAGUUUAAAUAAUAGUAUGUAUAGAUAUACAACUUAUGAAGGUAAUAGAGUGUGCAUAAUAAAACUAAAGUGUAUAAAAAUAUUAAAAUAAAAUUUUAAUUGAGUGGUAAAUUAAAAGUUUUAUUAAUGCAAUUGAUGUGGGUUCGAAUCCUACCAUAUACUUAUUCUUAAUGUUUUUUAAAGUUAAAAGACUAAACUACCCUCGAAUAACAUUACUUAUUUUAAUUACAAAAGGGUAUUCUCAUAACUUCCUAACCAAGUUGGUGUCCGGUUUACUCAUGACACCAACUUAGUCAAGAAUUUAAAUAAUAAUAUAGAUGAAUUUCUAUCACAAGUUAACUCAACAAGGACUCAAGAUUGAUGACAACAACUUGAUACAAAAAUUAAUCUAAUUUUCUUAUUCUAAUAACGUACAUAUUUAAUACGUUAUUAUUAAUUAGUUUCAAACCAUAAGUUUCAUUAUCUAUUGUCUGUUAUUUUAGACAUACAUUUAUGUUUUAAAUUUGUGGUUUCCACGUACAGAUACAUGUGAGAGAAUGUCUGAUAUAUUAUUUAUAAUUGCAAAUUGUAAUUUUAUUUUUAAAAAAUAAAAACAUAAGUAUAAAAGAAUAAAAAGUCUCCUCCUAUUAAAUAACAAUAUUUUUUAAUAGAAUGAAAAAUUAGUGAAAACAAUUUAUUAAUUGCAAAAACUUCUCGGUAAUUGAUAAUUAAAUUAUCCUGAAGAGUUAUAUAUAUUAUAUUUAUGAGAUUUAAAAUUUCCUAAAAAGAUUAUAUUUAUCAAUAACAUUAUAAAAUCAUUGCAAUAUUUUUAGUUUUAGCUUCAAUUAUGCUUUUAAGUCAAAAGAAUACAACCCUUAAAUAAUAUAUAUAAAUCGGUUUUUGAGUUGUUUGUUCUUUUCUUUUUAUUUUUUAUGGUACGUCAUUUAAUGGCCACAAUAGUGUAUCUAGUGGACAAAUGUUGAUGUAAUCUUUUGACAGCAUAUGUAUUUCUUUUCACUUCUUCUUUCUAAUUUAGAACACCAACUACAAAUUAUUUAUUGUUUAUUUAAUUAUUAAAUAAAUAUUUUAAUUUUUAUUAUUGGAAUUUAUCAAAAUUUUAAUUUUAAUUUUAAUUAUUAAAGUUCUCAAUACAUCCAGAAUAAACCUGAAUAAAUAGUUGUCCAGAUAAAUUUGAACUUGAACAAAAUUUGUCCAGGUUCAUUCAGAUAUAAAUUUGAAAUAUAGUAAAAAAUUAAAAAUUAUUAAAAUUAUUACAAUGGUAAAAAUAUAAAUAAUUAAAGAUAAUUAUAAAAAUAAUCUAAGUUUUAAAAAUAUAAAAAAUCCUAGAAAUUAUAAAGAAAUUAUUAUUUUGUUUGUAAACUUAUAUUAGAAUGAGCCUGCUGGUUCGAGUGGUAAGGAGUUAAUUUGUUGGAGGUCCUGUGUUCGAAUUAAUGCGCGAGCGUGGGUGAUAAUUUUUGGCGACAGCGGUUGAUAGUGGUUUGGUGGUAGUGGGGUUCUUAAUUAGUUGGAUGGUUAAGGGAUGUGGAUGUAGUAGGAUUUGACUUAAUCUUUUUAUUUUAAUUUAUUCUAUGUUCCCAAAAAUUUCUCCCUCUUCUAGUUUCUGAUGUUGUACUUUUCUUUCCCCACCAAAAAUCUUUUUUCUCUUCCCUUAUUUUUGUCAAAAUCUCCCUUCCAAAAUUGCGAUAAUACGAAUCUCUGAUUACUUUGUACGUUUAGGUAAAGGAAAGUGGUGAGUUUCUUCUUAGAUUGAGGGCUUUGGUUAAAGUUUAUUUAAGUUAGUUUUGUUUUUUGUUAGUUUGAUUUUAUGGGUUUGACUACAGUGCGAGGAACGUGGUUCUUCUCUUACAGAAUUAUAGUCGAAAUUGUUCGGGGAAUCGGGUAAGUCUUGAAAACUUGAAUUUCACUAUUGUUGAUUUCUUUAGAUCAAUUUAAUUGAGGAAUUAGACUGAUUUUGAAAGCUUGUUAUGUCAAUUUUAGGUUCUAGUGGUCUCGGGAGUGUUUUCACAUCAAAAUCGUACCAGGUGUGUAUCCUAAACACAAAAAAUUAAGGUUCAAUGAAAGCUAAAAAAGGGUAUUAUUGACGCCACACGAGCAUGUGCUCGACCGUGUGAUUGGCCAUGUACAAGACACGGUCAUGUAAAUGUCAUAGGUGUGGUCGUGCACGAGACAUGACCAUGUGACGGUGUGAGCCACAUGAGCUAAACUAGAUUGGGUGUGUGGGCCACACGAGUAUGUGGGCCCAUGAUUUUAAAAUUUUCCCUAGGGUCGCACGGGUCGUUCCAAUCGACAAUGGGCCUACCGUAGGGACAGUAAGGGUCAACCAAACCCUAAUUCAUGUGACCUGAUAUUCUGAUAGUCUGAUCUUAAUGGGACUCUGAUAUGUAUGUCUGACUGUUCUGUUUGAAUAUAUAUGUUAUCUAUAUACGAGCAUGUUAAGCAUGUUAAUUCUGUAUUAUGUAUCUGUGUUUGGGGUGGGAUUUGCAUAUGUGAAUGAAGUGAUCUGUACGACGACCUUUCGCCUACAUUCUGGCAGCUUAACUUAAUAUUAUUUGUUAUGUAUCACAUCGAUGCUAUAUGGUGUGUAAGGAUGGGUGGGUGUUUUUAACCUCAUAUGCUGUGAUAGGAUGGAAGGAGAUGGUGUGUAGAGGAGGGGGUAGGAUUCUAUAUAUCUACUCUAAUUAUCUUAUUCGGGAAUCUAUAUCUGUUAUGUACUUAGGUCUGAAUCUAUAUCUGACUGUAUAUAAAAUUCUAUGUAUGUUACAUGAUUAUUUCUAUUAGGUUACACAUUGAGUUUAUGAAAACUCACAUCUGUUUUUGUCUGUUCUGUUCAGGUAAUCCAUAGGCUUAAGCGGGUAGGUACGAUGGAGACUCAACGGUGACCUCUCGACAAAGAAUUGUUUUUAUUUAGUGUUAUCAGUUUUUUUUUAAAAUCUGAUUUCUUUGAGAAUUGUAAUAUUUGAGACUUUCUGGACUGUAUGGUUUUAACUUUUGGAUUUGGAUUUUGUUUUGCUUUUUUUUCGCAACGUUGACAAAAAUACUUUACGUAAAUAAAUGGUUUUUGGAAACACGAGCUUGGUUUCAAAUUCAAUGUUUUUCAAACUUUCGUUGCAAAAUUCUUGAUAACUUAAAAUGGUUUGAAAUUAGAUUUUUAAACCCAAUUUUUUUAAUAUUAAGACUCUGAUUAGUAAACUAAUAAAACGAUACGAUUUAGCUUAAGAAAUAUAAUUUUAAAACCUUUCUUCGUAACAUGCAUAGAUUCAACCAUAACGUCUAAGCUGAGUUAGGUGUGUUACAUUUAGUGAUAUCAGAGCCAGGUUACAAAACUCAAGCUGUAAAUUUUGGGUUCCAAAAUUAUGCUUUGAAAAAGAACUAGUUUUCAAAUAAUUUGGAUCAAUUUGAGUAAGUAUAUCGUACACUGAGUCUCCGGCGUCGAUCCUGUAAGUACCUUUGAUAACUUGAGCAUAAAAUAUCUGCUAAUAAACACUAGAACUAAUGCAUAAAAUUUUAUAAUGUAGAUAAAACUGAAAAUACGAUGAGCGCUCGUGGAACUCGCAAUUGUGGUAUUCGUGGGCGCGGUGGGCACCGUAGGGGGCUCGAGCUGAGUCUUUCUUUUUAGGCAGUAUGCCAAAUUUGGAUACGAGUGAGACACCGAUUUCACCUGCUACUGAGGCUAGGUCUUAAAGCAACACGGCUAGGGACGACGCACUGUCGCAAGCCAUGUUGAGAGUGUUGAAGAGGGUUGUUGGACCCUAUUCUGGAUUUGGAAGCCAUGGGUCGAUAAUUGAAGGACUCCGGUCCAAUAGAGCUAAAUUGUUUAGGGGCGUCACUAAAUUUAUCCCUAUUGUGGUUGAGUAUUGGUUGGAGGCUACCAAGAGGAUUAUGAACGACAUUGACUGCACUCUUAAGCAGAAACUGAAGGGUGCAAUUUUUUUGCUUCGCGAUGAGGUAUAUCAGUGAUAGUUGUCGGUUGAGGAGGGUACUCAACUAGAUUGUUUGAACUGGGACUACUUUAAGACUUUUUUUAGGGAAAAUAUAUGGGGUACGAGUUAUGUGGACGCUCGUAGGCGUGAAUUCAUGAAUUUUACGUAAGGUGAUAAGUCUGUGAUCGAGUGUGAGGUUGAGUUUCUAAGAUUGAGCCGCUACGCUCGAGGCAUGGUAGCAUUCGAGUGUGAGAAAUGUGUUCAUUUUGAAGAUGAUUUGAGGGACAGUUUGAGGGCUCUGAUUGCUCUGUAGAGAGAGUGUGAGUUUGUUAUUUUGGUAGAUAAGGCAAAGAUCGUUGAGAAGGUUAAGCGCGUGGAGUGCCAGAAUAGAGACCAAGAGAGAGGCAAGAAUAAGAGGGAUUCAGAGCCCUCUAGUUCUGUUUAGAGGUCUAAGAAACGGGCCAGACCUGAUGAGCCUGUUAGAGUGAGAGGUCCAAUUGUUCCUGCUAAGAUUCAGCCUUGUGGUGACUGUGGUAGACGUCAUUCGGGUGAGUGUUGGAGGAGAUUAAGGGCUUGUCUGCGGUGUAGGUCUUUGGAGCACCAAAUUAAAGAGUGUCCAUAUCAUGCUAAUUAGAUGCAAGCUUUAGGACUGGACUUUGUUUAGCCUCAGAGGGUAGUACAACAGCCACCUAAGGACCGUAGACCGGCUAGGAGUGGUAAUGGUAUGGGCUAAGGUCAGAGAGCACUAGGAAAAAGUGCUAAUCAGACUGAGGUGAGCCAGCCUGCACUAGUUUAUGUUGCUCGAUGCCAAGAGGACAACAAUGCCCUUGAUAUGAUCAUGGGUACGUUUUUAAUUUUUGAUGCUUCAUAUAUUGUUUUGAUAGACAUAGGUUCUACACAGUCCUUUGUAGCUAGUUCUGUUUCCGAGAACUUAGGGAUUUUUGUUGAGUGUACUUCUGGAGAGAUUAUUGUACUGACUCUAUUGAGACAGUCUGUUAGGGUAAAUAGACUUUAUAAGAAUGUUUCGUUGGAAGUAUAAGGAGUUGUGUUUCCGACAAAUCUGAUAGAGCUACUGUUUGGGGAGUUUAACUUAAUUCUGGGUAUAGAUUAGUUAGUUGAGCACCGAUUUAGUUUGGACUGCAUGACUAAGAGGGUCAUUCUGAGGACCGAAGAUGAUAAGGAAGUGGAUGUAAUUAGUGAGGGUCGAGAUUACCUGUCUAAUAUGAUCUCUGUUCUAGCGGUUGAGAAAUUGGUUCAAAAAAAGUGUGAGACGUAUUUAGCCUAUGUCAGUGUUUCAGUUUUUGGGGACUCUUCUAUUGGGGAUAUUAAAACAGUGAGGGAAUUUUUAGAUACUUUUCCUGAGGAAUUACCAGGUUUACCUCUAUAUCGAGAAGUUAAGUUCGACAUUGAGCUUCUACCGGGUAUAGUUUCGAUGUCUAUCGCUCCAUACCGUAUGGCACCGAAGGAGCUAACAAAGCUUAAGGCUCAACUUCAAGAGCUUCUAGAUCGUGGUUUCAUCCAUCCUAGUGUGUCUCCAUGGGGGCACCGGUUCUGUUUGUGAAGAAAAAGGAUGGUACCAUGAGGAUGUGCAUCGACUACCGGCAGUUAAAUAAACUGACUAUGAAAAAUAAGUACCUACUUCCAAGGAUCGAUGACCUGUUUGAUUGGUUUUGUAGGGUUGUGGUAUUCUCAAAAAUAGAUCUCUAUUCUGGGUAUCAUUAGUUUAGGGUUAAAAAAGCUGAUAGUCAUAAUAUGACAUUUAGAACUCAUUAUGGGCAUUACGAGUUCUUAGUUAUGCCCUUUGGUUUGAUGAAUGCUCCGAUUGUAUUUAUGGAUCUGAUGAACCGAGUUUUUAAUUGUAUUUAGAUUAGUUUAUCGUAGUCUUCAUCGAUGAUAUUCUGGUGUACUCUAAGACUGAGGAUGAGCAUGAUGAGCAUCUUAGAGUAAUGCUACAGAUACUCUGAAAGAAAUAGUUCUACGCUAAGUUGAGUUAAUGUGAGUUCUGGUUGCGAGAAGUAACUUUUCUAGGGCACAUGAUUUCUGCUGAGGGUAUCUGAGUUGAUCCUAGAAAGAUUGAGGCUAUGCUUGAGUGAAAACAGCCUAAGAAUGUCUCUGAGAUCCACAAUUUUUUUGGGUCUUGUGGGUUAUUAUCGGAGGUUGUUUAGGGGUUCUCACUAAUUGCAGCUCCUUUGACUAAGCUUCUAUGCAAGAAUGUUCCUUUCAUCUGGACUGAUACACAAUAGUCGAGCUUCGAGAAGCUCAAGUCUGUUCUCUCCUGUUCUAAUACAACUUGAAUUUGGUAAGGAGUUUGUAAUGUAUAGUGAUGCGUCACAUGUUAGUCUAAGGUGGUGGCUUAUGCGUCCCGGCAGCUUAAGUCACAUAAGAGAAAUUAUCCGAUGCAUGAUCUCGAGUUAGCUACAGUAGUAUUUACGUUAAAGAUCUAGAGGCACUAUUUAUAAGGUGAGAGAUGUAUUAUCUACACCGAUCACAAGAGUCUCAUGUACUUCCUUACUAAAAAAGAAUUGAAUCUUAAAUAGCGUCGAUGGAUUGAACUACUCAAAGAUUAUGACUGCAAGAUAGAGUAUCAUCCCGAUAAGGUCAAUGUGAUGGCUGAUACUCUCAGUCAUAGAGCGAUGACUGGUUUGAGAGUGAUGUUCGCCUGUCUUAGUUUGUUCAAUGAUGGGGGUCUGUUAGCCGAGUUGCAAGUUAAGCCGACUUGGAUUGGAAAGAUUCAGAAAAAGAAUUUAGGGGAUGAGCGGUUUUGUUAGGUUGAGAGUGGCAGUACUUUUGAUUUUGGACUGAAUAAGAUAAAGUUCUAUGUUUUCCAGGACGGGUUUGUAUACCGAAUGAUUCUGAUUUGAGACAGUCGAUUCUGAGGGAAGCGCAUAGUAGCCAUUAUGCUAUAUAUCUCGGUGAUAAUAAAAUACAUCGGGAUCUUCGUAAGUUGUACUGGUGGCCGGGAUUGAAACGUGAGGUAACAGAUUUUGUUGCUUAUUAUUUAAUGUGCCAGCAAGUUAAGGUUGAGCACCAAUUGCCUUCGGGUUUGCUUCAACCUGUUAAGAUUCCAUUAUGGAAAUAGGAGCAAGUGACAAUAGACUUUGUUAGUAAGUUGCCCUUGACACCCAAUAAGAAGGAUUCUGUUUGGGUUAUCGUGGAUCGAUUGACAAAGUUCGCAAAAGUUAGCGAAGUUUUAUAUGCUGAGGUUGAGAGACUACAUGGGGUUCUGAUUUUGAUAAUAUCUGAUAGGGAUCCUCGCUUCACUUUUCUGUUCUUGAAGAAAUUGCAUGAAGCUAUGGGUUCAAAAUUGGAUUUCAGUACUGCGUUCCAUCCUCAGACUGAUGGUUAGUCUGAAAAGGUGAUUUAGAUAUUGGAGGAUAUGCUUCGGAGCUUUGUGAUUGAUUUCUGAGUAACUUAGAGGAUUUUCUGUCGUUAGCUGAGUUCACCUAUAACAAUAGUUUCCAGUCUAGCAUUCAGAUGACACCUUACGAGGCUUUAUAUAGUCGUAAGUGUCAUACUACACUAUGUUGGACUAAGUCGGGUGAAUGAUGGAUUUUGGGUCCUGAGUUGGUUUUCAAGAUUGAAGAUAAGGUUAGACUGAUUUGGGAUCGUUUGAAGGUGGCUACUGAUAGACAAAAGUCCUAUGCGGAUCUGAAAAGGAGGGAUAUUGAGUACUCUGUGGGUGACUUUGUAUUUCUUAAGGCAUCUCUAUGGAAGAAGGUUCUACGGUUCGAUCGUAAGGGUAAGUUGAGCCCUAGAUUUAUUGGGUUGUAUGGGAUUCUGAAGCAUGUGAGACCGGUCGCUUAUUAGUUAGAGCUACAUCCAGAGUUGGACUGUAUCCAUAAUGUGUUUCACGUCUCAAUGUUGAGGCAGUAUCAGUCUGAUCUAUCUCACAUUGUCUUUAUUAAGGAGAUCGAGGUUAGACCGAAUUUGACGUUUGAGGAGGAGACAGUUCAAAUUUUGGAACGAGAUAUUAAGUAUUAUGAGGAGGAAUUCCAUUCUAUUGGUAAAGGUUCUGUGGCAGAAUCAUGGCACUGAGGAAGCCAUGUGGGAACCUAAGGACUUGAUGAGUCAGUAGUAUCUUUAUCUAUUCGGAUUAGGUAAAUUUUGAGGAUGAAAUUUCUUUUAGGGAGUAAAGUUGUAACGCCUUGAAUAAUUUAUUUCUAUUUUUGUGAAAUCUGACACAAAUAUGUAUCUGCUUCAGUGGUUGAGUGUUAUAGGUGUGUGUAUGAGGUAUUGGGUUCAAGUUCCCCUUUUGGCAAAUUUUGUUAUUUUUUAUCCAAGCAUUAUCUUUGUUGGGUGGGCUUAUAUUAUAUUGUUUGCAAACUCAUAUUAGAAUGAGCCUACUGGUUCGAGUGGUAAGGACUUAGUUUGUUGGAGGUCCUGUGUUUGAAUUCACGUGCGAGCGUGGGUGAUAAUUUUUGACGAUGGCGGUUGAUAGUGGUUUGGUGGUAGUGGGAUUCUAAGUUAGUUGAGUGGUUAAGGGAUGUGGAUGUAGUGGGAUUUGACUUAAUCUUUCUAUUUUCUUUUAUUCUAUUUUCCCAAAAAUUUCUCCCUCUUCUAGUUUCUGACGUUAUACUUUUCUUUCCCCACCAAAAAUCUUUUUUCUUUUCCCUUAUUUUUGUCAAAAUCUCCCUUCCAAAAUUGCGAUAAUACGAAUCUCUGAUUGCUUUUUUACGUUUAGGUAAGGGAAAGUGGUGAGUUUCUUCUUAGAUUGAGGGCUUUGGUUAAAGUUUAUUUAAGUCAGUUUUGCUUUUUGUUAGUUUGAUUUUAUGGGUUUGACUGCAGUGAAUCGCGAUGAACGUGGUUCUUCUCUUACGGAAUUAUAGUUGGAAUCGUUCGAGGAAUCGGGUAAGGGUUGAAAACUUGAAUUUCACCAUUGUCGAAUUUGUUAGCUCAGUUUAAUUGAGGAUUUAGACUGAUUUUGAGAGCUUGUUAUGUCAAUUUUAGGUUCUAGUGGUCUCAGGAGUGUUUUCACAACAAAAUCGUACUAGGUGUGUACCCUAAACACGAUCAUGUGAAUGUCGUUAGUGUGGCCAUGUGUGGGACACGAUCAUGUGAAUGUCGUAGGUGUGGCCGUGUGCGGAACACGACCGUGUGGUGGUGUGAGUGUGGUUGUAUAAGCCGCACGGGCUAGACCAGAUUGGGUGUGUGGCCCAGGAUUUUGAAAUUUUCCCUAGGGUCGCACGGGUCGUUUCGAUCAACUGUGGGCCUACCAUAGGGAUGGUAAGGGCCAACCAACCCUAAUUCAUGUGAUAUGGUAUUCUGAUAGUUUGAUCUGAGUGGGACUCUGAUAUGUAUGUCUGACUGUUCUGUUUGAGUAUAUCUAUAUGUUAUUUUUAUACGAGCAUGUUAAGCAUGUUAAAUCCGUUAAUUUUGUAUUAUGUAUCUAUGUUUGGGGUGGGAUUUGCAUAUGUCGAGGAAGUAAUCUAUACGACGACCUUUCGCCUACAUCCUAGUACUUAACUGCAUAUUAUCUGUUAUGUAUCGCAUCGACACUAUAUGGUGUGUAGGGAUGAGUAGGUGUUUUUAACCCCACAUAGUGUGAUGGGAUAGACGGAGAUGGUGUAUAGAGGAGGGGAUAGGAUUCUAUAUAUCUGUUUUGAUUAUCUGAUUCGAGAAUCUGUAUCUGUUAUGGACUUAGGUCUGAAUCUGUAUCUAAUUGUAUAUGAAAUUCUAUGUGUGUUGCAUGACUAUUUCUACUGGGUUACACACUGAGUUUAUGAAAACUCACAUCUGUUUGUCUGUUCUAUUUAGGUAAUCAACAGACUUAGGUGGGUCGAUGCGACGGAGACUCAACGGUGACCACUCGGCUGAGAACUAUUUUUAUUUAGUGUUAUCAAUUUUGUUUCAAAAUCUGGUUUCCGUGAGAGUUGUAAUUUUUGGGACUUCCUGGACUGUAUGGUUUUAACUUUUGGAUUUGGAUUUUAUUUUUCUUUCUUUUCCACAAUGUUAACAAAAAGACUUUACGCAAACAAAUGGUUUUAACAAAUGGUUUUUGGAAACACGAGCUUGGUUUCGAAUUAACAUUUUUCAAACUUCUGUUGCAAAUUCUUGAUAACUUAAAAUGGUUUCAAAUAAGAUCUUAAACCCAAGUUUUUCCAGUUAUUAAAACUGCAAUUGGUAAACUAAUAACACGAUACGAUUUAGCUUAAGAGAUAUAGUUUUAAAACCCUUCUUUGUAACACACCCAGAUUCGGCCAUAACGUCUAGGCUAGGUUAGGGGUGUUACAAAUUUUGUUGUCGUCCUCUCUAGUUUGGUGAAUACUCGAUUCUUUUGUCGAUUUUUGCUCGCCACUUUGGACCAUCCGAGGUUGAUUUCAUUAUCAUAUUAAGUCCUUGCAAUCACUCCAGAUAUGUCGUGCUUGAGUUGUGAUUAAGCCAAUUGUCAAUGUGUCAUAAUGUUCUAUUGAUGCUAAGGCUAAAGCCUUUGUUGUGUUGAUAGAGCUUGUCCUUCACCAUCUGCGAUGAGUGUUUGUUAUCUUUUAUCUCUGAAUUGUAUGGUUCCAUUCAUUGAAUAAAUUAAUGAAUUUACCUUUCAAAAAAAUAAUUUAACAUAUUUUAUUUUAAUUUUUUUCUUAAUUAUUUAUUUUACAUAUACAUAAGUUUUUUUUAAUAAAAUUGGAAGUGGAGUAUAAGAUUACUUGGGAUUGUACCUAAACUCUCAUGCCUAUAACAUAGUAUUCUUGCCACUAAGUCAAGAGGUUGUUGGCACAUAAGUUGUAACUUAAUGACAUCAAUAACCAUUUUCCAUUUUCACAUCAUGGUUAUUAUUUUGUUUGAAUCCAAACAUAUAUCACAUUAUUAAUUUUAAUCUUACCGCUAUAUUAACUAAUCUCAUCAUCAUUAUUACUUUUAGUUUCACCAAAAAUUAACUUUACUACAUAUCCAAAAAGAGCAUAAGCCGAAUAAUUUCCAAAGAAUAAAUACAAAACCAAGAAAACUACACCGGUUUCAUAGACAUUAUUUAAUUUCAAGUCAUCGUCAUUAUAUCAUGGGCAUAAUGAUUUAUUUAACCCUCCAAUUUUAUAAAAAAAAAAUUUAGCCUUUAAUUUAAUUUUCCGUAUCUUUUAACCCUUGAAUUUUUAUUGUUUGUCAAAUCACCUUAAAAUGAAUGAAAAAAUUAACACUUUUUAACUUUGUUAAUAUGACAUUCACCUAGCAAUUAAUUAUUUCUUAAAAUUUCCAAAACAUAUAAAAACAUUUAUAUAAUUUUAUUUUUAAAAUUUUUUAAAAUUAUUUUAAAAAUUAAUUAAGUACUUAUGUGGCAUUCAAGUGACAAUUCACAUGUAUGUCACAUCAGUAAAAUUAAUUGACAUUACAUUUUUAUUCAUUGAGGUGAUUUGAUAAAUAAUACAAAUUUAAAAUAACAAAAAUUAAAUAAAGAACGAAAAAAUAAAUCAUUAUACCUAAUUUUAGGAUAUUGGAUCAUAUAAAAUUAAUAAAUUAUCUUUUAACUUAACAAAAAUCGUAAAACAAUUAGUAAUUAAACAAGCUUCAAUUAUUACCUAUAAUUAGAUCAUUCAAUUGAGCGGCCGGGUGAUUUGGAUCAAUUAAUUCUGAGUUUUAACAUUUUUAGGAUAUUUUAGUUUAAAAUUUUUAGAUUUGAAUAAUUUUGGAAUAAGAAUUUUGAUUUGAAUAAUUCUAAAUUCAUAUAAUUUAAAUAUGAGGUUUUGGGUUUUUUGGUCGGUUCAUUUUAGAUUUAAUUUCUUUUUUCGUUAAAAUCAUUUUAAGUUCAAAAUAUUUCGGGUUUUGGUUAAUUUGGAUUUGGAUUUUUGAUUUUUGAUUUUUUAUGAUUAAAAUUUUAAAACAAUUAAUUGUUGAGGUAGUAUCCACAUGGCAAUCAUGUUAACAAAGUUAACAUAUAUUAACUUUUUAAUCCAUUUUAGGGUGAUUUGGUAGAAAACGCAAAUUUAAGAGCUAAAGGAGACAAAAACUUAAAUGGAAGGCUAAAAUGACUUUUUUAAAAAAAUUUAAAAGAUCAAAUAAGUCAUUAUGCCUAAAAAAUUCAUCUUCAGAAGCUCAAUAAUCAAAUAAUUAUAACCCAAAUUUACUUGAUGAGUGAGGAUGUAAAACUAAUAUUAAAAAAAUAAUAAGAGAUUAUAAAUUUUGUUUUAGUUUACAAGUACAAUACGGUGUGAUUAUAGUAUAAUCACAAAUACAUGCCUAAACAAAUUAUAAAGUAGAAUUAAACUAAUAUAAAGCACAUUAAAGGUUUUUGGAUGAUUAUUCGAUUUAAAUGGUGAAUUUUUUAUUCCUAAUCUUUUAAAUUCAUGUUUUUAUAUUUAGGAGAGCAUUUGGAAAGGAGCGAAAAUCGGAACAGGUUUUAGGAGCCACAUAGGCUGGAUCGUUCUACAUGGGCUGGACACAUGACCAUCUAAGCCACAUGAGUUGCCACACAGUCAUGUGCCAACCCGUGUGGAAAUUGCGAAUCGCACUCCAAACCCGCGAGAAAUUUUUUUAUAGGUUUUUCGGACAUUUUAAGACCUAUAUAUGACAAAAAUAAGAAGAUGGGAGAAGACUAUCAUUAAAUACUCAAGAAAAUAACUCAAAAAACACCAUUGAAGCUGACUCUGAAGCAUAUUUCCAUCAAGAUUGAAGAUCUCCUUUUGAUUUCUUUGAAGUUUAUUAAGAGUUUCUUUAUUUCUUGUGGUUAUAUUGUCUUUGGAAUGUUUUUAUUUGUUAUCAUGAACUAAUUUUCAAAAUACCUAGGGAGAUGAACCCUAAGAUCGAUUCUGUUAUUUGAUUUCUAUUUUUACGCAAUAAAUACUUAGAUCUUGUUGUAACACCCCUAACCCGUAUCCAUCGCCAAAAUUGGGUUAUAGAGCAUUACUGAAGUUUACAAAUUAAUUUACAGACAUUUCAUUUUAUCAAGCAUUCAUAUUUAUAACCAAUCAAAAUCUAAACAUUAAUGAGCUAACGUUGGCCAAUUUAACUUAUACAUGCCAUUAAAACCAGAAUAAAAUCAUCCAAAAUUACCGAUAGAACCAAUGGAUAGUGUGAUAUAUCUCCGACAAGCUUUCAACCCCAUCGAGCUUCCAAUAAUCAUUUCAAUGCAUCUAAUAAUUAUACAUAUUACCAAUAAUAAUUCAAUUCCAAUAAUAAAACACAUAUUUAUAUAAUAUUCAUCACCAAAUAACAUUCACUUUAAUUAAAAUCAUACAGAAUAUAGUUCAUACGAACUUACCAGGCUAAAUUGCAGAAAUACCAAAAUUCAAGGAUAUUUUGGUAAUUUUUUAUUUUCCUCGAAUUUUCACCCAAUCUAGAUCUAAAUUAAUAUUUCAUUCAAUUUUAUUAAUUUAAAUAAUAAAAUAAUUCAUUUCAUGCAAUUUGGUCAUUUUUUGACAUUUUUACAAAUCUGCCCUUAAAAUUUUACUUUUAUUCAAUUUAGUCCCUGAGCCUAAAACAUGCAAAUUAGCCAUUUUUAAUGAAAACUCAUGCUAGUAGAAUAAUCAUAUAUUUUACUCCUCCUCCUCUCCAUUCCACAUCCUUAAUGUUUAUAACAUGCUUAUAUGUAACAUUAUCUAUAAUUUCACUAUUUAUUUAUAUGUUCAUUCAAAGCUGUCCACUUGAGUCAUGGUCACUAAAUUAUUUAUAUCUUGAGCUAUGGAACUCAAAAUUAAGAUCCGCUAAAUUUAUAUGAAACUAUACUCACAUAUAUUCUUACCAUAAACUUUUCAGAAUUUAUGGUUUAGCCAAUAAGUAUAGUUUAUUCUUUAAAGUCAUCCAUGUUCUGCUGUCUGACAGUUUCAACCCUUCUUCACUAAAAAUUAAUUAUCUCCUCGUACGAGAUUUGGAUGAUGUUCCCAUUUGUUUUUAUCGAGGAUAGACUCAUUAAUAAUUUUAAACAUAUAAAUAACCCACAAUUAUUUUUAGACAAUUUUUAAUUAUUUUCCAAAGUCAGAACAGGGAAACCCGAAUUCAUUCUGACCUUGUCUCAAAAAAUUUAUUAUAUAUCAUGAUUUACAAUUCCAUUACUUACACUGUUUAUUCUAUGAAAAACUAGACUCAAUAAGCUUUAAUUCCAUUUUGUUUUUCAUCCUCUAAUUCGAUUUCUACGAUUUAUGAUGAUUUUUUAAAUUUAACCUACUACUGCUGUCCAAAACUGUUUUAGUGCAAGAUGUUGAUUACUAAGUUUAUAACUCCCUUAUUCCUUUUCUCUAUAAUAUUUCCCAUCACUUUCACUUAUUUCCCUUCACUAAUAUAUCAAGAACAUAAGACCUUAUAUAAUAAAACUCUACUAUAACAUCAUUUUCAUGCUUUUUCAAUAAUAUCAAACUUCAAAAUAUAUUGAAAUCUUGAUGUUCUUAUCUUGUCCUCUUAGUUUCAAACUUUAACUUGAUUUUCUCUCUCCUCCAGCUUCUAUUUCUUGAAUCUAACUUGAUAUUCUUGCUCCCCAUAGUCUCCUUGUUAUCUUUCUCUCUUGAUGGAUAUGGAAAUUUUUUUGAUUUCUAAGUGAAAAUGGUGAAUAUUUAGUGAAAGGAUCAAAUUGUAAAGAAAAGAAAGUUUUUUUCUUUCUUUUCUCUUCAUACGUUGGAUGCAUGGGAAGAAGAAGAUGGUUCUUCAUCUUUCCUUCCAUAUAUAUACUAAAUAGAAUAAUAAUAAAAUAAUAAAAUAUCAUUUAAAAAUCAAAUUAAAAUAUUAAUAAACUAAUAUUUAUUGAUUUAAUUAAUCUAAAAUAUCUCCAACAUCAUCAUUUUCUUCUAGAUUUCUCUUUCUUCUAAUUGACCAUUUUGCCAUUUAUGAUCUUUUAAAAUUUCAUCCUUGAGUCAUCACUUAAUUUGGUAAAUUUAUGAUUUAGUCCCUCAUAAUUCUUCACCUAUUCAAUUUGGUCUCAAUUCAUCCAUUUUCCUUAAUUUCUAGAUUAUUCCACCCUUAAAAUAUUUACACUAUUGAUCCUUUAACUUUUUCAUAUUUACACUUUAACCCCUCAAAUUUUGAAUAUUUACUCUUGGGCAACAAAACUUUUCUCAUUUUUACGAUUUAAUCCUUCAUUGAAUUAAUAUGUCAUAAUAUACUUCCCAAUGUUGACAUAACUCAAAAUUACCCUUUUUUCACUUUAUUUCCUUAUUUUACUAUACCAGGGAUAUUAUAUUACUUUCUUACUGUAGUAAAUUUUCGGGGUAUUACACUUGUUCUCAAUUAUGUGUGCUUAAUUCUUAGUUUGAUAUUUCUAAAUUAUUAAUUCAUGUUUGAUGUGCUUAAACCAGAGGAGGAAUAUACCUUGUUUAAAAGUAGAUCUAGCAUAAUUGAGUGAAGUUGCAUGCAAUCCUAGAAAUAGGACGAUAUAAAUAUAUUACAUUAGAGUCAAAUCUAAUAGGGGGAUUUAUAGAUUGAGUUAAUGCAAUAAUAUGGGUUUUAAUUAGAAAGAAAUUUCAAUUAAUCAACCUAGAGUCAGUUGCUCUUAGUCUUGAAGAGAGAUAUUAACAUAAUUUAGGGAUUUCUAUAGAUCAAGAUACAAAGUGAAGAAAUUACGUAAUUUAGAUUGAUAAUAACAGAUGAAACCUAGGUGAAUUCUUUCUUGGGUAUUGUUUCUCUUCUUGGUUGUUAAUCGUUUAUUUUCCUUAAUUGUUUUUUAUCAUGUUCAUUAGCAAUUAGUUUAGUUAAUUUUAAUUUUCAAUCAAUCAUUCGAAUUUAUCGAUUAAAUAAUACAAAGAUAGUAAUUUCUACUACUUUUAGUCAUCGUGGGAACGAUAUAUUUGCUCACCGUAGCUAUACUAUUAAUUGAUAGGUACACUUGCCUUAGUCAGAUUUUUAGUUGGUUUACGACUAAAUCAUCAGGGUCAAAUUGACAUAAAGUAUAAAAAUCAAGGACCAAACUUGUAAUUAUACUAACUAAAAAGUGUCACUUAAUAGUCAAGUGUCCAAAAAAAAAUCUAGAAAACAUUUGUAAUUAAUUUGUAACUUUUUUAAUUAAGUGACCAAAAUAAAAAUUUACUUAUAAUUUAGUGACUAAUAACAUAAUAUACUCAUUGUUUUUUUUUUCUUUGAUUUAAAACAUUUUGUUUUGGUAGCCGUCAGUACUUGACUCAUACAUACGUACAUAUAUAAUAUUAUAUAUUAGAAACUUAACAUUUACGUUAUUUCAAAUUUAAAUAAUAUAUUUUGGUUGGUGAAAAUAGUCAUUACAAAAUAUACUACAACAUUACAAUAUUUUUAUAUAUUAUACUACAUUGUAUAACAUAAAUUAUAAUAUAUUUUAUUUUAUUACCAAAUUUUGUAUAACAUAAAUUAUAAUAUAAUUUAUUUGAUUACAAAAACCUUUAUCAUCUACUAAUGGUUAAAUUUGAUAGUUUCGUUAAAAAAGACGUUUAUCUUUUUACAAUAUUUAUUACAUGUGAUGCAACAUAUUGUGUAACACAAAUUUGAAUUUCACUAUUGAUUUUUUGGGAUUGGUUAUAUAUUUGUUGACUUUUAAGUGGAAAUUAAUAUUCGAUUUUUUGGAGCGAUUCUUUUAUGGAUCCUUCCGAUCAUAUUAUUUAUGGUCCAUUUUCAGUUAUUUAAUGGCAUUUUAGUAAUUUUUUCAUGUCACUGACAUAUAAUUUUGGUAACUAUUUUACCCCGAACACCAAACUCAGAAUCCAAACCCUGAACCCCAAACUAGAAACUAUUCAAGGUUUAGAAUUUAGGAUUUAAUGUUCAAGGUUCAAGAUUCGGGUUUGGGGUUUAAAGUUUGAGUUGGGUUUAGAGUUUGAUAUUUAUGUUUAGGGUUUGAGGUCAACAUUCAGGGUUUGGGGUUUAAGGUUCCAGAUUCAAGGUUUAUGGUUUAGGAUUUAAGAUUCAUGGUUCAAGGUUUAGGAUUAAAAAAUUACCAAAAUUUUGUCAAUGAUAUGGAAAAAGUUGCUGAAAUGGCAUUAUACCAAAAAUGAAAAUAAACCAUAAAUAAUGUAGUGGGAAAGAUUCAUAAAAUAAUUUCUCAAAUAUUUUAUUUUUCAAAGUUAAUGAUAUACCGAAAUAAAUAAAUAAAUAAUUCAAAACUUAUCUGAAUAGACUUUAGGUGGUUGAGUUUAGUGGAUUUUUUUUAAUCUUAAUUCCGGUAUUUAUAACUGAUCUUAUUUUUAUAUUACAUAUUAUUUUAUACCAAAAAAUAUAUAUAAAAAAUCAAUUAAUAUAUAAAAUAGAAGAUAUUCACAAUGAAAAGUUUGGAAAGAACUUUAUUGAAUUAAUAUAAGCCAAUAAGUACAAAGACAAUAGAUUUGGACUUUCUUUUAUAAUAUAUGAAUAUUAUAAAACAUUAUUAAUUAGAACUUAAUAACUAUUUCUUAGGAAACAAGCUUGGAGAGGAAAAAUUAACAUAAUUUUAAAGUGCAAUUGGUUCAAUGAGCAAUGAAGUGAUUCCACCCUUAGCCGCUUUUCCAACAUAUGUAUAUCCAUCUCCUUCCCUGUAAAGUACAUCCAUCACCCUUGCAAG
rnacentral:lncRNA from 1 species